rnacentral:lncRNA from 1 species
ACCAAAUUCACAUGACUACUUAUAGCAUGACUUCUCCCAUGUCCUCAGGAACAAACGUAACUACUCACAAAUCAUAUUCAUGUUCAUAAUCAGAGGGGUAUUAAUAUGCAUAAAGGAUCUGAACAAAUGAUUUUCCACCAAAUAAACCAACUAGCAUCAACUACAAGGAGUAAUCAACACUACUAGCAACCCACAGGUAUCAAUCUGAGGUUUUGAGACAAAGAUCGGAUACAAGAGAUGAACUAGGGUUUGAGAGGAGAUGGUUCUGGUGAAGAUGUUGAUGGAGAUUGACCCCCUCCCGAUGAGACGAUCGAUGGUGAUGACGAUGGUGAUGAUUUCUCCCUCCCGGAGGGAUGUUUCCCCCGCAGAACAGCUCUGCUGGAGCCCUAGAUUAGUUUCGCCAGGUUCCGCCUCGAGACGGCGGCGCUUCGUCCCGAAAGCUUCCUUCUGUUUUUUUCAGGGCGAAAGACUUCAUAUAACCAAAGAUGGGCACCGGAGGCCUGCCAGGGGGCCCACGAGGUAGGGCGCGCCCCCCACCCUCGUGGAUGGUGGGUGGCCCCCCUCUGGUGCUUUCUUCGCCCAAUAUUUUUUACAUAUUCCAAAACUGACUUUCGUGGAGUUUCAAGACUUUUGGAGUUGUGUAGAAUAGGUCUCUAAUAUUUGCUCCUUUUCCAGCCCAGAAUUCCAGCUGCCGGCAUUCUCCCUCUUCAUGCAAACCUUGUAAAAUAAGAGAGAAAAGGCAUAAGUAUUAUGACAUAAUGUGUAAUAACAGCCCAUAAUGCAAUAAAUAUCGAUAUAAAGCAUGAUGCAAAAUGGACGUAUUAGUGAGUCGGCUGGGUGAAGAUGACGAGGAAGUCUUCAGGCUGGUGAGCAGUGACCCGCAGCUGGUAGGGCGGGACGCAGAGCUGGGCCUCGAGAGCACGCCCGACCGCCAUCGGGGAUGUGGCCGCCACCCCAUCCAGAGCACGCAGCGUCACCGCAUGCUGCAUGAGGAAGAUGUCCCCUCCACCUCCACUAAGGAAACUCCCACCUUGUGACUGGUGCAAGGCCGGCGCGCGGGGUCCGCCAGGCUGAGCUCGGCCAUCAGAGGCGCGGGUCGGGUGAGCGGCUGGUACGGCGGCAGUGGCAAAGGAGUUCACGGUGGCGGCAGGGAGGGGAAGUGCAGGCAGGAGCUUACUAGGGGGCGAGAGGCGAAUGGACCUAGCCUAGCUGCAGUGGGGCUGCCCAGGCCAUUUCGAUGAUUUUGUGGACACUCGCGGCAAAAAUGCCCAAGGCGCUCACAGAUUAUGCAGUGAAGCGGAUCUCUACAAUCUUUCCGGCGAUGGAACUUGCUGAGGCAUCGAAAACAGCCGCCGUGGAAGCAGCUUAAGAAGGCCUCGCGUCCACCAGCCGCAUUGAAUGUAGUCCGGCGAUCCAGGGAGAGGGGCGGAGGGGCCCUGCUAUUGCCCGGUAGGUCGGAGGUGCGCCCGCGGUUCUUCUUAGAGGAGACAUUCGUCCAUCCAUCGUCCGGCCUCGAAGAGGAAAGAUUGACUGCGGGGGGUGUCGGUGUCAAAACCGGUGGAUCUCGGGUAGGGGGUCCCGAACUGUGCGUCUAAGGUCGAUGGUAACAGGAGACAGGGGACACGAUGUUUACCCAGGUUCGGGCCCUCUCUAUGGAGGUAAUACCCUACUUCAUGCUUGAUUGAUCUUGAUGGAUAUGAGUAUUACAAGAGUUGAUCUACCACGAGAUCAUAAUAGCUAAACCCUAGAAGUCUAGCCUGUAUGACUAUGGUAAUGAGUCUCUCCCUUUCCGGACUAAGUCCUCCGGUUUAUAUAGACACGGGUGUAGUCUUUGGUCUUCACAGCCCAUCAGUCUGGCCCAUGGCUAACAGGCUGGAUGCCCGAGGGCCCCUUAGUCCAGGACUCCCUCAGUAGCCCCUGAACCUGGCUUCAAUGACGAGGAGUCCGGCGCGCAGAUUUGUCUUCGACAUUGCAAGGCGGGUUCCCCUUUCCGAACUCCAGGAUUGUCUUCGGACGUAUCGACGCGUCCGGACCUGUAACACACACACCACACACAACCGCAGAGAGAAGACAAUUUUACAUGAGUCCAAUCCACUGACAACUUUUUGCAACAUGACAUCAUAUCUGUCCGGUUGUAAUUUCGAACCGUUUUUCGUCUGCCGCUCCAUGUUCCGAGACGCGGUUGUCAUUGGCACGUCUUGUCAAAGCAGGGAUCGUGUCCCCUUAUUGCGGGAUUCUCAUCAAUACGGGCGUGGGUAACCCAACCGUGCCGUUUGCACAACCCUUGGGAAUAGGCGAGUUUUAGGGCGAGUGGGGGGGCGUUUGACAUUCGCGGCCUUUAUAAGGGGAUAAGGAUUCGUCCUCAUUCACCCACGCCUUCUCCUUCCUCUGCCCCUCCAUUCUUGAGCUCUAGCACCCAAGCUCUAGCUUUCCCCGCCCGAGAAAGCACUCCAACCAUGUCCGGAUCCGGAGCUGGGGGCAAGUGGAUGGCCUCCUCCGUUAAGAAGAGAGAUAUCAAGGGGCUCCGAGAGGCCGGAUACCUGGCCAAGGAGAUCGUUCACCGACUCCCGGCCAAGGGACAAAUCGUCCCUACCCCAAGCCUCAUGAGAGGGUGGUGUUCCUCGCACAUUUCGUCCGCGGGCUGGGAUUCCCUCUCCACCCGUUUGUCCGCGGACUGAUGUUUUACUACGGGCUGGACUUCCAUGAUCUAGCCCCCAACUUCAUCUUCAACAUCUCAGCAUUUAUAGUUGUGUGCGAGGCCUUUCUCCGCAUCCCGCCUCACUUCGGCCUAUGGCUGAAGACCUUCAACGUGAAGCCGAAGGUGGUGAGCGGCCAACAAGCAGAGUGCGGAGGUGCCAUGGUGGGCAAGAUGCCCAAUAUCACCUGGCUCGAAGGCUCCUUCAUGGAGACGGUGAAGGGAUGGCAAUCGGGGUGGUUCUACAUCACCGAGCCGCGCAAUACCAACUGGGCGGCGGCCCCCGAAUUCCGAUCCGGAGUUCCCAUGCGGCUCACCUCCUGGCAAGAGAAGGGCCUGACCUGGGGAUCUUCGAACAAGCUGACUGGGCUCCAGACGUGCGUCCAGAACAUGAUAACCAAGAAGAUCAAGCUUGUCAAUGUGAUCCAGGUUAUGCUCAUCCGCCGGAUCCUUCCGUGCCAACGCCGGACCUGCUAUUUGUGGGAGUUUGAUCCGACCAAGCACCAGACGCUGCUAGAGCUCUUCGGCACGACGCACGAAGACAUCUGGAAAGUGCUCUUCAAGGCCGGCGAGACACCGCCGGCUACGACCGAGGAUCGUCGGCUUAGCUUAAAGCGCCAGGCCAAUUCGGUAAGCUUUUUCAUGUUUUCAAGGCAUAGCUUUUACUGGCAUGUUUUGGGGAAGGAGUCUAAGCCUUCCUAUCAAUUACUUUUAGGCCUGGACAGACAUAGCGGGGCGGAUUAAUUGUCCAGCUCCGCUACCCGAAGAUGAGGAAACCCCACUCCUGACGAGGAUGUUGUUUCUGGCGCCUUAUGAUGUGCCGGAGAAGAAGGCCAAGAAGUCGACCAAAGGGACCAGGAGUGGCCUUCGCCGAAAGGGUGCUUCGGUGUGACGCCCCCGAUUCGACCGUACACUAAUCAUACACGCAAAUGUGUACGAUCAAGAUCAGGGACUCACGGGAAGAUAUCACAACACAACUCUAGACACAAAUUGAAAUAAUACAAGCUUUUAUAUUACAAGCCAGGGGCCUCGAGGGCUCGAAUACAUAGCUCGAUACACAAGAGUCAGCGGAAGCAACAAUAUCUGAGUACAGACAUAAGUUAAACAAGGAUGCCUUAAGAAGGCUAGCACAAAAGCAACACGAUCGAAGAGGCAAGGCCUCCUGCCUGGGACCUCCUAACUACUCCUGGUCUUUAGUGGUCCCCACGUAGAAGUAGGCAUCCUCGGGGUAGUAGCAGACGUUGGCGGUGGCAUCUGGCUCCUGGGAUCCACCAUCUGGUUGUGACAACCAGAAAGAAGAAAGAAGGGGGGAAGGGGGAGCAAAGCAACCGUGAGUACUCAUCGAAAGUACUCGCAAGCAUCAGAUCUAUACUAAGUAUGCAUUGGUAUCAAAUGGAAGGGUUGUAUCUGUCGACUGAACUGCAGAAUGCCAGAAUAGAGGGGAAGGCCUAGCCUAUCGAAGACUAGCAUCUUCAAGCAGCUCCAAGCAUCUUGCAGCAUGUAGAAGAGUAAAGAAUAGCAGUUUAUAAUUAACAAGCAUGUUGUAGAAUUAAUGCCCAGAGAUCCUUCCUCGACUCCCUGCGAGAAAGCAAUCCCGGGGCCACAUAUCCAUCACAUAUCAAGUAUCCAUUUCUAGUUGUAUAAGAUCAGGAUACAAGUCUGAACAUCCAUUACCGUGGACACGGUAUUCGAAUAUAUGUCUUCCCUGCAGGGGUGCACCACGUUACCCAACACACUCGAUCACUCUGGCCGGACACACUUUCCUGGGUCAUGCCCGGCCUCGGAAGAUCAACACGUCGCAGCCCUACCUAGGCUCAGCAGAGAGGUCCCCGCCGGUCUACAUCCUAAGCGCCCCGGGGUCUUGGGCCCAUCGCCCGUUGCACUCUGGGUAGUUGCGCGCAGGGUGGAUACCAGCACCGCCUCGGAUGGCCAGCACGAUCCGACCAUGCCGCCAUGCUGAACUGGACGUCUGACAAAGCUUCGGCUGAUACUGCGACGUCGAGGCCCAUAUCUAUUCUCGCGUGGUGGUUAGUGCGUAAAGGCCAAAGGCCAAUUCAGGACAAAUACCCAAACCUGUUAGUGCAUUAACAAUUAAAGUAGUGACGGCUGUCGGGACAAGCCCGGAGCUAUCACCCCUCCUGGGUGAUACCGCUAAACAGCCAGCCGCCACCGUCACAUCGCACGGGUGCUCUCCGGGCCCGCCCGGCUUUCACAACAGUCUCAGGUAAAGUCAAGGUAACCGUGUGUACAAACAUCAAGGGGAAAACCCGAGGAAUCACCCCCGAAGGAUUCCACUCGAUGUGGUCAUCAAGGUGAACGUAAGAGGAUCCACCCUCGAGGUUCACACUUGAUGUGUUGCACGACAGAGCCGUAUCGGGAAUGGUGAAAGAGGAAAUCACCCUCAUUGACCACGACCGAAUAGCUACACUACAGAGAUCUCAUCAGGAGUGAUGUAAGAGGUUCCACCCUCGGCACUCGAUGGUAACUCUGUAGAGUCGAGCAACAAAAGGGGCGUGAUGUGAUGUGAGGUGUCGGGCUCUGGUCAUCGAUCACGUUGAUCGAGUCGUCGAUGAUGAAGCAGGGGCAACAAGGACAAGGUGGAGGUCACUGAUGGAUCUCUAACCAACCUAUACUAAGCAGUUUAGGAUAAGCAAGUAGGUAACAAUAGCAGGUACAAAAGCAGGCUAUGCAUCAGAAUAUGAGCAAUCAAUUACAGUAGCAAAAUCAAAUGCAAGCAUGAGAGAAUGGAAUGGGCGAUAUCGGGAUGAUCAAAUGGGGGGGGGCUUGCCUGAAAGCUCCGCUGAAAGGGAAGAAGGGGUCGUCGUCGACGUAGUCGGUCACAAUGGCAUCAGCAACGGUCUCGGGGUCUACCAGAGAGAAGAGGGGGGAAACAGUAAAUAUAUAGCAAGCAAGAGCAUAACAGGACAACAGACAGAGCUAGACGUGUUCUAACGCGGUGCUACACGAUACCGGCGAAGGGGGAUAACAUCCGGGAAUGCUUUCCCGAAGUUUGGCAUUUUUAGACAAACAAAACAGAAGGGGAUGGUUGCAUGUUCGCUAUGCUAGGAACGUGUGGCGGACGAACGAAGAGCGUAUUUGGAUCCGUCUCGUCGUUCUGAGCAACUUUCAUGUAUAAUACUUUUUCAUCCGAGUUACCGAUUAUUUUCUAUGAAUUUCUAAAGUUUUAGCAAUAUUCAGAAAUCAUUAUUAAUUCAAAAAUUAAAUAGUGAGAUACUUUUUAUACACAGUUUUAGCUAGCCUAUUAGAAUGACAGGUGGGGUCCAGUGGCUGAGUCAGCAUACACGGUCAGCAACUCAACAGUCAAAGGUUGACCUGGUCAAAGUGUGAAUAGUGGUUGUGGGGCCUACUUGUCAAUGACUUAUGGGUUAAUAAAUUAUUUAAACCAGUUUAAUUAGUGGUGGAGGGGUCCCACAUGUCAUAGCCCGUAACUAAACUAUUCUAGUUGAUUAGAUAAAUUAGCUGUGGGGCUCCACAUGUCAUAGGAGGUUAGUUAGUCUGAUUAGUGCUAAAUAAACUAGUUGGGCCUGCCAUAUGUGCAAUAGCACAAGCCAUUCUCACGGCUGUGGACCCAAACGCACACAUAACACAUGACCUUGUUUGGACGGGGCAAGCUCUCUAGUGCAGUUCAGUUUUGUCAGUUAUUUCUUCAGCAAACAACUUGGCAGCUACACACGCCGGACUGCCGGAGCAACCAACAAACAGCAGCGGCAGCAGCAGCUAGGCACGGCGCGACACUAGCAGCAGAAGCAGUAUAGAGUAGCAGCGGCAGCAACAGAGCAGCGGCAGAGGUUGGCGAGCAGCAUCAACAAAGCAAGCAGCAGCGACAGCACAAGCAGCAAGCAGCGGCAGUCGCAUGAGCAGCAGCAGCAGCACAGGGAAAUAGUAGCGGCAGAGCAGCAACCGCGGCAAGCAGUAGCGGCCGCAGCAGAAGCAGCAGACGCGGCGAGGAGCUGGCGAGGGCACGCGAGGAAGGCAGCAGGGGAGUGGUUGGGGCGAGGCGGGCGCGCACACUGACGACGCGGGAGCGAGGCUCGCGAUGCAGCGACGGUGGUGCUCAGAAUCGGCGCUCGGGCGCCCAUUUGACGCGUGGUCGGUGUGGAUCGGACGCGGGCAGCGCCGGGCGUCGACCGGUGCUAGUGGCAGCAGCAGGGGAGGUCGGAGACGGGCUCGGCGUCGACAACGACGGCGGCCGGAGCGGGAGCUAGACGAGCCCGUCGCUAUUGCGGGAGAGCGAGCGAGCCAGUGGGCUCGUUGGACUCGUAAGAGACCCAGGAGCACGGUGCACGGCUUGAGCGCGAGCGGUGCGUGCGGUGGCUACGAUGGCGAUGCUAGCGACGGCGAGGAGCUCGGCAUUGAUGGUGUCGGCGGCUACGUGCAGGGAAACAGAGGGGGAACAGAGGGGUUAUGACCGCACGCUCACCGUGGAGCUCAAGAAAGGCUCGUCGAGGUCACGGAGCAGCAGAGGGCGCCAGAAUCGACGGUGGCGCCGCGGUGGCCGGAGGUGGAAGAAGAUCUUCCGCUCGACUCGGCGCGUUCCGGAUCGAUUCGUGGACGUAGACGAAGUAGUGGACGGCGACGGAGAAGAUGGACGAGGUCUCAGGCACCGGGGAGCUCGGUGGGCACGAGGACGAGGUCGGCCAUGGCGGUGGCGGCGCGGGCUUCUUCCAGAUCGACGAGAGGGUGAGAGGGAGGGGCGAAGUGGGAAGCAGGGGCGUUAGGGUUUUGGGGGAGGGCUUCGAGUAGAUAUAGGAGGGGCGCGGUGGAUGGGCGCCACGGCAUCGCCCUCGGCCGUGGCGGUCAUCGCCGGCAUCCAAGCCUCCCUGUGAACAGGGAGGGGUGCAGGGGGACAGGUUGGGCCGGCCUUUAGUUAGGUGGGCUAAUGAGCCCAUUAGCUUAGGUCCUCCUCCUCCUUUUCAUUUCUUUCAUAAUUUUCUUUUAUAGUUUCUGUUUUAAUUUCUUUUCCAAUAGCAAAUGACCUUUAAGAAAAAUGAGACUUGGCCCACAAUUCGAGAUGCAACUAUUUACAAUGCCACAAAAUGUUUGGACUUUAUUUAAAGUAGUUUGCUAUUCCAGAAAUUAUAAAAGGCAUUUAUAAUAUUGUUUAAGCCACUGUUCUAACUACUUUUGAAAACUUAAACAUUUUAUGAAACUUUGGUUUCUUCACUAAUAAUACUUAUGAUUUAUUUGCCACAGUUUGCACAUUUUGGUUUUGACAUUUGAAAACUUUUAUUUUUGACUUUGUUUUAAAUUUGAAUUUGAGCCGUUUUCGGAUCAACGAGUGCCUAACAACAGUAAUCGUGGUGAUGUGGCUUCAUUAGCAGCGGAUUACUGUAGCUUAAUUAUCCGGGUGUCACAUUUGGACAUGUCGUUCGAAGACGAGACUGACUCUUCGGUCGCCGAAGACGACGGCGAGGAGGAGGAAGAAGGCAGCUCUCCCCCUGAGGGGGGAAGGAGAAAAGGGGGGCCUCCCUAAAUCUGGAGGCGAAGGCGCCCAAGAGGGGGAAGGGCUCCCUUGCGGAUAACUCAACAUGGGAUGUCGAUAGCAGUCCGGAGCGAAUGCCCCGGACCAAGCCUCGGGCCGCCUCGUAAGUACCAAAAACCCUAUGCACCUCCAAAUACCUGGCCUUUCCAGUUUAAUACGUUUAAAUUAUGCCAUUACAGUCUGGCCCGCGAUGGCUCCCUGCGAUCCUUGACAGAGGGUUCGCUAAACUCAAAGGAGAUGGCUAGCAUGUCUCCACCGCCCGCUCACUCUGUCUCGCCCAAGGGUGAUGACGAGGUGGUGUCCCAAUGGACCUUCCCAGACCGGGGGGAGGUUUCGGAGAUCGUCAGGGUGGCGCCCCAGGAUGACUCCUCGGCCGCCGAACACAUGGGGGAAAGAGCCCCCAUGGGGACUGGUGAUGGGAGCCAAGUUUCAUUCGGCCCUCAGCCGGAUACCAUUCCGGAGACCUACGUGGCUCCGGAGUCCAGCGAACGGCCUUCCCCGAAAGGAGGGGGUGUGCCUGUUCCGCUGGUGACCUCUGUCCAACCAGAGGCACCGGAUAAUCUGCUGGAAGCGCUGCGAGGCGCCUCCAUUGUGGAUGAACACCGUGUCCUCAUGGGUACGGUGAUCGAAAAGGUUCAGUCCGCCAAAAGCGGACUGACCGAGGCUUGCGCUAGCCUUUUAACAGGCUUUGAGGUAAUAAUCGUAGAGAGAAUAUCACAGUGUGGACAGUAGCCCCUGAUGCUCUGUUCGGUGUUCGGAAAGAAAAAGCCAAACAGAGGAUCAAAACAAUUUUUGCAGGAGUCUAGCAUAAGAUGUCUAUGUGAAUAAGCAGGCGUCGCUGCUGGCUGCUGCCGCUCAUACUGCGGAGGUCUCCGGCCUGAAGCAGAGCCCGGAGCGGGCCAACGAAGAGCUCGGCCUCAUAAAGAAGCAGCUGGAGGACAGCCCAGGUAUGCAGUAACCUGCGCGUAUAUUUUAGGAAGGAUGAAUGUUUCAUGCUGACUGAAGCGUCCUCAAGUUUGUUAGGGGCCACGACCGAGGUGGCGGCCCUCAAGAAGGCGUUAGCCGAGGUCGAGGACAAAGCGGCCAAUGAGCGCGCCGCGCGCGAGAAGCACGAGGCCCGAGUCGGCGAGGUCCAGCAAGAGCUCUAGGACGCCGUCAAGAAGUACGAGUCCUUGGAGCGUGAUUCUAAGACGCAAGCGUCCGAACUUGCGAAUGCCCGCCGGAGCGCACAAGAGGCUCGAGCCGAGGCCCAGAGCGCCCUUCAGGAAAUCCAAGCGGCCAAGAAGAUCGCGGCGGGUAAGGCUUUCAUUAUGCAAAGCAAAUCUGUGAAGGAAGCGUUCCUUUUACUUACCCGAAUUUGGAGCUCUCUGUUGGAAAUAUGCCCUAGAGGCAAUAAUAAAAUGGUUAUUAUUGUAUUUCCUUGUUCAUGAUAAUUGUCUAUUGUUCAUGCUAUAAUUGUAUUAACUGGAAACCGUAAUACAUGUGUGAAUACAUAGACCACAACAUGUCCCUAGUAAGCCUCUAGUUGACUAGCUCGUUGCUCAAUAGAUGGUUAUGGUUUCCUGACCAUGGACAUUGGAUGUCAUUGAUGACGGGAUCACAUCAUUAGGAGAAUGAUGUGAUGGACAAGACCCAAUCCUAAGCAUAGCACAAGAUCGUGUAGUUCGUUUGCUAAGAGCUUUUCUAAUGUCAAGUAUCGUUUCCUUAGACCAUGAGAUUGUGCAACUCCCGGAUACCGUAGGAAUGCUUUGGGUGUACCAAACGUCACAACGUAACUGGGUGGCUAUAAAGGUACACUACAUGUAUCUCCGAAAGUGUCUGUUGGGUUGGUACGAAUCGAGACUGGGAUUUGUCACUCCGCAUGACGGAGAGGUAUCUCUGGGCCCAAUCAAUAAUGCAUCAUCAUAAUGAGCUCAAUGUGACUAAGGAGUUAGCCACGGGAUCAUGCAUUACGGAACGAGUAAAGAGACUUGCCGGUAACAAGAUUGAACGAGGUAUUGGGAUACCGACGAUCGAAUCUCGGGCAAGCAACAUGCCGAUAGACAAAGGGAAUUGUAUACGGGAUUGAUUGAAUCCCCGACAUCGUGGUUCAUCCGAUGAGAUCAUCGUGGAACAUGUGGGAGCCAAUAUGGGUAUCCAGAUCCCGCUAUUGGUUAUUGGCCGGAGAGGUGUCUCGGUCAUGUCUGCAUGGUUCCCAACCCAUAGGGUCUACACACUUAAGGUUCAGUGACGCUAGAGUUGUUAUGGGAAAUAGUAUGUGGUUACCGAAGGUUGUUCAGAGUCUCGGAUGAGAUCCCGGACAUCACGAGGAGUUCCGGAAUGGUCCGGCGGUGAAGAUCGAUAUAUUGGACGAAGGGUAUUGGAGUCCGGAAGUGUUCCGGGGGUACCAGGCUAUGGCCAGCAUGACCGAAAGGUGUUUCGGGAGCCCCGGCAAGUGUUGGAGGGCCUCAUGGGCCAAAGGGGAAGGGGCAAACCAGCCCACUAAGGGGUGGUGCGCCCCCCACACCCUUUCCCACGUUACUUGGGGAGGUGGGGCGCCUCCACCUGGCAUGGGAGGCAAGCCUCCACCUGCUAGGCUUGGGGGCAAGUCUCCCUAGGAUUUUCCCUAGGGAGAUCCAAUCUGCUUGGCCGCCGCCCCUACGGGAAACCCUAGGGCGCCUCCCCCUCUCCCCUUGCCCCUAUAUAUAGUGGAGGGGUGGGAGGGCAGCCCCACCUCUUCCCUGGCGCAGCCCUCCCUCCUCAUACACCUCCUCCUCCUCCUCCGUAGUGCUUAGCGAAGCUCUGCCGGAGAACCAUGAGCUCCAUUGCCACCACGCCGUCGUGUUGCUGGAGUUCUCCCUCAACUUCUCCUCUCCCCUUGCUGGAUCAAGAAGGAGGAGACGUCCCCGGGCUGUACGUGUGUUGAAUGCGGAGGCGCCGUCCGUUCAGCGCUAGAUCGGAUCUUCCGCGAUUUGAAUCGCUACGAGUACGACUCCAUCAACCGCGUUCUUGUAACGCUUCCGCUUAGCGAUCUUCAAGGGUAUGAAGAUGCACUCCCUCUCUCUCGUUGCUAGCAUCUCCUAGAUUGAUCUUGGUGACACGUAGGAAAAUUUUGAAUUAUUGCUACGUUACCCAUCACUCUCCAGGUGCGUUUUCGGAUUUUCCGCGGAGCGUAUCAGAUGCUGCCGAGUUCUAUCGAGCCGGAGAAGGGAGUUCUAUGGAGAAGCUGUUCUGGUCUCAAUAUCUUGGACCAGAACAUCCGGUGUCCUUCAGCGACCAGCUGAAACAGCUGGUCGAGCUGCACAAGGCGGCCGAGCUAGCCAUGAAGGAGCUGAUAGUCCGAUUGUGGCCUGCCGCGCCGAUACCCACCAGCUACUUCAGACUUGUGAAGCGGCUUGUUGAUGCCUGCCCACGGCUGGAGGUUAUAAAGCGGUUGGUCUGUAUCGAAGGUGCACGGAUGGUCUUUGCCCGCGUUAAGACGCACUGGGCGAAGAUGGAUGCCAAGAAGCUAAUGACCGAGGGGCCGCCUGAGGGCAAGGAGCACCGCCGACCCGAGUUAUAUUUUGAUGGUGUCCUGGAGGGAUCCCGCCUUGUGGCGGAGCAAUGUACGAAGGAUGUUAUAUUCCCAUGAAAACAUUCGUAUUAUCCUGUCGUGUAAUAUGGAAAAAUGAUGUUAUGUAAUAUAAUGCUUGUGAUUUUAAAAUUUUACCUCCUGUGCGGCCGUUUGUGAAAUCUGAGGGUUGGCCAGUCAUCGGCUUGUGCCCCCACGUAGAUAGUACGGGGGUGUUCGGGAUAAAUCUAAACACUCUUUACUCCAUAUUCUGGUCCUUAAAGGAGGUGUUUAGCGCAACGAACAAGGCAAUCAGACUAUACGGCCUUUAUCGCACUCAUUUAGCCAUAGGAGUUUGACAAUGAAAAUUUUGGCGAAGCCCCUGGUAUUCGGAAGGCCGAACUUGGGGCAUUACACGCACCUGACCGGAUAAGAAACCGAUUCCUCGCAUAAAGCGGAAAAAAUCUCUAAGGAUUUGAAACCUCUCGAACAGCUGACCAGCUCGCGCUGCAUCAUGACAGUCAGUUUUCGGCUUUCUCUACUGAGGCGCUCGUCCGGAAGAACAGGGACACAAUCGCAGUAGUUCUCCCUUUACUACCCUAGCCGAUAUAGCGGAACAUAAGGUAGUAAGCACAGGAGCCGGGCAACCCAACUAUUGACCAAAGACAUUAUUCGGAGGCGAUGCAUAUAAUGCUAUAAGUUCGGGGUGCCGAACUGCACUAAAAAAGGUGUUCGGGCUUUAUUGCCGUACUGCGGGGCGCGAAAGCCCCUGGUGAAGUAAAAUGUACGAGAGUGUACGUAUGCAAUGAGUAAUAGAUACAAAGGUAAGGAAUGAGGGAAAAUAAGUAAUAAGCUGACGCUACCAUUUAUUUACCAUUUGUAAUGUGAUUAAUACGUCGAGGCUUACUUGUACAAGUAAUGCGAUAAGCAAAUAAGGCUAUUUAACAUGCCAUGACCAAGAGCGAGCUGCGUGCGGGUAUGUAAAACAGGUAUAGCAAUCAUUAGCAGAGACCACCUGGGGAUUCCCUUGUACGUCAAAGCUCCUUGCCUCCUUGGUAUGUCCGACAAACGGGUUGUCAGAAGAAACCUCGAAAAGAGAAAAACCCGAAAUGAAAAGGAAAAGUGAAGGUUUGCGAAUCCGGUGUACAAGGGUCGGUCGAGCCGCACUGUGGAUCGUGAGCUAGGUAUGCCUCCGUCGAUACCCAUGGGAUUUUGAGUGCGUAGUUAUGUACGCGUGGUACGAAUAGAACACAAAGUAGUUAUCAUGAGCUAGGUCUAUGCGUAGAUUCUAUGCACGAGUAGAACACAAAGUAGUUGUGGGCGAUGAUUUGUUCAAUUUGCUUACCGUUACUAGUCUUAUCUUGAUUCGGCGGCAUUGUGGGAUGAAGCAGCCCGGACCGACCUUACACGUACACCUACGUGAGACAGGUUCCACCGACUGACAUGCACUUGCACUUGAUGCAUAAGGUGGCUAGCGGGUGUCUGUCUCUCCCACUUUAGUCGGAUUGGAUUCGAUGAAGAGGGUCCUUAUGAAGGGUAAAUAGCAAUUGGCAUAUCACCGUUGUGGCUUUUGUGUAGGUAAGAAACGUUCUUGCUAGAAACCCAUAGCAGCCACGUAAAACAUGCAACAACAAUUAGAGAACGUCUAACUUGUUUUUGCAGGGUAUGCUAUGUGAUGUGAUAUGGCCAAAAGGAUGUGAUGAAUUAUAUAUAUGUGAUGUAUGAGAUUGAUCAUGUUCUUGUAAUAGGAAUCACGACUUGCAUGUCGAUGAGUAUGACAAUCGGCAGGAGAUAUAGGAGUUGUCUUAAUUUAUUGUAUGACCUGCGUGUCAAUCAAAAACGCCAUGUAAUUACUUUACUUUAUUGCUAACCGUUAGCCAUAGUAGUAGAAGUAAUAGUUGGCGAGAAAACUUCAUGAAGACACGAUGAUGGAGAUCAUGGUGUCAUGCCGGUGACGAAGGUGAUCAUGCCGCGCCUCGAAGAUGGAGAUCAAAGGCGCAAGAUGAUAUUGGCCAUAUCAUGUCACUUUAUGAUUUACAUGUGAUGUUUGUCAUGUUUACGUCUUAUUUGCUUAGAAAGACGGUAGCAUAAAUAAGAUGAUCCCUCACUAAAAUUUCAAGAGACGUGUUCCCCCUAACUGUGCACCGUUGCGAAGGUUCAUUGUUUCGAAGCACCACGUGAUGAUCGGGUGUGAUAGAUUCUAACGUUCGCAUACAAUGGGUGUAAGCCAGAUUUACACAUGCGAAACACUUAGGUUGACUUGACGAGCCUAGCAUGUACAGACAUGGCCUCGGAACACAAGAGACCGAAAGGUCAAACAUGAGUCGUAUAGUAGAUACGAUCAACAUGGAAAUGUUAACCGUUGAUGACUAGUCCGUCUCACGUGAUGAUCGGACACGGUCUAGUCGAUUCGGAUAAUGUAUCACUUAGAUGACUAGAGGGAUGUCUAUCUAAGUGGGAGUUCAUUAAAUAAUUAGAUGAACUUAAUUAUCAUGAACAUAGUCAAAAGGUCUUUGCAAAUUAUGUCGUAGCUUACGCUUUAGUUCUACUGUUUAAGAUAUGUUCCUAGAGAAAAAUUUAGUUGAAAGUUGAUAGUAGCAAUUAUGCGAACUGGGUCCGUAAACUGAGGAUUGUCCUCAUUGCUGCACAGAAGGCUUAUGUCCUUAAUGCACCGAUCGGUGUGCUGAACCUCGAGCGUCCUUUGUGGAUGUUGCGAACAUCUGACAUACACGUUUUGAUGACUACGUGAUAGUUCAGUGCGUAAUGUUGAACGGUUUAGAAUUGAGGCACCGAAGACAUUUUGAAAUGUCGCGAAACAUGUUAGAUGUUCCAAGAGCUAAAAUUGGGAUUUUAGGCUCGUGCCCACGUCAAGAGGUAUGAGACCUCUGACAAGUUUCUUAAGCCUGCAAACUAAGGGAGAAAAGCUCAACCGUUGAGCAUGUGCUCAGAUUGUCUGAGUACUACAAUCGCUUGAAUCGAGUGGGAGUUAAUCUUCCAGAUGAGACAGUGAUGGUUCUCCAAAGUCACUGCCACCAAGCUAUUAGAGCUUCGUGAUGAACUAUAACAUAUCAGGGAUAGACAUGAUGAUCCUUGAGCAACUCGCGAUGUUUGACACCGCGAAAGUAGAAAUCAAGUAGGAGCAUCAAUUGUUGAUGGUUAGUAAAACCACUAGUUUCAAGAAGGGCAAGGGAAAGAAGGGAUACUUCAUGAAACGGCAAAUCAGUUGCUGCUCUAGUGAAGAAACCCAAGGUUGAACCCAAACCCGAGACUAAGUGCUUCUGUAAUGAGGGGAACGGUCGCUGAAGCAGAACUACCCUAGAUACUUGGUAGAUGAGAAGGCAGGCAAGGUCGACAGAAGUAUAUUGGAUAUACAUUAUAUUAAUGUGUACUUUACUAGUAGUCCUAGUAGCACCAGGGUAUUAGAUACCGGUUCGGUUGCUAAGUGUUGGUAACUCGAAAUAAAAGGCUACGGAAUAAACGGAGACUAGCUAAAGGUGAGAUGACGAUAUGUGUUGGAAGUGUUUCCAAGGUUGAUGUGAUCAAGCAUCGCAUGCUCCCUCUACCAUCGAGAUUGGUGUUAAACCUAAAUAAUUGUUAUUUGGUGUUUGCGUUGAGCAUAGACAUGAUUGGAUUAUGUUUAUCGCAGUACGGUUAUUCAUUUAAGGAGAAUAAUGGUUACUCUGUCUAUUUGAAUAAUACCUUCAAUGGUCUUUCACUUAAAAUGAAUGGUUUAUUGAAUCUCGAUCGUAGUGAUACACAUGUUCAUGCCAAAAGAUAUAAGAUAGUACCACAUACUUGUGGCACUGCCACUUGAGUCAUAUUGGUAUAAAACGCAUGAAGAAGCUCCAUGUUGAUGGAUCUUUGGACUCACUCGUUUUUGAAAAGAUUGAGAUAUGCGAACCAUGUCUAUUAGUAUAUAUGCAUGAAGAAAGUCCAUACAGAUGGAUCGUUUGGACUCACUUGAUUUUGAAUCACUUGAGACAUGCAAAUCAUACCACAUGGGCAAGAUGACUGAAAGGCCUCGUUUUUCAGUAAGAUGAAACAAGAGAGCAACUUGUUGGAAGUAAUACAUUUGAUGUGUGCAGUCCAAUGAGUGCUGAGGCACGCAGUGGAUAUCGUUAUGUUCUUACUUCAUAGAUGAUUUGAGUAGAUGCUAAGAAUAUUUACUUGAUGAAACACAAGUUUGAAUUAUUGAAAGGUUCAGGUAAUUUCAGAGUGAAGUUGAAGAUCGUCGUGACAAGAGGAUAAAAUGUCUAUGAUAUGAUCAUAGAGAUAUUUGAGUUACGAGUUUGGCACACAAUUAAGACAUUGUGGAAAUUGUUUCACAACUAAUACCGCCUAAAACACCAUAGUGUGAUGGUGUGUCUGAAAUCAUAACUGCACCCUAUUGGAUAUGGUGCAUACCAUGAUGUCUCUUAUCGAAUUACCACUAUCGUUUAUGGGUUAGGCAUUAGAGACAACUACAUUCACUUUAAAGAGGGCACCACAUAAUUCCGUUGAGACGACACCGUAUGAACUAUGGUUUAGAUAAACCUAAGCUGUUGUUUCUUAAAAGUUUGGGGUUGCGACGCUUAUGUGAAAAAGUUUCAGGCUGAUAAGCUCGAACCCAAAACGGAUAAAUGCAUCUUCAUAGAAUACCCAAAAUAGUUGGGUAUACCUCCUAUUUCAGAUCUGGAAGCAAAAGUGAUUGUUUGUAGAAACGGGUCCUUUCUCGAGGAAAAGUUUCUCUUGAAAGAAUUGAGUGGGAGGAUGGUGGAGACUUGAUGAGGUUAUUGAACCGUCACUUCAACUAGUGUGUAGGAGGGCACAAGAAGUUGUUCCUGUGGCACCUACACCAAUUGAAGUGGAAGCUUAUGAUAGUGAUCAUGAAACUUCGGAUCAAGUCACUACCAAACCUCGUAGGACGACAAGGAUGUGUACUACUUCAGAGUGGUACGUAAUCAUGUCUUGGAAGUCAUGUUGCUAGACAACAAUGAACCUACGAGCUAUGGAGAAGCGAUGGUGGGCCCGGAUUCCGACGAAUGGCUUGAGGCCAUAAAACCGAGAGGAUCCAUGUACGAAAACAAAGUAUAGACUUUGGAAGAACUACUUGAUGGUCGUAAGGCUGUUGGGUGCGGAUGGAUUUUAAAAGGAAGACAGACAAUGAUGGUAAGUGUCACCAUUAAGAAAGCUCGACUUGUCGUUAAGAUGUUUUCCGGCAAGUUCAAGGAGUUGACUACGAUGAGAUUUUCUCACUCGUAGCGAUGCUAAGAGUCUGUUGGAAUUAUAUUAGCAGUUACUGCAUUAUUUAUGAAAUCUUGCAGAUAGGAUGUCAAAAAAAACAUUGUUUCCUCGACGAUUUUCUUGAGGAAAGGUUGUAUGUGAUACAACCAGAAGGUUUUGUUAAUCCUGAAAGAUGCUAACAAGUAUGCAAAGCUCCAGCAAUCCUUCUAAGGACUGGAGUAAGCAUCUCGGAGUUGGAAUGUACGCUUUGAUGAGAUGAUCAAAGAUUUUGGGUUUAUACAAAGUUUAUGAGAAACUUGUAUUUCCAAAGAAGUGAGUGGGAGCACUAUAGAAUUUUUGAUGAGUAUAUGUUGUUAACAUAUUGUUGAUCAGAAAUGAUGUAGAAUUUCUGGAAAGCAUAAAGGGUUAUUUGAAAAGUGUUUUUCAAUGGAAAACCUGGAUUAAGCUACUUGAACAUUGAGCAUCAAGAUCUAUAAGGAUAGAUCAAAAACGCUUAAUAGUACUUUCAAAUGAAUACAUACCGUGAUAAGAUUUUGAAGGAGUUCAAAAUAGAUCAGCAAAGAAGGAGUUCUUGGCUGUGUUGCAAGGUGUGAGUAUUGAGUAAGACUCAAGACCUGACCACGACAGAAGAGAGAGAAAGGACGAAGGUCGUCCCCUAUGCUUUAGACGUAGGCUCUACAGUAUGCUAUGUUGUGUACCGCACCUGAAGUGUGCCUUGCCAUGAGUUAGUCAAGGGGUACAAUAGUGAUCCAGGAAUGGAUCACAUGACAGCGGUCGAACUUAUCCUUAGUAACUAGUGGACUAAGGAAUUUUCUCGAUUAUGGAGGUGGUAAAAGAGUUCGUCGUAAAGGGUUACGUCGAUGCAAACUUUGACACUAAUCCGGAUGAAUCUGAGUAGUAAACCGGAUUCGUAUAGUAGAGCAGUUAUUUGGAAUAGCUCCAAGUAGCGCAUGGUAGGUACAUCUACAAGAUGACAUAGAGAUUUGUAAAGCACACACGGAUCUGAAAGGUUCAGACCCGUUGACUAGUAACCUCUCUCACAAGCGUGAUAUGAUAAAACACCAAUGGGUGUUAGAUUCAUUACAAUCACAUAGUGAUGUGAACUAGAUUAUUGACUCUAGUGCAAGUGGGAGACUAUUGGAAAUAUGCCCUAGAGGCAAUAAUAAAAUGGUUAUUAUUGUAUUUCCUUGUUCAUGAUAAUUGUCUAUUGUUCAUGCUAUAAUUGUAUUAACUCGAAACCGUAAUACAUGUGUGAAUACAUAGACCACAACAUGUCCCUAGUAAGCCUCUAGUUGACUAGCUCGUUGAUCAAUAGAUGGUUAUGGUUUCCUGACCAUGGACAUUGGAUGUCAUUGAUGACGGGAUCACAUCAUUAGGAGAAUGAUGUGAUGGACAAGACCCAAUCCUAAGCAUAGCACAAGAUCGUGUAGUUCGUUUGCUAAGAGCUUUUCUAAUGUCAAGUAUCGUUUCCUUAGACCAUGAGAUUAUGCAACUCCCGGAUACCGUAGGAAUGCUUUGGGUGUACCAAACGUCACAACGUAACUGGGUGGCUAUAAAGGUACACUACAGGUAUCUCCGAAAGUGUAUGUUGGGUUGGUACGAAUCGAGAUUGGGAUUUGUCACUCCGUAUGACGGAGAGGUAUCUCUGGGCCCACUCGGUAAUGCAUCAUCAUAAUGAGCUCAAUGUGACUAAGGAGUUAGCCACGGGAUCAUGCAUUACGGAACGAGUAAAGAGACUUGCCGUUAACAAGAUUGAACGAGGUAUUGGGAUACCGACGAUCGAAUCUCGGGCAAGCAACAUGCCGAUAGACAAAGGGAAUUGUAUACGGGAUUGAUUGAAUCCCCGACAUCGUGGUUCAUCCGAUGAGAUCAUCGUGGAACAUGUGGGAGCCAAUAUGGGUAUCCAGAUCCCGCUAUUGGUUAUUGGCCGGAGAGGUGUCUCGGUCAUGUCUGCAUGGUUCCCGAACCCGUAGGGUCUACACACUUAAGGUUCGGUGACGCUAGAGUUGUUAUGGGAAAUAGUAUGUGGUUACCGAAGGUUGUUCAGAGUCCCGGAUGAGAUCCCGGACAUCACGAGGAGUUCCGGAAUGGUCCGGCGGUGAAGAUCGAUAUAUUGGACGAAGGGUAUUGGAGUCCGGAAGUGUUCCGGGGGUACCAGGCUAUGGCCAGCAUGACCGAAAGGUGUUUCGGGAGCCCCGGCAAGUGUUGGAGGGCCUCAUGGGCCAAAGGGGAAGGGGCAAACCAGCCCACUAAGGGGUGGUGCGCCCCCCACACCCUUUCCCACGUUACUUGGGGAGGUGGGGCGCCUCCACCUGGCUUGGGAGGCAAGCCUCCACCUGCUUGGCUUGGGGGGCAAGUCUCCCUAGGAUUUCCCUAGGGAGAUCCAAUCUGCUUGGCCGCCGCCCCUAGGGGAAACCCUAGGGCGCCUCCCCCUCUCCCCUUGCCCCUAUAUAUAGUGGAGGGGUGGGAGGGCAGCCCCACCUCUUCCCUGGCGCAGCCCUCCCUCCUCAUACACCUCCUCCUCCUCCUCCUCCGUAGUGCUUAGCGAAGCUCUGCCGGAGAACCAUGAGCUCCAUUGCCACCACGCCGUCGUGUUGCUGGAGUUCUCCCUCAACUUCUCCUCUCCCCUUGCUGGAUCAAGAAGGAGGAGACGUCCCCGGGCUGUACGUGUGUUGAACGCGGAGGCGCUGUCCGUUCGGCGCUAGAUCGGAUCUUCUGCGAUUUGAAUCGCUGUGAGUACGACUCCAUCAACCGCGUUCUUGUAACGCUUCCGCUUAGCGAUCUUCAAGGGUAUGAAGAUGCACUCCCUCUCUCUCGUUGCUAGCAUCUCCUAGAUUGAUCUUGGUGACACGUUUUGAAUUACCGCUACGUUACCCAUCACUCUCCAGGUGCGUUUACGGAUUUGCCGCGCAGCGUAUCAGAUGCUGCCGAGUUCUAUCGAGCCGGAGAAGGGAGUUCUAUGGAGAAGCUGUUCUGGUCUCAAUAUCUUGGACCAGAACAUCCGGUGUCCUUCAGCGACUAGCUGAAACAGUUGGUCGAGCUGCACAAGGCGGCCGAGCUAGCCAUGAAGGAGCUGAUAGUCCGAUUGUGGCCUGCCGCGCUGAUACCCAGCAGCUACUUCGGACUUGUGAAGCGGCUUGUUGAUGCCUGCCCACGGCUGGAGGUUAUAAAGCGGUUGGUCUGUAUCGAAGGUGCACGGAUGGUCUUUGCCCGCGUUAAGACGCACUGGGCGAAGAUGGAUGCCAAGAAGCUAAUGACCGAGGGGCCGCCUGAGGGCAAGGAGCACCGCCGACCCGAGUUAUAUUUUGAUGGUGUCCUAGAGGGAUCCCGCCUUGUGGCGGAGCAAUGUACGAAGGAUGUUAUAUUCCCAUGAAAACAUUCGUAUUAUCCUGUCCUGUAAUAUGGAAAAAUGAUGUUAUGUAAUAUAAUGCUUGUGAUUUUAAAAUUUUACCUCCUGUGCGGCCGUUUGUGAAAUCUGAGGGUUGGCCAGUCAUCGGCUUGUGCCCCCACGUAGAUAGUACGGGGGUGUUCGGGAUAAAUCUAAACACUCUUUACUCCAUAUUCUGGUCCUUAAAGGAGGUGUUUAGCGCAACGAACAAGGCAAUCAGACUAUACGGCGUUUAUCGCCCUCACUUAGCCAUAGGAGUUUGACAAUGAAAAUUUUGGCAAAGCCCCUGGUAUUCGGAAGGCCGAACUUGGGGCGUUACACGCACCUGACCGGAUAAGAAACCGAUUCCUCGCAUAAAGCGGAAAAAAUCUCUAAGGAUUUGAAACCUCUCGAACAGCUGACCAGCUCGCGCUGCAUCAUGACAGUCAGUUUUCGGCUUUCUCUACUGAGGCGCUCGUCCGGAAGAACAGGGACACAAUCGCAGUAGUUCUCCCUUUACUACCCUAGCCGAUAUAGCGGAACAUAAGGUAGUAAGCACAGGAGCCGGGCAACCCAACUAUUGACCAAAGACAUUAUUCGGAGGCGAUGCAUAUAAUGCUAUAAGUUCGGGGUGCCGAACUGCACUGAAAAAGGUGUUCGGGCUUUAUUGCCGUACUGCGGGGCGCGAAAGCCCUUGGUGAAGUAAAAUGUACGAGAGUGUACGUAUGCAAUGAGUAAUAGAUACAAAGGUAAGGAAUGAGGGAAAAUUAAGUAAUAAGCUGACGCUACCAUUUAUUUACCAUUUGUAAUGUGAUUAAUACGUCGAGGCUUACUUGUACAAGUAAUGCGAUAAGAAAAUAAGGCUAUUUAACAUGCCAUGACCAAGAGCGAGCUGCGUGCGGGUAUGUAAAACAGGUAUAGCAAUCAUUAACAGAGACCACCUGGGGAUUCCCUUGUACGUCAAAGCUCCUUGCCUCCUUGGUAUGUCCGACAAACGGGUUGUCAUAAGAAACCUCGAAAAGAGAAAAACCCGAAAUGAAAAGGAAAAGUGAAGGUGUGCGAAUCCGGUGUACAAGGGUCGGUCGAGCCGCACCGUGGAUCGUGAGCUAGGUAUGCCUCCGUCGAUACCCAUGGGAUUUUGAGUGCGUAGUUAUGUACGCGUGGUACGAAUGCCGCUGUUUGACCGGGACUAGGACGGAGGCCAAAUUGCUAAUUAAGCUCUUGACGUGCUGGGCUGUCUUGCUGCAGAAUAGUCCGGACUCUUUUACCGGUGUCCGGGGGCUUGGUCGCUGAACUAAAGUUCUGCUGGAAAAGGCCACGCAGUAUUUCUGCUGCUAAGGCCGUUGUGUGCUCCUCGGUAUGGAGGGAGCGUUCCGUAUUUCCAUUGAUUUUUAUGACGCCACGUGGUCCGGGCAUCUUGAGCUUGAGAUAAGCGUAGUGAGGUACCGCAUUGAAUCGAGCAAGUGCGGUUCGUCCGAGCAGUGCAUGAUAGGCGCUGCGAAAGGGGGCGAUAUCGAAGAUUAACUCCUCGCUUCGGAAGUUAUCCGGAGAUCCGAAGACAACCUCUAGUGUGAUUAAGUCCAUACAGCGGGUAUGUACGCCUGGUAUGACUCCUUUAAAGGUAGACCUUGUUGGUUUCAUCCGUGAUGGGUUAAUGCCCAUUUUGCGUACUGUGUCCUGAUAGAGCAGAUUGAGGCUGCUGCCACCGUCCAUGAGGACUCGCGUUAGGUGGAAUCCGUCGAUGAUUGGGUCUAGGACUAGUGUGGCUGAUCCGCCGUGCCGGAUACUGGUCGGAUGAUCCCGAAGAUCAAAAGUGAUCGGGCAUGAUGACCAUGGGUUCAAUUUUGGGGCGACUGGCUCUCUCGCAUAAACGUCCCUUAGUGCGCGCUUGCGCUCCCUUUUGGGGAUGUGUGUAGCGUAUAUCAUGUUCAACGUUUUUACUUGAGGGGGAAACUUCUUCUGUCCCCCUGUGCUUGGCUGCAGGGGCUCCUCGUCGUCGUCCUUGCUCUGCGGUCCCUUUUCCUUAUUCUCGGCGUUUAACUUGCCGGCUUGCUUAAAAACCCAGCAAUCUCUGUUGGUAUGAUUGGCUGGUUUGUGUGGGGUGCCAUGGAUUUGGCACGGACGGUCAAGUAUGCGGUCCAUGCUAGAUGGUCCCUGAUUGUUUCUUUGGUACAACUUUUUUCGCCGACCAGACUUGGAGCCGCUGAAUCCGGUGUUUACAGCAGUUUCAUCGGUGUUAUCGCCAUUGCUUCGGCAUUUGUGUCUGCUGCCUCGGAGCUUGCUGUUUGCUGUUUUUUGGCCUCGGAGGGGCCUGCCUCACUGGCCGUAUUUUUACUACGAGCCAGCCAGAUGUCCUCACCCGCACAAAAGCGGGUCAUGAGGGCCAUGAGGGCGGCCAUAGAUUUCGGCUUUUCUUGGCCGAGAUGGCGAGCGAGCCAUUCAUUGCGGAUGCUGUGUUUAAAGGCCGCUAGGGCUUCUGCAUCCGGACAGUCGACGAUCUGGUUCUUUUAGUUAGGAACCUAGUCCAGAAUUUCCUGGCUGACUCCCUGGGCUGUUGAGCUAUGUGACUUAAGUCAUCGGCGUCUGGCAGCCGGACAUAUGUACCUUGGAAGUUGUCGAGAAAGGCUUCUUCCAAGUCCUCCCAGCUGCCGAUGGAAUUUUUAGGCAUGCUGUUUAACCAGUGCCGAGCUGGCCCUUUGAGUUUUAGUGGGAGGUAUUUGAUAGCAUGGAGGUCAUCUCUGCGGGCCAUGUGAAUGUGGAGAAUAAAAUCCUCGAUCCAUACCGCGGGAUCGGUUGUUCCGUCGUAUGAUUCAAUAUUGACGGGUUUGAACCCUUCGGGGAAUUCAUGGUCCAUUACUUCAUCAGUGAAGCAAAGAGGGUGUGCGGCGCCUCUAUAUCGAGCCGCGUCACGACGUAACUCUGAUGGAGUCCGUCUAUGGUUAUCGGCUCGAGCGUGACUAGGUUUGUCACGUCCGAAUAGGUAGCCGUCGUCGCGUGUCAAGGUACGUCCUCGCGAUCCAUAGAUCGAUCUUGUAUGUCCUGCUCUACUGUCCAGGUCUUGACGAAGGUCAUAUGUAUAGCCCCGAGCUGUCUUAUCCCUGCCUUUUCGGUGAGGUGGGACUAUCCUUUUUUGGCUCGGGCUGCCGUUUUAUCCCGGCCGCGCGGUGGCCGAUCGACCGCAUUGCGUGAUGCUGGUGUGGUUCUGGCGCCUCAUCAUCGAACUGAGGUAGCAAUUUGCGCUUCGGGUAACUUUUGGCUGGUCGUUUAAGGUCGUAUUCUUCGGCUGCCAGGACAUCGGUCCAUCUGUCAUUGAGCAGGUCUUGAUCAGCUUGAAGGUGCUGCUGCUUCUUUUUCAGGCUCCUCGCAGUGGCUAUUAGCGGAAGCUUAAAGCGCUCAUGCUCGAGAGGUUCCUUAGGCAUGAUGAAGUCUUCAUUGCCGAGGCUCACCUCCUCCUCGGAGAGCGGAUGGUAACUACCGUCCUCCGAGUCUUCUUCCGUGGCAUGUUCGUCAGGGCGGAAUUGCCCCUCUUCCCGAUGGUCUUGUUCGGCAGUUUGUUCCUCGGGCUCCUCUGUGUCUUCGGCACCAUCCGGAGUGUUGUCAUUUCCUGUGCCGGCAUUGUUGUCUCUGCUGCGGCGUGAUUUAGAGCGGCGUCGUUGACGCCGGCGCUUUGGUUGUGUCUUAGGAGGGUCCUCCUUCACUAGGUUUUCCUUGUCAUCGCCGCUAUUAUUUUUGGGCGUAUCUACCAUGUAUACGUCGUAUGAGGAAGUGGCCAUCCAAUGUCCAGUGAAUGGCGGGUCUUGGCCUUGCUCCCCUUUGUCAUCGUCGUCCAUACCGUCGAUGUCUUCGGAGCUGUAAUCAAGCAUGUCGGUUAAGUCCUCGACAGUGGCUAUGAAGUGGGUGGCGGGUGGGAACUAAAAUUCUCGAUCGUCAGCUCCUAGUUCGAACCGGACAUAGCUCGGCUGAGAGUUCCCCGCCAAGGAUAGGCUCUUUAAUGAGUUUAGCACAUCGCCCAAAGGCGAGUGCUGGAAGAUGUCUGCGGCGCUGAAUUCGAAAAUCGAUGAACGAUCGAGUUCGGCGUCCGCGGGCUCACAUGGUUCGGAACUUAUAACCAGAGACGAGUCCGGAAUUCCGGUCACAUGGAUAUUGUGUGAGGUUAAGUCCAUCUGUGGCUCCAACGCCGGGGAAUCUGUGGCCUCCGUGGUGGGGUUGAGCCUCCCAUCCUUGGAUGUCGCAGUGUGCUCUGGAUCUAAGGCCAGAGUGGUCACAGGAGCUAUCUCCGGGGUGCGGUCUGAUGAUAGAUUUAGGUCAUGUUCGUCAAGGUGACCAGGGGCGAUCGCUGCGGUCUCAAAUCCGGCAAAGAUCAAAUCUCCAUGGAUGUCCACAACGUAAUUCAAGCUCCCAAAUCUGACCUGAUGGCCAGGGGCGUAGCUAUCGAUCUGCUCCAGGUGGCCAAACGAGUUGGCCCGUAGCGCGAAGCCGCCGAACACGAAGAUCGGUCCAGGGAGGAAGGUUUCUCCUUGGACAGCAUCACUAUCGACGAUUGAAGGGGCCAUCGAACCUUUCGUCGAUGGCACAGUGGAACUCUCAAUGAAAGCACCAAUGUCGGUGUCAAAAUCGGCGGAUCUCGGGUAGGGGGUCCCGAACUGUGCGUCUAAGGUCGAUGGUAACAGGAGACAGGGGGCACGAUGUUUACCCAGGUUCGGGCCCUCUCUAUGGAGGUAAUACCCUACUUCCUGCUUGAUUGAUCUUGAUGGAUAUGAGUAUUACAAGAGUUGAUCUACCACGAGAUCGUAAUAGCUAAACCCUAGAAGUCUAGCCUGUAUGACUAUGGUAAUGAGUCUCUCCCUUUCCGGACUAAGUCCUCCGGUUUAUAUAGACACCGGGAGGAUCUACGGUUACAUAAGGUCGGUUACAAAGAAAGGAAUCUACAUAUUCGGUCGCCAAGCUUGCCUUCCACGCCAAGGAGAGUCCCAUCCGGACACGGGUGCAGUCUUCGAUCUUCACAGCCCAUCAAUCCGGCCCAUGGCUAACAGGCCGGACACCCAAGGACCCCUUAGUCCAGGACUCCCUCAGGGGGUGGGACAAUGAUGAUAGAUUGAAGGCGACGGGGAGGAGGCUCUACUAGAUCGGCAGGAUCUGCGGCAGGAUCGACGAUGAUGGAUUUAAGGCGCUGAGCCGGCUGCUCCGUCGGAUCUGGCCCAAUUACUGCAUCCGCGGGCGUUGAGCAUUCACCACGAAGCAUGAUUCGUGGCGGGAAUGUCAGAUCUUGGGUGGGGGAGGUGCCACAGCAUCGGGGCGCAUGGGGUGGUGGAGAGGCCGUCUUUGGACCGGAGGGCGAAAACUUGCCCACUCCCCCAGCAGCGGAGCCACAGCUGGAUCCAGGCCGAGGGGAGCGCGGCGUGCCCACCACUACAAAAAAAGACACAUCCAUGACAUUUUGGGCCGAAUGAAAAUCUUUUUUGUCAUACUUAUGACACUUCUAUGACGAUAAUUGUGACAAAACCCGGUAUCAUCAUAGAUGUGGUGGCGUCCUACUUCUAUGACAAAAAAUCAUGACAGAAAAUGGGCUUUUCGUCUUGGGCGGGGCGGAGACGCAGGUGCAUGACAUUCUUUGGGCCGUCCAUGACGGAAAAAACAUGGUAGAAGCGAGGGCGAGGAAAAUAUCGGGGUGUUCCCGGUUACGGUGGGUGGUCUGGGCCGAGCGAUGCGUGUUUCUCUCGUACACGCACGCGCGUGGAUGCGAGGCGUUGGGCUCUAACUGAACCUGAGCGAGGCGUUGGGCUCUAACUGAACCCGAGCGAUUGCACUGCAGGCUACGCGUUACUGAACCCAAGCGAUCGAUCGAUGGCUGUUAACUGAACCCGAUUGAGCGAUUCCUUCACUACUGCUGCUAACUGAAGCUGAUCGAUGCUGCCUCUGGAUGAACAGUGAGCGUUGUGGGGGGUGGAUGAACAGCUCCCGGUGGGGGUGGAUGAAUAGGACCCCGUGGUGUUGCCUCUGGAUGAACAGUACCCCGAUCGAUCGAGCCGGUUGGGGCUGGAUGAACUGGACCCCAUGGAGGGCAGGAUGAACAGUAGAUGGUGGAGGGAUGGAUGAACAGUAGCCCGUGGAGGGGUGGUUGAAAAGUAACCGGUGGAGUAGCGCGCGGUGGAGGAUGGAUGAACAGGAGCCCGUGGAUGAACAGUCGCAGGUGGAGGCUGGAGGAGGUCGACGGUGGAUGAACAGUAGCCUGUGGAGGCUGGAGGGGGUCGACGGUGGAGAUGAACAGUAUCCCGUGGAGUCCCGUUUUGCGGUACGCCACACCCCUCCCGAUGAACAGGACCCCCGUUUCGACCGUAGCGCUCCAACACAAGUCCGUUUCCUCCGUUUUGCGGUACGCCACACCCCUCCCGAUCAACAGGACCCCCGUUUCGACCGUAGGAGGUCCGUUUCCUCCGUUUUGCGGUACGCCAGACCCCUCCCGAUGAAUAGGAUCCCGUUUCGAACGUGGCCGGUCGAACACAAGGCCGUUUCCUCCGUUCUGCGGUACGCCAGGCCUCGUUUCCAUCGGCUGUUCCGUCCAAGCCGGUUGGCUCCCACGCGUUCCGUUGCCUCCCGAUGAACACGAUGCAUUCCGUUGCCUCCCCAUGAACACGACGACGAUGCUGUUUCUCCGUUCCGACCCAGCCAUGUACACGAGCCCUGGCCGUACGUACGCGUGAGUAGGCGUUUGAGACCCUGCCCGUAUGUAUGUACGUGGCCGUAUUUACUUUCUUGCACCCUGGCCGCUGUACAUACGUGUACAUGCUACGUGCGCGCCUCUACUACGACACGUGCGCGCCUCUACAUCGACCAGUAUGUACGUACACGUUCGCGACCAGAAUGACAACGCUACGUACGCUUCAACUAGGUGGGUCCCGACUGUCAGGCACUUCCUUGCGUGCGAAGAUGUAGCUGGUGGGUCCCAAUAGUCAGGGGGAGAAUCGUUUUUUUUUGCUUUUGCCCGGACGCACUUCCUUGCGUGCGAAGAUGUAGCUGGUGGGUCCCAGCAGUCAGGGGGAAACGUUUUUUUCGCGAAAUACGGUGGCCCGUCCGGUGGGUCCCCGCUGUCAGGUGGAGGAAUAAUUAUUUUGCGUGUAAUAAGGAGGCACUUACUUGCUGCGGCCGUGGACCCGGCUGUCAGCCUCUCCACGUACAGUCCACGUCCGAUGGAAGCCGUUCCUUAACCACGUUGACCACGCCGCGCCGAGAGCACCAGGGCGGUGGACGACGACGAGGCCUAGGAAGGGGACGACGCGGAGCCGGGGAAGACGCGGCAGUGGAAGCCCGCGCGGAGAGGAGUAUGAGGGUUCACUGGUUCGGCUGCAGUGUGAGGGUGGCGUCGCCGCAGGGCCUGGCCAGUGGUGGGAAUAUUAGGGGCGGUGAGGCCUUCGCGGCAGCACAGCCGGCCACGGGAGGCAGGAGCAUGCGGCACGACAGGCGCUGCUUUGGGCGGCUGGAGCAAGAAGACCAGAGGUUGAAGAAGCACUACGACCGUUGGAUUGACAUCGUACGGUCACUGGAGCUAGAAUCGUUCAUAUUGACUAAGUUGACAAAGCACUCCAUCCCCGUCAACUUAGUAGGCCCACAAGUCAGCCUCCCACCAAGGUGGGUCCCAACUAGCAGGGGGGUAUUCAUUUUUUUUGUGCGUAAUAAGGAGGCACUUCCGGUGGGUUCGAGCUGACAGCGGGGGGAACGUUUUUUUCACGAAAUACGGUGGCCCGUCCGGUGGGUCCCAGCAGUCAGGGGGGAAAUGUUUUUUCACCAAAUACGGUGGCCCAUCCGGUGGGUCCCUACUGUCAGGUGGAGGAAUAAUUAUUUUUCGCGUAAUAAGGAGGCACUUCCUUGCGGCUGCCGUGGACCCAGCUGUCAGCCUCUCCACGACAGUACUCUUCCGAGGGAAGUCGUUCCUUGACCACAUUGACCACGCCGCGCCGAGAGCACCAGGGCGGUGGAUGACGGCGAGGCCUAGGAAGGGGACGACGCGGAACCGGGGAAGACGCGGCAGUGGAUGCCCACGCGGAGAGGAGUACGAGGGUUCACUGGUUCAGCUGCGGUGUGAGGCUGCCGUCGCCGCAGAAUAACAGGGGGUGUGGGUGAGUAGAGGGAUGCCCUGGCCAGCGGUGGGAGUAGUAGGGGGCGGUGAGGCCUGCACGGGAGGCGGGAGCAGGCGGUCCCGCCGGCGCUCGAUUUGGCGGCUGGAGCAAGAAGAUCAGAGAUUGAAGAAACACGACGGCCGUUGGAUUGUCAUCCAACGGUUACGUCUGCUAGAAUCGUUUGUUGACGUAUAUAAUAACUAAAAAAAUCUUGCAUACGCGUCAACUUAAUAGGCCUAUAAGUCAGACCAUUCCCUCUUUUUUUUAAUAACUUAUAUAUAGCUCAGUGCGACUUCUUAUGCAAUUUAUUGCAGUCCAUUUUUUUGGUUGGCCAGGGCCAAUUUCGCAUAUUCCUGUGGGUUCCAAACUAUUUUUAAUACCGAAAUGUCGAGCCAGAUUUAAAGUACUUUGAAGAUAUAUUUUAAUUAGGUUAAUGCCCAGUGAAAUAGGAAUCUGAAAAUGUGAAAAAAUUCAGAAAUUAUAAGGUAAUUGCCAAUUUGUCAUCUGUUUUUAUAUUUACAACCCAUUUCAUAUUACUUUCAAGAUUUGCCGGCGUCUUGAAAGAGUUGCGGCCCAUCAGGGCGUAGAAAAAUAAGUAGGCCUAUAUUGGGUAUUCUUCAGAAAAAAUAAACUGGGCUCAUUUUCACAAAGAAAAAAUAGUUGGGUUGGUCACAUGGUGAACAUAAAAUAUAACCCUGGGCUAGACGGGCCACAACCCAGCUCAAACCCUGCUCCGUCUCAACAAUAACAAAAAAAAAUACUGCUCGAGCUGCUACGUCCGAGGUGUCAACCGAUCUUGUGCUGUUCUCUUGUCUAUUGACUAUAUACGCUCACAAUGUCAUGGGUCCCAGAUGUCAGGAAAACACUAGGAGGAAGCAUUUUAUUUUUCCAUACGCUGACAUGGUAGGCCCUAAUGUCACCCUCUCCACGUACUUCUGCCGAUUCCUGUUGUUUGUUGACCAUGUUGACAACGCGAGAGGGCGGCGCCGCGGCGAGCGCACCAAAGCGCGCGGAGGACGACGGCGAGGCCUCGGACGUCGGCGUUAACGAUUUAGGAGACGGUGGGGCGGCGAUGCGUGCGUUGAGGCGUAGCCAGCCAUGGGAGGCGGAAGCAGGCGGCCCCGUCGGCGCUGGUUUGGUUUUGGCGGCUGGAGGAAGACAGGACUGAAGAAACACGACAGACUGUAAAAGUAGCAGGAGUACUUAACAACCUUAACUGAAACCAGCAGGGGCACUUAACAACCAUAGCUGAAAGCAGUAUGAGUACUUAUACAGGUUCAACCGUACAAAGCACGCCUCGAACAGUGCUACUUUGCCUACAGUUAACCCAGGGUGAGGCCGCCAAGCCCCAGGACAAGGCCCAGGCACCACCCCGCACAUCCACAACCUUCUGAAAGCGGCUUCAUCUCGCAAUGUGGUCAAUAAAUAGGAUAUUCACUUUAGAUCCAUGGAAAAGCAGGAACAUAAUCUUCUGUCCUAUUCUCCAAGAUGGACGGGCCUUCAUUAUUUGAGACCACCCAUGAAUAAGUGUCUUUUCACCUCCAAGGGGAAUGGAGUAGGUCGACAUAAACAUCAUGUUGUGACCAAGCGCAAGUCUGGCCCAACCAUGGUCAGGCAUCUGUAUAGGAACAAUAGAACUGGGCAGUUUCUGUUUCAAGAAUAUCACACCUGUAAAACUGUGUAUAAGCAAUAGUUUAUGAACAACAUAUAUAAUAGAAAAUAGCUCGUACCAUAAGUUUCUCGACACAGUUGGACCUGUUCAACGAGUGCAGCAGUGGCACACAUAUCCCAUGUGGCCUUCCACCAUUGAAAUGCCCCACAAGGACCUCAAGACGAUCAAUAAAGUGUAGGAACUUGUGGUUGUCGUCCCAGUCAACUUCAGUGCCAUCAGUAACUGCCGAUUUGUUACAGAAUAACAAACGAGCAGCUUGCUUAACUCUAAAAAAACCUACACGUGCCACCAAUUAUAAGAAAAUAUUAGUUAGAAGUAGCAUCUUCGUGAGAGAUUCGUUGCUACUUCUAAAGUUAAAUUGUGAUUAGUUAGACAGAAUAGGUGGAUUAAGAAGUAAUCGAGGCAACAAGCAAGAACCAGAUACAAAACUAACAUGGAUGAACAAUUGGAACGACGUCGGGGUGGAAGAUCGCAGUGAAGAUGAGACCAGGUUCUGCUAUUUCCAUCAACAUUCGUGCGCCAACUUUCAGUCCGUAACACUUGAGAAAGUUUAUCCAAGUUCGGCCAUAAAAAAAGCAGCGAUCUUCUUGGUUCAUGAACCCAACUCGAAACUUAUAUCCAUGGCUUGUCUUCACUAUUACCACUAAACUGGUGUAUUCAGUUAUGGCAAGGCCGAGCAUCUUGAGUACAUGUGUUCUGGCAGAGCAAGGAAUGCACUGCAGGAAAAAAUAAUAUGAGAACACAGUGUAUUCCCUAUAUCCAAAUCUAGUAAUACUUUCCUCCUUCACGUCAGUGUUGACCAUGGUACUAGUACCUUUUAUCCAAAUAUAACAAUCCAAAUUUCCAAAUUAGUCGACAUCAUGUUCAAAAAACCCCACCCUCCCGAAUAGAAAAGAGGAUUCUAGGAACAUAUUGUGCACGUUUUAAAAUCCUGUGUUAGGAUGAGAAGGAACAAGUGUGGCAUCUCGCCGAGGGCGCAGAAACCUGUAGGGUCCUCGCACUUUGGGCACUGCAAAUGAAACACACUAGAUUCAGUAGGAAGAAAAAUGCAUCAACGGCGGCGGCUGCCAUCCUAGGAGUACCCGCGACCAAGGGACUUGGAUUUAUCGGGGAUGGAUGAAGAAUUCGUACCAGGUUCUCCAUGAGAAAACCCUAUGCAAUCGCCGAGCGGGGGUUUUCUCUGAAGAAGCAGACAAGGGAGAAGGGAUUCAGGCCGAGUGAAAUAUUGCUGCUUCGUCCGUCCAGCUUAUUGCUAAGCUGGAAAGGUGGGGGUUUUGUGAUUUGACGGCUCAUUGGGCAUUAAUGCGGCGCUACGACCGGGGUGUGUGUACCGUGCAGUUGUGCACUCUAAUUUGGUGCAUAUGGCAUGUGGACCCCAUUGCCGGAUGCCCCACAUAUCAGCGCAAGGAAGUAGAAAGACAGGAGUAACUAGUUAUUACACAUAAAUAUAUGUUUGACAGAGAGAUAUUCCCUCUAUAAAGAAAUAUAAAGAUCUUUUAUAUCACAACUUUAUACAUAAGAAAAAUCAAGGGGAAUAUAUAUAUAACAUAUAUAAUUAUAAAAAAACAGAGUUUUUUUUAACACGGUAUAGACGAGUUGGUGAUGAUGGUGUGCCUGCCAUCCUGCAAUAUAGGCCGUCCGAUUUAUAUCUGACAGAUAGGAAGGAAACUAUGGCAAUUUUGCAAAAAGGUACCCACAGACCUCUCUGCAUUUGCAAAUAAGGCCUUCCCUCGUUCAUCCUUUUCUCUCACAAGAUAAAAUACUCAUACAAAUGCAUCUUGAUGUUCCGUGCAACGCACGGGCAUUAUGGGGGUUCAGCUGAGAAAUACUCAGACAGGCUCACAGUUCUGGACUUUGGGCCAUAGGCCAGUGGGCCUGCAUGUUUGGGGGCCCAUGUGUUCUACCUCAGCGCUUUUCAUAUUGCAAGCGGUCGGUACGGCGCUGGUUUUAGAUGAUGUCGCAAGGCGAAUACACAAAAUUGAAUAAAGCACAGCAGCUGUUGGAAUGAAAUCAAACGAUAGUUCCUAACCAGCAGUCAGAGUUGCAAUUCUAUCAAUGAUACUGUCAUACUACUUAUACACACAGGACACUUGUUUCACCAUGCCAAAGUAUUACAUCAAAAUCUCUCGGCGGAUAGAUCAGUUCGGCAGUACUGAAGAAUUUCAAAGUUGAUUUGGACCAGCUCUCCUUGCCGAGAAAGUUCGAUUUUGACAUCAAACCCUACCGCAAGAUAUGAUUUAGAUUUGAACCUUGACCAUCCUUUAGCAUCAAUCAUCAUGCGACCAUCCUUUGUACUUACGGUAUAUUGAGCAGGUUCAUUCACACCAAGGCUGCGCAUGGUAAGAGAAACUUGGCUGUUGUCGCCCGGAUUGUUGAACGACUCCCUCGUUGCUCCAGGAAUUCUCUGUUUGCAAACAAGAAGACAUACCCAAAGAGUUAGAUCAACACAUGAAUCAUGCGAAACAACAUGGAAAUAAAAACGAACGAAACACUUGGGCGUCCAAUGCUUACCAAGAAGGUGGACAUGUCGGUUUUUGUAAGGACUUUGGUAUAUGAAGUGCGAACUGCAGCCCAGUCUGUUGCCGGUGCAACUCCUCGUUCGGUUGCCGCUGCACGGGCCGGAGCAGAUGCAAGUGCAAGUGUUGGUGCAGGUGCCGAAGCCGUUGCUGCUGCCGGAGAUGGUGCUCCUUGUAGAGCUGGUGUCGGUGUCGGAGCAGGUGCCGGUGUCGAUGCCCGAUCCUCCGGUAGAUCAGCCUGAUCCGCUGACGCGGUCGGUGCCCAAUCCUCAGCUGGAUCAGACUGAGCUGCUGCCGCUGUCAGUGCUAGAGCAACUGUCGGUGCUUGAUCUAUUGCUGAAGGUGGUACCGAUGUGCGAGACAGCGGCAAUCGUGUCUGGUCUGCUAUGAUCAGCUUUGUAACUUGACUAGGCUUCGUGACCGUGAUCCAGUUUUUUUUCUUCAUUUCUUUUAAACGCGAGAAGGACUAAUUGUGGCGUUUUUGUUAAACCAAACAGCAGUUCAUCAUAGGGAUUCAGCUUGUACUCAGACAAUAGACUGAUCCAAUUUUUUCCAGUAAUAUAAGUGAUGGACAGUGCCUUCGUUACUGACACAACAUAAGAAGUGAAACCUGCAAAAAUAGCCAUCGUAGAGCAAACCAAACGGUUUAUUCUGUGAUGAAUGUCACAUGGCAAAACCUGCAUCAUAAAAUUGCAGGAAAAGAAAGAAAACAUGACAUUAAAUCAAUAAGAUUUAGACAGUAAAUCAAUAAGAUUUACUUGACGUGACACGAGUGAAUCCUUACCAGGAAAUCACUAUGUUGAAGUACUAAACAGAAGAUUGAUCGUCCAACUACGGGUGGCAUGCAGGGGCCCCGCCUACUCCCACAAGCAGGACAGUCCAAAGGUCGUGACAAAUCAUAUGGACCGAACAUCCAUGGGACUGGAAAUCCUAGUGGGUGCGAUAAACCCUGCAAUGCAUACAGAUAUUGGAGUGUAACCAUAAUUGAUAAACCGUCCUCACAAAAAAGAUGAUCUGGAUACUUCAAAAUAUACAGACAGAAUUGAGUGGACAGACAUUAACAUAGACCGUUCUCAGGACUGACCACACACCAAAAGCGGUCGUACUAAUAAACAAUACACGGUUCACAAACACAAAUCAAGUACUGGACAAUAGUACUUACUACAAACAAGCAAAGUUGCACUAAUUAAACUCUGCAGACUAUUUCUUGCCACCGACCUACGGGAUGAACCCCGCAUAACUGACUAGGCCAUGGACUUUGUGAGAGAUGUCUACAUGCACCGUCACCAUCUUGUCAACCUUGGAGAACCUAACAGAGUGGUCUUUCCACUCAUAAACAUGAUCAUGAAGACAGGCCGCAUCAGAUUUGUUGGGAAGCUUUACAAGAACCACACCCUUUGUAAUCGAAGGCACAGCCAGGAAUUUGUUGUGGUCAAGUACAGCCUCGAGAACACGCCUGACAACAAUGCUACAGGAAAACACUACUUCAGGACACGUGGCGACAAGGACACAGUAGCUGGAUAGUUUAGCAGUAUAACUCAUCCUCGGGUCUUCCAGUUCACAUAGCAUGACUUUGAGAACUUCAUCUCCACCGCGGACCUGGUUCUAAUUCAAACAGAAACCAUAUUUUAUUACUACCUCCGUUCAGAAAUAUAAGAUGAUUUUCAAUAUAAUACUCCAUAUAUGACUACAUAUACGCACAGAAAUGAGUGAACAAAGACACUAGAACAUGUCUUCAAAGGCAUGAGAGCAGAGGGAUUACUUGCAAUAUCCAUAACACAAGUUACUGAGGCAAAUAUACCCUCUUUAAAGGUAGCAUUGAUGUUCAUAAAGUACUCCCUCCGUCCCAACAUUCUUGUCUUAGAUUUGUCUAGAUACGGAAGUAUCAAGUCACAUUUUAGUAUUAGAUACAUCCGUAUCUAGACAAAUAUAAGACAAGAAAUUUGGGACAGAGGGAGUAGUUGAAAGUAAUCUAUAAAAAUCAGUGUCAACCUCUCGCAUGUUUUGGUCAAAAGAGGAAUUUAGAACCGUCAUUUGGCACACAAAAAUCACAUGCAAGAUCACCCAGAAAGUUGUACUACUAGUACUAGUACUGCGUGUUAGAUGAAAAAACACGAUCAAGAUCGAGAAAAAGAUCGUCAAGAAGAGAUAUUACCUGGACUUGCUUAAUGAGGGAUCCCGGAGAGGGGGGCUUGGACAGGGCGAUGGCUUUGAGCUUGUCUACGGUAGUCUCGGCGGGGUGCUUGCGCUUCUUCGUACCAUGAGCCUCGACGGUUUUGGCCAGAGCCAUAGACGUCACUUCGACCGGUGCUCCAGCGUCCAUCAAGAAACUGUCAAAUAGAAAUAAAAGAAAAGAAACCAUAAUCACAAACCCAAAAGAAGAAAAGAGAGGGAGUUAUAGGAUCAGUCUCGGGGUUGCAAGACCGGGCCUUGGCCAGAAUCAACACCAUUGAUGCGCUCACCUUUCCUUCUUUGAGAGAGAAGAACAAUGGCAGAAGCAGGUCGGGGUUUUCUUGAAGAAACGAGGAACAAGAUGAGGGAGAAGCGAGGGUUGGGUAGAGAGGAAGCUGAGAGAGAAGAGUGAAAUGAUGGUUGCUUCGUCUGUCCAACUUACUGCUAGAAAGGAGGGGGUUUUGUGAUUUGACGGCUCAUUGGGCAUUACUGUGGCGCUUCGAUCGGGGUAGUCUACCGUCAUUCUACUACGGAGUAAUUUAGUGUAUGGCUGGUGGACCCCGAUGCUGGCUGUCUCACACGUCGGCGAAAGUGAGUAAUUCAGUGCAUGGCUGGAGGAGGAUCCCCACGGUAGAGCGUGUCCACUAUUUUUCUGAAGAAAAAAAUGAUUACAGCAAGCGUUUCCACUCUUACGAUGGAGGACUGCGAAACAAGGCAGCCACUUGAACAUACACAGUGCUCCUACUACUAGGCAUGUGAAGUGGUUCAUACGUCAGUACUACAUAAUCUUGUUGCUAGUGUAGUAAGAUAUGACGACGACAAAUGAUGUUGUGCGCAUGUCAACUAUAUGAACAGUAAUGUAGUAACAUAGUACCGCUUUCUCGACUAUCCGGUCGAGAAUGAACGGUGAGAUCAAUGUUAACAGAACUAGGUCUACAGCGCACGGAGAGUACGGUGCUACAGUACUCCACGAAACAUGAACCAUAUGAAGCACGAAUAGUGUUAGGCAGGGUGUAUGAAGGGUGCAUGGGAUGGGGGCAAAAGUUCCCUUCUCGACCCACUUUUGGGUGUUUGGCAGAGUGCAUGAAGGGUGCAUGAGUCCACACUAGUAGGUUAACACAAAUACACGAAGAGGAAACAACUACUCCGUCUAGGUGUGUAAGUCAUCUUAUGUUGUGCACUGCGACCAAGGCGGAGAGCAAAACGAGAAAACUUAAUGUCUUUUUGCUAAUUAAUAGCAUUGCAUGCAAUGAACUAACCACUGCAUGUCAUGUUUAUUAGUCUCAAGUCAUUGAAAGCAUGCACGGCCCACGUCUCUUAUUGGUUGAUAUGUCACAAAACAAGAAAUGGGGAGGGAGUUAAUGUACCGUGCUUAAGUGUUUUGGGAUUAUUUGGUUUUCGUAAGGUGACUUACACACUAUAUUGAGAUGAGAAUGCAACCAAACACACCCACACGCUUUGUGCUACAGUGACUGAUCUGCACCGUCUGAGUUUGAUCCAACGGUCAUGUUGCGCCGAGACAUGGACAUGCCUAUGCAGAGGGCUAAACACCACCGAAGUCCCUCUGCUUCUCGAGGCGCAUGACGUUGGUGAUGCGGGGGCGAAACAGCUGAAAGGCAAUGCAAUCUACGAGAAGGCGGAGGGAGCCCGCCGAGGAGCGGGGAAUCUUUUGGUUUUCACCAUGGUAAAACACCAGUCGACGACUUCUCACAUCAGGGAGCAGUGGGUUUUACAGGCGGAGUCAUCAUGACUAAUUGCUGCCGCGCCUGCUCCCCUCAAUCAAAAAAUUAAAAAUCCUACCGCGCCUGCUCCCGUCAAUCAAAAAAUUAAAAAUCCUGCCGCACUCAAACACCAGAGCAACGCCGCGGUGGAUGUUUAAAUUUACCUGCCGGCAAGUAGAUAAAAAAAGGGGUGAAAAAACAAAUGUGGCGGCGGCCUAGCUAAUCGGUCGAACUAGCCCAACUAGCUAGCCACCGUGCUUCACUGAUGUACUCGGCGGGAAAAGUGGUCUUUCGUGAUUUGAUGACUCAUUUAUUUACUUGCUUCGGCGAAAACGCGUGGUAGGGCGUCCCACGUCAGGAAGAAUAUAUGCGUGCACCACCCGGGAGGACCCCGAAACCGCGCGGUAGGGUGUGCCAUGUCUCGGCAUGGAGGAAAAAUGUGCGUGUAAAAAUUUACUGUAUCAGACGUAGUACCUAUGGUUCGACCUCGGGACCCAGCCAGUCGGUCGAAAACACCCCACUAGCCACACAGCUUCAUCAUGCUAACAUGGCACGGAGGAUAGGUGUGGUUAGCUCCGUCUCGACCAGCUACAACGUCUCUUGUUCUAGGCGAUUCUUCUAUUUUCCAAGCUUUUUUUAGUUGUAAUAACACCACGGCAAGCUAGCGCCGCUCUUCGUGUGUGCCCGUGCAAAGGUUAGACGAUGGAGAGAAGAGAGAGAUCGCAGACCUGGGACCCACCAGUAAGUGAGUCAACGGUCAUGCACGUGUAGACGAGGCACUCCCUCUACUCUACUCAACGUAAUACUGUACAAAAUCAAGUUAUGGGACAAAGCCAACAACCGUUGUUGUUUUAGGCUAUCGACUUAUGCUUUGUAGUCCAGGUUGCCAGUUCGAAUCUCGUCUUUCAGAUUUGUUAGUUUUAGGUCCAAAUUUGAUUAAUGACAAGUGGGACCCCCGUGUGUUGUUCCGAUAUUUCAGUGUAGGAUGUUUUUUUGAACAAACACUUUGCGCGGUUAGACAAGUAACGGCACAAGUUACAUGUAUUUUGCAAGUUUACGAACAAAAAUGACAGCGGCAUAGAAUAUCACAUCCACCCCGCAGCUUAGAUGCUAUGGUGAUACGAGUUUUUACACCGUUGGAAGUGAGAUCCAAUGGCUUGGGAGUAGUCUUUGUAAUUAUGCGCAAUUUCCAAAAUCUUUAAAGGUUUUUUUGCAAAUAAAACAUUCAGGCCUCGUGUGUGCCGCUGCAUCUUGGAUCCAACGGCUCCCCGUUGCUCAUAUUAGGUGCUCCCCGUAGCUUAAUUACCCGCUAUGGUGAUAUGAGCAUCUAGGUCGUAUGAUCAGUGAUCAGAUGGCACAAUCGUAGUACUUGUACUUUCUGCGCAAUUCCCAAACUCUCUCAGCCGUAUAUUGCAAAAACAUUCAAACCUCCUACUGUGGGCCGUUAGAUCUCCGUGAACUCGUAUCACCAUAGAAUCUACGAUACGGGAGCACCUCAUAUUCUCUCGUGCGAGAAAACAUAAGGUGCUCUCGCAGCUUGGAUGCCACGGUGAUACGAGCUUCGAGGUCGUUUGAUCUGAGAUCCAAUGGCAUCUGAGCAGUCUUUGUGCUUGUAAGCAGUGGCCGAACUCUUUGGGGGCUUUUCUGCAAAAAACCAUUCGAACCACCGAGGAGGCGUUGGGUCACAAAUCCAACGGCUCCGAAGAGCUUGUAUCACCAAAGCAUCUAAGGUGUGGUAGCACAUGAUAUUAUUACAUACAGGAGAAUAUGAUGUCCUCCUUCAUCUUAGAUGCUACGGUGAUACGAGCUUCGAGGUCGUUGGAUAUGGGAUCCAAGGGCAUCUGAGUAGUUUUUGUACAAAUUGUGUGCAAUUCUCAAACUCAUCAAGGUUUCCUGUAAAAAUAUUAAGAUAUCAUGUGAGCUGCUAUAUCUCAGAUCUACAAGCUCCAAGCAACUCGUAUCGGCAUAUAGCAUCUAAGGUAUGGGGGCACAUGAUAUUCUCCCGGGGAGGAGGGGUGGGGGUGCACAACCAAUCGAUGGUUGGGAGGGUGAGGACAAAUAUAAUCUAAACAACCCUAAACAGAGCUUCACAAAUUUAUCUAAGGUCGAGGGGGUGACCACCGACAAUCAUAGCUCCGCCUAAUUAAACACAAUAUUUGCAUGUACUGUAGUACUAGACUUAAUAUUCAUGUUUCAGUUUCAUGUUCGUUUUAAAUAUUGAAUUGAGGACCAUGCAUGUCUUACAUUUUACUCCCUUCGUUCCUAAAUAUUAGUCUUUUUAGAGAUUUCAAGUGGACUGGCACAUACGGAUGUAUAUAGACAUAUUUUAGAGUGUAGAUUCACUCAUUUUGCUCCGUAUGUAGUCGCUUGUUGAAAUCUCUAAAAGACUAAUAUUUAGGAACAGAAGGAGUAUUUUUGAAUUCGUGUCAUACAUGCAUGGUUUGGAAAAAUAGAUGCACUAUACUUAUUGGAUUGUUGUUGUUUUCGUGUGUGGGUGUCUCUGUGUGGGUGUGUGUGUGUGGUCAUAUGCUUGAUACAUACAAAGUUUUCUCACCUCCAUAUUGUUCAUCUUUUAAAUUUGAAUUUGCAUUGAAAAACUUAGCAGGGAUACCAUGAAAUGUGAAAUCCACAUUAUAAACUCACUCUAAUUCAACAACUCAUCAUAAAUCAAUUACCACCUUGAGAUUAGUAUUUGCAAGGAAAAUACGGGCAUUGUAAUACACAUAGAUUCGUUCAGCAACUUAAAAGGUUCCUUUCGUAUUCUCGAAUGGUAGGACCCAAUGGCGUACCAGCCAGACCUUGGCUCGUGUUGAUCCUAAAAAAAUAAAAAAUAAAAAACCGGGCUUGUGUCCUUCUGGUGGCGUGCGUGGUACGCACAUUAGGAAACCCCAACCAGUCGAGCCUCCGCGUUUCGAGUCGAAAUAUCUGGCGGCCAGAAUUCCAGCCCUAGGAAAUUCCCCUCAUGUCCCCGGUCCAUAAUGACUACCGAUGAACAAUGGAGGGAUGCUUUAGUAACUAGACAACGUUGUGUUAAAAAAAGUAACUAGACAACGUUACCUACCGUGUCGAGCACGGUUCAAUUCCCUCGGUUGCCGCUCGCCAAGGUCACCCCUCAACUGCAUUGCCUAGUACUACUACUACACCAGGAUAAGCACAGAAUUGAGCCCGUUUGUUCGUGCCUAGUACUUGAGUUAAUAUAUCAGGCAAUGCACCAGUACGGAGGGAUUAUCCUUUUGCUCUGCAUAUAUAACUUGUCUGAAGUCUAACUAAGCAAAAUGUUUGACCAAAUCCUUUCUUAAGAAAUACAACAGGACAGAUCUUGAAAAUUCAUUGCAUGAUGCAGGUUAUGAUAUUGUUUCGAAUCCUGGAUCUUAAAUUUCAGAAAAUCCAAAAGUGACCAUAAAUUCUUGAAACUGAGCAUGGUCACGUGAUGGCACAAAUAUUACUUCAUAUUUUUUUUCUUCAAUUUGAGACAAGCUGCUUAUGACAAGUUGCACAAAUGAAGAGCCAAGGUAUUUUGGAACAAAGACCUGUCACGUUAAGGCGAACGCUUUCACUAUUGAAACCGUGGGCGUUUACGUGCCGCCAUGAGUCCCGCUUCUCAUCGGCAGGUGCCAUCUGAGCAAGCGUGUGAGUCGACAGGAGGCGUGCGAGCAGACCGUUGCGCCGGCUGACAGGGAGGCAUGGGAGCAGACCGCUGUGCAGGCUCACCGGGAGGCGAGCCCUUUGACCAGGCUCCGCCGCCCACCUUCAUCCCAACUGCUCCCACUUUUAAUGUCGCCGGCGCCGCAGUUUAAAAUCAACCCCGCACUACCCGGUAUCGCUACAAUCUUCUCUCUUCCUCUCCGAUUCUCCUGUCGUCUACCUCCAACCAGCCUGACCUAAACAUACGCCAUGCUGCAUCACGAUGGUCUGCCCUUAGUCUUCCAGUUUCCUGAGGAAGACACCCAGCCGGAGUCUCAAAAACAUAAGGCGCUUUGGGACGAGCUUGCACUGGCCUUGCGGGAAGACGUCGCGCCUGUCCCCGCUCCCAUUCCGGCUCCCGUCGCCCCGACUGCGCCAGCGCCCAUCCCCGUGGCAUUGAUGGGCUGGGAGCCGCACAUUGUCGCCGAGCUUGAUGCCACGGGGUUCCACGAGGUCCCCGCCGACUUUCACGUGCCCGUGCACCUGCCAGGGCAUGCGCCUGCGCGUACACUGACGCGCAUGCCCGUGCCAGUGCCCGUGCACACGAAUGUCUCUGCCCGCCGAUGACAGCGCCUGUCCCCGCGCGGGUGCCAGUGCCCCCCUCAGCGGCAUGGAUGGCCGCCAUCGACCGCUUCCUUGCACCAACGCCAGUAGCCUCCUCCCGCCAGUUGACUCGCUCCUGGAGACCGAAGUCCAGAACAUUGUGGCCUUCCUUGAAGCUAGGGCCAACGUCCAGGGGUACGCCGACAACGGUGCAAGACGCCGCCGUCGCCGUCGGUCAGUGGCCCGACGACACACAGAGCACGACAGAGGAGCCGCUUCCCACCGCAAGACGCCCCCGCCGCCGCUGCGUAAUCUAAAUUUGCCAUGAAAUACGUUCGGAUAGCCAUGCUUAAAAUCCAAACGUUUAUCAUUUCCGUUUAUUUUAGAUCGAUCGUCGUAUAAUUUAAAGUUGGAGUCAGACUGAAUGAAAUCUAUGGUUUGAUCGAUUGAAUGUUCUGCUAGAGCCGUAUCAAAUUAAAUAUAAAACGUCAUCAAGCCACAUGUAUUCCUUGUCAUCCAACUACCUGGACUGCUUCAAUGUCGAGCGCUCAACACGUUUAGUGUGCAGUUAAUUUCAUGCCAAAAAUAGUGCUAAUCACAUAAUAACACGCAAAUAAUAUCCAACUUAAUAUCCGCAUGCACUUAAUAUACUUCGAAAUUAACGUGCAUUGCACGUACACACUGACUAGUGCUGCUAGCACAUGAAACUGGUGCCGUAACUUAUGAAUGCAUCCAGAUAUGGUCAACGGCAACAUCGCCCGCGAGUUCUUCAUGUUUGCCUGUGCGUCUAAACACAGAAGGGGAGGAGAGAGAGAGAGCACACAUGGAACCCACCAAUAAGUGAAGGCGAAUAGUACUAAAAAUAAUAUUACAUGUUAUCAAUUAAAUAGGCUAUGGUAAUAUAAAAAACAUUAUGUGAACAAAGGGAGGUACAACAAACAUUGCUGUUCUACGUAUGUUGCCUAUUGACGUGCGGCUUGAAGGCCCUGGUCGCAUGUUCGAUCCUCGUCCUUUAUUUUUUUAAUUUGUAUAUGGGACCAAAUUUGUUUCAUGACAUGCGGGGCCCUCGGUUAAAGAGAACAACAGAGUUUUUUGCAAUAAUACCAUGGUGCGACGUUGAAGGCGAGAAAGGUUGUGCGAGAGAGCGAUGACCGAGCCAGAGGGAAAUCAACUAGGGGAGUUGCGGGGGUUGCAACGAUAUUUCGAGUAGUUGUGGGCCGAAUGCUACAAAAAUAUAAUCUAAACCGACUGGAAUAAAUGCCUACACAAAUUAAUCCAAGGUUGGAGUGCCCCUCGCAAUGUAAAUAGCUCCGGCUUUGCGAGGGAUGGAGAGGUAGCUUCAAUGUGCGGAAGAUACGGUGUGAGAAAGCGAGGUCAAUCGAGAGACAUAUAGAUAGAGAGACAAAGUGAGUGUGGUCUGACAUUCAUGGAACAAAUAUAUAUGCUCUGGAGAGAUAUUGUCCGAUUGAGCUUUUGGCAAGGGUGAGGGCUGUAAGAUAGAGCUUGAGAGAUGAUCCAGUCACAGACGUGUAGAUAUAUUUUGUGCGUGGGAGGAAGCAAGGUCGAUUGAUCACAUAGGGUCGUCGUGCGAUCGAAAGAGUGAGACGGGUUGGAGAGAGUGACCUAGAUAGACAAUGUGCGUGAGAGAGUAUACAAUGUGAAUAAGUCGAAUUGGUCUCAAACAUGGUGAUAUAUCAUUUUUGUCCGAGAAAGAGCGAGGUCAAUCGAGACAUACAAGGAGAGAGAGGGAGAGAAAGAGAGAGCGAGUGUGGCCCGCCACGAGGUCGAAAGAGUGGGGGCGGCUUCGAUGGACUGACCUAGAUAGACAAUCUGUGUCAAAGAGUAUAGAGUGUGUCGAUCGAGGCCCGAACAGGGAGACGUAUCAUUUGUGUGUGAAAGAAAACGAGGUUAAAUGAGACUCGGAUAAAGAGAGCAAGAUUGAUCGAGUGUGGCCCCCCGUGCGGAAGAAAGAGUGAGACAGUCUCGAGGGAGUGACCUAGAUAGACAACGUGCGUGCGUGCGCACGAGAGGUUAGGGGGCUAGAUAGGCAAUGCAUGUAUUUAGCGCGAGAGGGUGGGAGGGAGAGGGAGAGAGAGAGAGAGAGAGCUCGGCAUGGGGUGCAAUGGCGGGUGUGUGAGGUAAAUACAUUUCGUAACAGAGUGGAAUAGGGGGGUUGUGUAGUUGAGAGAGUUAGAGAUAGAAAUGUGGAGACAAAGAAUGGAUGUGUGUUGGAAACUGAUAGCUUCCUAAGGUGGUUAGGAGAGGAAGAUUGACCGAUACAGGAAGUAUGUAGCAUGUGUGCGGGGGGAGGGGCUAAAAACAACAUUUGAAUGUAGAUAGUACAAGACUUAAUAUCGAUGUUUCAGUUUGGUGUACAUUGUAAGAUUUGAACUGAGGACCAUGCAUAUGGGUAAUUAUUUCGAAUUCGUGCCAUACUAGGUUUUGAAAAGCUGACAUUGACUCGAUUUGUUGUGCUAUUUUGUAGGUCAUAUGUUUGAAUCCAUCCAAAAGUUUUCUCACUACCAUGGUGUUCAUCAUAUACAUAUGAAUUUGUAUUAAAAAAGUAGCAUGGAUACAGUGAAAUGCGAAAUCCACGUUAGAAUUGGAGAUCGCUAUGUGACACACACUCUAAUUCAAAUAACUAAUUAUGUGACACACGCUCUAAUCCACGUUAGCAUGGAUACCGUUUCGAUUUUUUUCAAAUAACUCCUCAUUAAUUAAUUUGUAGUAUCUCGUUUCGAAUGACUAAUUAUUGCAAGGAAAACACGGGCAUGGUAAUACAUACAGAUUCAUUUGCAAAUGAAAGAAGAUUCGUUUGCAUUCUCAAAUGUAGGCGCACCAGGGUCGUGUCGUGCUGGUCGCGUGUGUCGAACGGACGCGUAGCACCCAGACACCCCCCUCCCUCACUCNNNNNNNNNNNNNNNNNNNNNNNNNNNNNNNNNNNNNNNNNNNNNNNNNNNNNNNNNNNNNNNNNNNNNNNNNNNNNNNNNNNNNNNNNNNNNNNNNNNNNNNNNNNNNNNNNNNNNNNNNNNNNNNNNNNNNNNNNNNNNNNNNNNNNNNNNNNNNNNNNNNNNNNNNNNNGACAAAAUAAGUUCGCGCUUCCACGUUUCGGAUUGAAAUAUCUGGCGGCCCCAAUUCCAGCCCUGCAAAAUCUCCCUUCUCCACCGUCCCCUUCUGCGCCUGAUGACCCACAAGUAUAGGGGAUCUAUCGUAGUCCUUUCAAUAAGUAAGAGUGUCAAACCCAAUGAGGAGCAGAAGGAAAUGAUAAGCGGUUUUCAGCAAGGUAUUCUCUGCAGGCACUGAAAUUAUAGGUAACAGAUAGUUUUGUGAUAAGAUAAUUUGUAACGAGCAACAAGUAACAAAAGUAAAUAAAGUGCAGCAAGGUGGCCCAAUCCUUUUUGUAGCAAAGGACAAGCCUGGACAAACUCUUAUAUAAAGAAAAGCGCUCCCGAGGACACAUGGGAAAGCUAGUUUUCAUCACGCUCAUAUGAUUUGCGUUCGGUACUUUGAUAGGUGGGUGGACCGGUGCUUGGGUGCUGUCCUUACUUGGACAAGAAUCCCACUUAUGAUUAACUCCUAUUGCAAGCAUUCGCAACUACAAAAUAAGUAUUAAGGUGAACCUAACCAUAGCAUGGAACAUAUGGAUCCAAAUCAGCCCCUUACGAAGCAACGCAUAAACUAGGGUUUAAGCUUCUGUCACUCUAGCAACCCAUCAUCUACUUAUUACUUCCCAAUGCCUUCCUCUAAGCCCAAAUAAUGGUGAAGUGUCAUGUAGUCGACGUUCACAUGACACCACUAGAGGAGAGACAACAUACAUCUCAUCAAAAUAUCGAACGAAUACCAAAUUCACAUGACUACUAAUAGCAAGACUUCUCCCAUGUCCUCAGGAACAAACGUAACUACUAGCAAAGGAUAUUCAUGUUCAUAAUCAGAGGAGUAUUAAUAUGCAUAUAGGAUCUGAACAUAUGAUCUUCCACCAAAUAAACCAACUAGCAUCAACUACAAGGAGUAAUCAACACUACUAGCAACCUACAGGUACCAAUCCCGGACUUAGAGACAAGAAUUGGAUACAAGAGAUGAACUAGGGUUUGAGAGGAGAUGGUGCUGGUGAACAUGUUGAUGGAGAUUGGCCCCCUCCCGAUGAGAGGAGCGUCGGUGAUGACGAUGGCGAUGAUUUCCCCCUCCUGGAGGGAAGUGUCCCCGGCAGAACAGCUCCGCCAGAGCCCUAGAUUGGUUCCGCCAAGGUUCCGCCUCGUGGCGGCGGAGUCUCGUCCCGAAAGCUUGCUUAUGAUUUUUCUUCGGACGAAAGACUUCAUAUAGCAGAAGAUGGCCACCGGAGGGCCACCAGGGGGCCCACGAGGCAGGGGGCGUGCCCAGGGGGUAGGGCGCGCCCCCCACCCUCGUGCCCAGGGUGUGGGUCCCCUCUGGUAUUUCUUUUGCUCAAUAUUUUUUAUUAUUUCCAAAAAUAACUUCCGUGGAGUUUUAGGACUUUUGGAGUUGUGCAGAAUAGGUCUCUAAUAUUUGCUCCUUUUCCAGCCCAAAAUUCCAGCUGCCGGCAUUCUCCCUCCUUAUGUAAACCUUGUAAAAUAAGAGAGAAUAGGCAUAAGUAUUGUGACAUAAUGUGUAAUAACAACCCAUAAUGCAAUAAAUAUCAAUAUAAAAGCUUGAUGCAAAAUGGACGUAUCAACUCCCCCAAGCUUAGACCUCGCUUGUCCUCAAGCGGAAGCCGAUAACGAUAAAUAUGACCACAUGUUUAGAGGUAGAGGUGUCGAUAAAAUAAAAUACGGACAUGAGGGCAUCAUGAUCAUUCUUAUAACAGCAUCAUAUAUGGAUAUUGUCAUAUGAUUUCUUAUGCUCAAGUAAUAAUCUAUUCACAAUGUCAAGUAUGAAUCAGAAACUUCAUUGAGAACUAACAAACUAUAGUCUCAGUCACUGAGGCAAUUGCAAUUUAUCAUAACAUCGGAAAGAGUCUAUGUAAGAGCUUUUCAGCAAGUCCACAUACUCAACUAUCAUUUAGUCUUUCACAAUUGCUAACACUCACGCAAUACUUGUGGUUACGGAGUUUUAAUCAGACACAGAGAAAGAUAGGAGCUUAUAAUUUUGCCUCCCAACCUUUUACCUCAAGGGUAAUGUCAACAAUAAUAGUUCAUGCUAACUUACAUCUAAUUGGAUAUAUAUAUAUAUAUCAGGAUCUUUCCAACACACUUUGCUUGCCAAAGGAUAAAAUGUAAAAAGGAAAGGUGAAGAUCACCAUGACUCUUGCAUAAGGUAGGAGAUAAAAGUAAAAGAUAGGCCCUUCGUAGAGGGAAGCAGAGGUUGCCAUGCACUUUUAAAGGUUGGGUGCACAAAUCUUAAUGCGAAAUAACGUCACUUUAUAUUGCCACUUGUGAUAUGGACCUUUAUUAUGCAGUCCGUCGCUUUUAUUUCUUCCACAUCACAAGAUCGUAUAAAGCUUAUUUUCUCCCACACUAAUAAGUCAUACAUAUUUAGAGAGCAAUUUUUAUUGCUUGCACCGAUGAAAACUUACUUGAAGGAUCUUACUCAAUCCAUAGGUAGAUAUGGUGGACUCUCAUGGCAAAACUGGGUUUAAGGAUAUUGGAAGCACAAGUAGUAUCUCUACUUGGUGCAAAGAAUUGGCUAGCAUGAGGGAGAAAGGCAAGCCCAACAUGUUGGAUGAUCCAUGACAAUAUACUUUAUCUCAGAUAUAAGAAAACAUAACCCAUUACGUUGUCUUCCUUGUCCAACAUCAACUCUUUAGCAUGUCAUAUUUUAAUGAGUGCUCACAAUCAUAAAAGAUGUCCAAGAUAGUAUAUUUAUAUGUGAAACCUCUCUUUCUUUAUUACUUCCUAUUAAUUGCAACGAUGACCAAGGCUGUGUUUGCCAACUCUCAACAACUUUUAAUCAUCAUACUCUUCCUAUGUGAAGUCAUUACUCUACAUAAGAUUAAUAUGAUCUCUUUAUUUCUUUUUAUUCUUUCUCUUUUAUUUUAUUUCCUCAAGACCAUGGCAAAAUAAUCAAGCCCUUGACUCAACACUAAUAUUUAUUAUAUAGCUCACGGACUCGAUUACAUAGAGGGAUCAUAAAGCAAAACUCAAAACUAAAUCAUACUAAAAACUUUAUUCUAUUAGAUCAAGAUACUACUAAAAGGAUCGAACUAAGAAAAACGGUAAAGAUAGGAGUGUGAUGGUGAUACGAUACCGGGGCACCUCCCCCAAGCUUGGCAGUUGCCAAGGGGAGUGCCCAUACCCAUAUGAUUAUGUCUCCUUUGCUGGUGAAAAAGAUGGUGGAGUUGAUGAUGAUGUAGGCUUGUCAUCCAUCUUCCAAGGCAUAGGCUCACCAUCAUAGAAGGAUGAUCGAGUCUCCAGGAUCCUCAAAUCUGCAGCCAAACUCAUCCUUUUGAAUCUAUAUUCAUACUCACAGUUUUGGUUUUGCAGGUCAUAGAUUUGGGCUUGGAGGUGCUCGGUCUUCUCGUGAAGCUUGAAGAUGGCCUCCUCAAUGUUCUUGGCAUCCGGCUUGUGGUUGUUGUUGAACUCUGCGAUCAUCAUGUGGUUGGCGUUGAGUCCACGUUCCACCAUCCCCUGGCACUUGAAAACAUGUUGCUCCAUUGCUUCGAGCCUCGUCUCCACGCUUCCGGUCCUCCUUGGUCCCUCAACAUCGCGGAUGUGCAGCACCCCCUCAUGCAUCUCAAUGGUUUGAGGGUGUUGCAGCACCUCCGCAAGGUAGGGGUUCAUGACCUUCUCGAAGAACUUGUCCUUGGGGGCACUUGGAGACGUCAUGAUGAUCUAGAUCUGUCAGAAAAACAGCUUGAAACAAGAACAGAGGACAAUUGCGUGAUACAGGAGUCAAAACCUUCGGGAGAUUAUAUAAUGAAUUUUUACCGACCAAAAUACAUAUCGUGCAAGAAAACAGAGUCCGGAGAGCACACGAGGUGCCCACGAGACAGGGGGCGCGCCCAGGGGGUAGGGCGCGCCCAGGGGGUAGGGCGCGCCCUCCACCCUCGUGGAGCCCUCGUGUCCUUCCCGGACUGCUUCUUAUUUUUCUUUUUUUCUAAAUAUUCCAAAACGGAGAAAAAUUGCCAUUAGAACUGUUUUGGAGUCGGUUUACUUACCGUACCACAUACCUAUUCCUUUUCGGAGUCUGAAACGUUCUGGAAAGUGUCCCUUAUGUAUUCCUCCGGGGUUACGGUUUCAAUAACAUUGGUUUCUACAUUUAUAGGAUUACCUGAGAUAUAAUGUUUUGACCGUUCACCACCUUCGGAUUUGUGCCUUCGAAGUUGUUGAUUUUUAUGGCACCGGAACGAUAGACCUCCUCGAUAAUGUAAGGACGUUCCCAUUUAGAGAGAAGUUUUCCUGCAAAAAAUCUUAAACGAGAGUUGUAUAAUAAUGCAUAAUCACCUACAUUAAACUCACGCUUUUGUAUUCUUUUGUCAUGCCAUCUUUUAACUUUUUCUUUAAACAGUUUGGCAUUCUCAUAGGCUUGGGUUCUCCAUUCAUCAAGUGAGCUAAUGUCAAAUAACCUCUUCUCACCGGCAAGUUUGAAAUCAUAAUUGAGCUCUUUAAUGGCCCAAUAUGCCUUAUGUUCUAGUUCGAGAGGUAAGUGACAUGCUUUUCCAUAAACCAUUUUAUACGGAGACAUACCCAUAGGAUUUUUAUAUGCAGUUCUAUAGGCCCAUAAUGCAUCAUCAAGUUUAUUGCACCAAUUCUUUCUAGAUCUAUUAACAGUCUUUUGCAAAAUUAAUUUGAGCUCUCCAUUACUUAAUUCUAGUUGACCACUAGACUGUGGGUCAUAAGGAGAUGCAAUUCUAUGAUUAACAUCAUACUUAGCAAGCAUUUUACGAAAAGCACCAUGAAUAAAAUGUGAAUGUAACGCCCCGAGACCGACGCUUCAGAAGACUUCCUUAUUUUCGUGAUCGCCGUGUGUUUCUUUUGUGCUUGCUCUUUUAUUUUUGCAUUGCAUCAUGUCAUCAUGCCAUCAUGUCAUUUAAUUUUUAAAACCCACCUAAAUAAAUUGCAUGGAUCUUCGAUCCAUUUAAAUCGAGGGAAUUCACAUGGUGAUUUCUCUUUAUAACAUAUCCUCCUAAUAUUUAUGGAGCUAUUAUAAAUAUUCCAUUAGUUUGGAAUUAACCGGAAAACACUUGCAAAAUAAUUCCCAUGCCUAUCUCUUGUCAUAUUGCUUUUGGUCAUUCAUGUUGUUUCCAUGAGCAUCAUGUGCAUUGCACUCAUCCUUAUGUUACAUGUUACUUUCAUGUUGUGGGUGCAUCAGCCCUUGCUAUCUCUCUAUCAAGCCAUGCCCAUGUAUCAUCACCUCUCCCUUCCUUCUUCCUUCAUGUUGUUGCAAGCGACAUUAUUUCCCUCCUUCAUUAAUGUUCAUUCUUUUCCUGGAGCUAGCUCACCAUGCCUAAACCCUCUCUGCCAAUUUUUAACUCUUUUGGACUUGAUUUGGUUGGAAUCAAAAUUGCCUCAAGUUUGAAUUUAGUUCAAACUUGCGAUAAUUUUCUUUCUCUAAAAAUGCCCAAACCAAUUAUUUCAAUUAGUGCAUAAUUCCAGCAUCGUAGGGAUAUUCUUAUAUCUCUCAUACACCCCUCUUUUAUCCCUGUGCUUUUCUGUUUAUUUUUCUGCCUGAGGCAAUGGAAAAGGAAGAGAGAGCAGCGGUCCAGCUUCCAGCAGGCCGACGCAGUAGAAGGCAGCCCAGCAGCAGCCCACUUAUUCCCCCAGAUCCUUUUCUCACCCAAAAACCCAGCCAACCCUCUCUUCCACUCAUCCCACGUGGCAACGCUGGACCCAUCCGUCUGCGGGGGAGACUGUAGCUAUCACCACCUUUCUCCUACCUCUCCUCCUCUGCUUUACACGCUCGCCAUGGCCACCGUGGCCGAGCCAGCUCGCCGCGCCCUCCUAUAAAACCAGCAGCCCUCACCCUAGGGUUCCUCCUCCUCCCUCUUUUCCCCUCCGCGCCGCCGCAAAAGGUAAGGGGCACCCACGCACCUGCUUCCCCGCCUCCAGGAGCCAUGGCCGGCUCGGACGACGAGCUUCCCUGCGGCAUAGGAGCUCCGCCGGCCUCCCUCCUCGCGCCUCCGAGCACCUCCACGCCGUCAUGGUUCCAUUCAGACGCCAAGGCGCGCCCAAGGAUCGCCAAGUCCCUCGACGUCCUCUUCCUCUGCUUCGCCUUCUUCACGGAUCAGGGAAACGCAAGUUCGGCGAGCUUCCUCGUCGCCUUCUUCAUCUUCAAUCAAGGCCAGGAGCUGGAAGGACCCAAGGCCGGCGCGAUCGACUCCUUCACGACGUCGUCUUCUCUGCUUCCUCUUCUUCACCGACCCGAACACCUCCGCAAGCGGUGCCUCCUCGUGCCUCAUUGGUCGCGCUUCCGACCUCGUCUUCUUGUCCCGAGCCCUUGGUGAGCAGCCGCUCCUCCCCGUCUCUCUAUGGUCUGGUUCGUCGCGGUAGCCGCCGAUCCCAUCAUGUCCGAGGCCAUGUCCAUUAAGUACGACCAUGGCAACGAGCUCGAGCUCGUGUUCUAGGCUUCUAGCCUCUGCUUGUCUCACCUGUGCAUGCAUCCACACUCAGCACUCACGCUCGCAGCACCCGCCAUCUCGCUCGCGAGCCCCGUUGCCCUGCUUCACCCACCGCUGUUGCUCCUGCCCCGUCUGACUGUGCGCCACAGCCGAGACGAGUUCCAGCUCGAUGCUCGAGCUCCGGACUCUUUCCUCCGCUCCCUGCAUGCAGGCGCGCACCCAUGUAUGUUUCCGCAACCCCGCUGGUCCUCUGCAACCACAGCAGGGGUUGCUGCUGGCUCCCGUCGCCGGCGAGUCCCCGUGCUCACGCUUCAGGUUUUGUCCUGGUCGCGAUGCGCAUAUCCAUUAUCUUCUGCCGAUCUCCCUUUGUAUCAUGAGCACUUAGCUAGCCCAGUGGUUCCCCCCUCGUUCUCACUUCUAGGAGGUCUUGGGUUCAAAUCCCAGGCGCCUCUCUUUUGCUCUGUUCUUUUAUUUCUUUUGCACACACCCACAGCUGCUUGGGCCGAAUCCUCAUCUGGGCCGCUGCACCAUAAUGCUUCGGGCCCGUGCAUAUUUUUUUCCUGUGCUGUGAUUUUGUCAUUAAAUCCUGGACAUGCUUAUUACAGAAAUGCCCCUGUUUUAAACUGCUAAUAACUAUUUAACCAUGCAUCCAAAUAAAACAUGUCAUAUAUGUAACAUGCUUAGAAUUUCAUCUAGUUUCACAAUAUCGCACCUUCAUCCAUGUUUAAAAUGUUUAAAUUACUGUUUGCAUUUAAUUUGCAUAAAUGCCAUGUUUAAAUGAUUUAUUUCAUAGCUAAAUAACCGUAACUCGGAUUUUAAUAAAAUUUAUAUGCAAAUGGGGUAGAAAAAUGCCUAGUUCAACAUGGUGCACUUCAUUUUGCUGUUUAACAACAUUAAAAUUUCGUUUAUGGCAGAACAGUACCAAAUCUAUAAUAUGCAUAUGAGGAUUUUCCGGAAUUGUUGUUGUUUGUUUCCGGCCUCAUUUAACUUGCUUAAAUAGUUAGUUUCCAUAUGCCUCACCUCUUGCCAUGUUAAUCAACAUUUAAUAUUGUUGGGUACAUAAACAAGAGCGAACUAAAUAACUGGAAUGUGGUGUUUCGUCAAUAUGCAACUCGUUGCAUAUUGAGCUCCACUUAAUUUGUAGUGUCGUUUGUUGCACUUUGCCAUGCCAUGCAUCAGUAAACCGGACAUGCAUCAUACUUGAUUUUGCAUCAUGCCAUGUGAAUGUGAUGGUUGUUUACCAUGUUGUUUGUUUCUUUCCGGUGUUCCUUCUUCUUGAUAGUUCUGGUUAUGUUGCGGUUGUGAGGAUUCGUUCGACUACAUCCGUUUGUCUUCUUCAUGGACUCGUUCUUCUUCCUAGCGGGAUUUCAGGCAAGAUGACCACCCCUCAAAAUCACUUCUAUCUUUGCUUUGCUAGUUGCUCGUUCUAUUGCCAUGCUGCGCUACCUACCACUUGCUAUAUCAUGCCUCCCAUACUACCAUGUCAGCCCCUAACCUUUUCACCCUUCCUAGCAAACCGUUGUUUGGCUAUGUUACCGCUUUGCUCAGCCCCUUCUUAUAGCGUUGCUAGUUGCAGGUGAAGAUGAAGAUUGCUCCAUGUUGGAUUAUGUUUAUGUUGGGAUAUCACAAUAUCUCUUAUCUUAAUUAAUGCAUCUAUUGCUUGGUAAAGGGUGGAAGGCUCAACCUUAUGCCUGAUGUUUUGUUCCACUCUUGCCGCCCCUAGUUUCUGUCAUACCGGUGUUAUGUUCCUUGAUUUUGCGUUCCUUACGCGGUUGGGUGAUUUAUGGGACCCCCUUGACAGUUCGCUUUGAAUAAAACUCCUCCAGCAAGGCCCAACCUUGGUUUUACCAUUUGCUACCACCUAUCCCCUUUUCCCUUGGGUUCUGCAGACUCAAGGGUCAUCUUUAUUUUAGACCCCCCCGGGUCAGUGCUCCUUCGAGUGUUGGUCCGAACCGAGCAGCCUGCGGGGCCACCUCGGGGAAACUCGAGGUCUGGUUUUACUCGUAGCUUGACUUAUCCGGUGUGCCCUGAGAACGAGAUAUGUGCAGCUCCUAUCGGGAUUUGUCGGCACAGCGGGCGGCUUUGCUGGUCUUGUUUUACCAUUGUCGAAAUGUCUUGUAAACCGGGAUUCCGAGACUGUUCGGGUCUUCCUGGGAGAAGGUUUAUCCUUCGUUGACCGUGAGAGCUUAUAAUGGGCUAAGUUGGGACACCCCUGCAGGGUAUAAACUUUCGAAGGCCGUGCCCGCGGUUAUGUGGCAGAUGGGAAUUUGUUAAUAUCCGGUUGUAGAGAAUUUGACACUUGACCUUAAUUAAAACGCAUCAACCGCGUGUGUAGCCGUGAUGGUCCUUUUCCGGCGGAGUCUGGGAAGUGAACACGGUUUCUGGGUUAUGUUUGACGUAAGUAGGAGUUCAGGAUCACUUCUUGAUCAUUGCUAGUUGACAAUCGUUCCGUUGCUUCUCUUCUCGCUCUUGCUUGCGUAUGUUAGCCACCAUACAUGCUAGUGCUUGCUGCAGCUCCACCUCAUUACUCCAUCCUUUCCUAUAAGCUUAAAUAGUCUUGAUCUCACGGGUGUGAGAUUGCUGAGUCCUUGUGACUCACAGAUACUUCCAAACAGUUGCAGGUGCCGACGAUACCAGUGCAGGUGACGCCACUGAGUUCAAGUGGGAGCUCGAUGAAGAUCUUGUUCGUUGUGUUGUUUCUUUUCAUUUUGAUCAGUAGUGGUGCCCAGUUGGGACAAUCGGGGAUCUAGCAGUUGGGUUGUCUUCUUUUAUGUUGGUUCCGUAGUCGGACCUAUGUGUGUAUCUUGAAUGAUGUAUGAAUUUAUUAUGUAUUGUGUGAAGUGGCGAUUGUAAGCCAACUCUUUAUCCCAUUCUUGUUCAUCACAUGAGAUUGUGUGAAGAUGACCCUUCUUGCGACAAAACCACAAUGCGGUUAUGCCUCUAAGUCGUGCCUCGACACGUGGGAGAUAUAGCCGCAUCGUGGGCGUUACAAGUUGGUAUCAGAGCCAUCCUCGACUUAGGAGCCCCCUGCUUGAUCGAAUCGCUGGCGUUGUUGAGUCUAGAGCAAAAAUGUUUUGAGUCUUAGGAUUAUAUAUAUCGGAGAAUAGGAUUCUUUUUACUCCUCAGUCCCUUCGUCGCUCUGGUGAGGCCUCCUGACGUAGAAGUUUUGACUCUUCUCUCCUCAAAUUUCACUAAAAAAAAUUUUAGGAUCACGCGGGUAUCUUGGAAUCAUUCCGAUGGUUUUGUGAUGAGAACAUUGUUCUUGGUGCCUCCUGACAUUUAGGGGUUGUGGCAGUGUCCCGGGGAGUUGAGCUCCAAGGUGUUGUCGUCACAAUUUUAUCGUUGCAGUUCUGGAAUACCUGAGUUUCGCCGACAUCGAAAUCUCUUUUAUGCAGUUGUUGGUGAGAUCACCUCGACGCCACCCAGUACUGGGGCGGGAGUUCGGGAGUAUUGCCAUAACUCGUAUAACGGAUGCUUUUCGAAGGUUGAGGUAAACGAUUUCCGAAGUUUUCUUGGUUAUGUGUUGACGGAUGGAUACAGCUGGAUCUAGGGAUUGCUAGUUUGGGUGAUAUAUUUUGUGUCCCCUGUAUCCCCAACACCAGAUUGCAUAACGAGAAAGUUUCGGGAGUUUAUAAGUGGGAAUUCAAGUAGCUCUUAGGAUAUCUUUCCGACAGAUGCAUGAUAUGAGAUUGGGGUUCGACGUCUAGUGGUCCGCCUGUACACGGUUGGUUUUACAGUGGUCUCGUAGUGUCUUAAAGAGUCCUUGGCUAUGCCGACUCAGGGACACUUCGUAUGUCAUGUGCACUGCCUUGUACAUGAUGGUGCUAUACGAUCGAGCCCGUGUGGGCCCCACCACGAAAACUUCGGACGAAAUCUCUAUCAUAUGUUUGUUCCGGCUUAUUUUGCAAGCCAAUCCUUUGUUUUGUUUUGUUUUGUGGUAUUCGAGUUGCUUCGAAGUCAAAUGUGGAUUCCAUACCUUUUCCUAAGCGGUGUUCUCAUACUUCUAUGUGGAUACUAAUCAUUCUUGAUCAUCGAGGUCGUCAUGUUAAUUCUUUUCCAACCGGCGUGCUUCUCUUCAAGUGGAUCCGAUCUUUUCAACAUCCGCAAGAUCAACUAUAAGUUUUCUCAACGGUGUUUAUUCCAUCUGCCCCAAGUUGCCUUUGUUUUUCCCGCCCUCCCACCCUUCUUCCUUCAAGGAAUCAGAUUGCCUAAUCUAGUAUCCAUUUUUAUUCACGUGAAGUACGUUCAUUCUUUUCAAUCAAUGUUCUUACCCGGUGGUUCUCAUGAAGAUGUUCUUGAAGUUUAUCAUUCUUCAUGCUUUUUCUUCUCCGGUGGACUAAUUUCAAGCCUUCAAUGUUGGUCACAUUCCUUUCCCUGUUUCAAAUGUUCUCUCAUGCCGGUUUAUCUCUUAAUCAUUCACCUCUCGCUUUCCAUGUGUUUCGGAGUGUACAAGAUACCUCAGAAGAUUCACAUUUCCAUUCCCAAUCCGUUCAAGUUCUUUUGAGGAUGCUAUCUCAUUCAAGCCAUUUAAUUCAACCAGUGCAAUCUCCUUUUCAAGUAAUCAUUUCAACGGUGUUUCUUUUGAGUGGGCCUUAACCCACAGGGUUUUUUUCCAGGAUCUUACCUGACUCUUCUAAUUCUUUUCGGAGCUAUUCCUAAAUUCUUUUCGAAGUUUGACGUAAGAAUGAAUUAUCAUCAGUCAUAUGUCUUUCUCCAAGAUCUUUCAAACUCUUUUCAUUGUUGGUUCAAUCUUUCUAAUUUUCAUUCCGGAGUGCCUCAAUAAUUCUUGAUGGUGUUUGUCAUCGUCAUUCUCAACAUUUGAAGACCGAAGAAGAAUUUCUCCUAAAUCUUGGUCCGUUCUCUUGAAGAUUCAUGGUUCUUACUUGUUGCCAUCCUCUCAUAUUGUUUCCAAUCGCGUAAUUCUUUUCUUACCCAUCCGGAGCAUUUCAGAGUUGUUUUCAUUUCUUGAUCAUCCAAAGGCCAUCAUUUCAGAAAUUCUCUUCGUUCUAAGUUUUCAGUCUCGUUCUCCAACUAUUCUAAAUUGAUGUCUCUUCGUUCUUCUCCAAAUCUUACCAGUGCAUCAUUCAAGUAUUCUCUAUUCAUCUCGUCAUCUAUUCGUUCACUUGUAUCUAAAUCCCCUCAAGUAUCUUCUUUCGUUUUCCAAUUCUUCCCGGUGAAUUGUGCCUUUGCUACUUUCAUUUUCAAUUCUUACGGUGGUUCGUUCAAGAUUUCUCUUCCUUCGUCACAUAUCAAGUUAUUCGUUGUUUCAAUUCUACCGGUGGUUCGAUGAAGACCUUCCCAAGUUUGCGCUAUAUCUAUCUUAAUCCUUUCUACGAGAAUAAGUAGUAUGCCAAAUCCGUUGCUUGUCAUCAAUCUAAAUUGGUGAAGGAUACGCAUAAUGUAAUUCUUAUUCUUGUUUCCUCCAAGUGAUUAAUUCCUUCUUCCGGAGUUCGUUCAUGAUAUCAAAUUUUCGGCUCCAAGUUGUUCAUCUUUUCUUUUCGGAGCUCCAAGUUAUUUCAAUUAUAUCAUUUCAAAGCUUCAUCUAAUCAUUGCAAGGCUUCUCCUGGAGUUCUUUUCAACUUUCCAUUUCGUUUGAUCAUUCUUUUAUUAUCGGAGUUCUUCAUGGAGGCUCUACAUGGUACUUCAUCAAGGAUCCCUUUCAUUCUUCAAUUGUUCGUCAAGAUUUCUCUCGGAGUUAUGAUCCGUCAAGCUAUACUCUAAAAUAAACAUGGUGCUCAACACAUGUUUUGUUUUGAGGAGUUCAAGCAUUCUUCAUCUUGCAUUCCGAAGUGCAUUUCUUUCUCUUAUCUUUUGAGGUGGUGUUAUGUCAUUCUUGACAAUUUGAGUUCGCGUUUCAUGAUUCAUAUGUUGUCAAGAAUGAGAUAUUUUAAAUCCACCAAUCUCUAUGUUGGAGUUAUCUUGUGUCAUAUUUCACCUAAAGCCUUCCCUAAGGAAUGUUGCUAAUUGUGGUGUCUAACAAUGAUCCAAGUUUUCUCCUAUCCUCUCGGCGAGAGAAGUUUUCAUUUCUUCAUUGAUCUCAAGCAAGCAAUUGUUUUCGUUAGUGGCAAAAAUUUCACCUCAUAAUUUUGAGAUGUGUUCCAUAAGCCCUCAACAAACUUGUUCUUUUAGUUGUUGGGUUUUUUCCAACAACUCCGUUCUAACCUUCUUGCAAGGAUACGUUCCAAAUUCAUUUGUGGAAGGUGUUGUCAUUUUCUUCUCCAUUCUGUUAUUCCAAUGAUCUAUCUUCUAUUCUUUCUUCCGGAGGUUUUGUGAUGUUGCUCUCUUCGACCAAUCAUCUUGUUUUGUCAAGAUCAUGUAAUUUUUCCUUUCUUAUUCGUUUAGCCGGAGUGUCGUGUUUUCAUUCGAGUUCUCUCAUCUUAUCAAGUUUUGCCUCCCUUUUUCAACCGGAGUGCUGUCUGAAAUCUUUCUUACCCCUUGUGCCAUUCUUUCAUUAGUUCCGGAGGAAAUGUGUUGUUAAUUUCAUCGAGUAUCCACUCAUCUUGUCAAGAUCAUGUUCAAUUCCUUUCAUUUACAGUCAGAGUGCUGCCCAAAUUAUAUCAUUCUUAUUCCUUCCCUAUCUUGUUUUAACCGGAGUGGUUUAAAUAUCUAUCGUGUAAAUUAACCUCAAGGUUCACAUGGUGUUCCUUGUUUCUCUUUUCUACCGGUGUGCUUUCAUAUUCCUUUUGAUCCGUUAAGCUCUUGUUUCAUAUUCUUCAACCUACAAAGGUUCUCGCAAUGUUCCUUGUUCCUCUUGCUGAACGGAGUGUUUUAAAUUUUGUUCAUCUCCGUUGUGUCAUUUCCUCAAGCUUUGCGACCUCUCAAGGUUCUUUGGUUUCACUCAUUUGUCAAAGAAGCAAUUAGUUUUACCUCUUCUCUUCCCCUUCCGUUUCUCUCCGGUGCCAUCCUAGAUCUCGGGACGAGAUCCUCUUGUAGUGGUGGAGUGUUGCAAUGCCCCGAGACCGACGCUUCAGAAGACUUCCUUAUUUUCGUGAUCGCCGUGUGUUUCUUUUGUGCUUGCUCUUUUAUUUUUGCAUUGCAUCAUGUCAUCAUGCCAUCAUGUCAUUUAAUUUUUAAAACCCACCUAAAUAAAUUUCAUGGAUCUUCGAUCCAUUUAAAUCGAGGGAAUUCACAUGGUUAUUUCUCUUUAUAACAUAUCCUCCUAAUAUUUAUGGAGCUAUUAUAAAUAUUCCAUUAGUUUGGAAUUAACCGGAACACACUUGCAAAAUAAUUCCCAUGCCUAUCUCUUGUCAUAUUGCUUUUGGUCAUUCAUGUUGUUUCCAUGAGCAUCAUGUGCAUUGCACUCAUCCUUAUGUUACAUGUUACUUUCAUGUUGUGGGUGCAUCAGCCCUUGCUAUCUCUCUCUCAAGCCAUGCCCAUGUAUCAUCACCUCUCCCUUCCUUCUUCCUUCAUGUUGUUGCAAGCGACAUUAUUUCCCUCCUUCAUUAAUGUUCAUUCUUUUCCUGGAGCUAGCUCACCAUGCCUAAACCCUCUCUGCCAAUUUUUAACUCUUUUGGACUUGAUUUGGUUGGAACCAAAAUUGCCUCAAGUUUGAAUUUAGUUCAAACUUGCGAUAAUUUUCUUUCUCUAAAAAUGCCCAAACCAAUUAUUUCAAUUAGUGCAUAAUUCCAGCAUCGUAGGGAUAUUCUUAUAUCUCUCAUACACCCCUCUUUUAUCCCUGUGCUUUUCUGUUUAUUUUUCUGCCUGAGGCAAUGGAAAAGGAAGAGAGAGCAGCGGCCCAGCUUCCAGCAGGCCGGCGCAGUAGAAGGCAGCCCAGCAGCAGCCCACUUAUUCCCCCCAGAUCCUUUUCUCACCCAAAAACCCAGCCAACCCCCUCUUCCACUCGUCCCACGUGGCAACGCUGGACCCAUCCGUCAGCGGGGGAGACUGUAGCUAUCACCACCUUUCUCCUACCUCUCCUCCUCUGCUUUACACGCUCGCCAUGGCCACCGUGGCCGAGCCAGCUCGCCGCGCCCUCCUAUAAAACCAGCAGCCCUCACCCUAGGGUUCCUCCUCCUUCCUCUUUUCCCCUCCACGCCGCCGCCAUAGGUAAGGGGCACCCACGCACCUGCUUCCCCGCCUCCAGGAGCCAUGGCCGGCUCGGACGACGAGCUUCCCUGCGGCAUAGGAGCUCCGCCGGCCUCCCUCCUCGCGCCUCCGAGCACCUCCACGCCAUCAUGGUUCCAUUCAGACGCCAAGGCGCGCCCAAGGAUCGCCAAGUCCCUCGACGUCCUCUUUCUCUGCUUUGCCUUCUUCACGGAUCAGGGAAACGCAAGUUCGGCGAGCUUCCUCGUCGCCUUCUUCGUCUUCAAUCAAGGCCAGGAGCCGGAAGGACCCAAGGCCGACGCGAUCGACUCCUUCACGACGUCGUCUUCUCUACUUCCUCUUCUUCACCGACCCGAACACCUCCGCAACCGGUGCCUCCUCGUGCCUCUGUGGUCGCGCUUCCGACCUCGUCUUCUUGUCCCGAGCCCUUGGUGAGCAGCCGCUCCUCCCCGUCUCUCUAUGGUCUAGUUCGUCGCGGUAGCCGCCGAUCCCAUCGUGUCCGAGGCCAUGUCCGUUAAGUACGACCAUGGCAACGAGCUCGAGCUCGUGUUCUAGGCUUCUAGCCUAUGCUUGUCUCACCUGUGCAUGCAUCCACACUCAGCACUCACGCUCGCAGCACCCGCCAUCUCGCUCGCGAGCCCCGUUGCCCUGCUUCACCCGCCGCUGUUGCUCCUGCCUCGUCUGACUGUGCGCCGCAGCCGAGACGAGUUCCAGCUCGAUUCUCGAGCUCCGGACUCUUUCCUCCGCUCCCUGCAUGCAGGCGCGCACCCAUGUAUGUUUCCGCAACCCCGCCGGUCCUCUGCAACCACAACAGGGGUUGCUGCUGGCUCCCGUCCCCGGCGAGUCCCCGUGCUCACGCUUCAGGUUUUGUCCUGGUCGCGAUGCGCAUAUCCAUUAUCUUCUGCCGAUCUCCCUUUGUAUCAUGAGCACUUAGCUAGCCCAGUGGUUCCCCCCUCGUUCUCACUUCUAGGAGGUCUUGGGUUCAAAUCCCAGGCGCCUCUCUUUUGCUCUGUUCUUUUAUUUCUUUUGCACACACCCACAGCUGCUUGGGCCGAAUCCUCAUCUGGGCCGCUGCACCAUAAUGCUUCGGGCCCGUGCAUAUUUUUUUCCUGUGCUGUGAUUUUGUCAUUAAAUCCUGGACAUGCUUAUUACAGAAAUGCCCCUGUUUUAAACUGCUAAUAACUAUUUAACCAUGCAUCCAAAUAAAACAUGUCAUAUAUGUAACAUGCUUAGAAUUUCAUCUAGUUUCACAAUAUCGCACCUUCAUCCAUGUUUAAAAUGUUUAAAUUACUGUUUGCAUUUAAUUUGCAUAAAUGCCAUGUUUAAAUGAUUUAUUUCAUAGCUAAAUAACCGUAACUCGGAUUUUAAUAAAAUUUAUAUGCAAAUGGGGUAGAAAAAUGCCUAGUUCAACAUGGUGCACUUCAUUUUGCUGUUUAACAACAUUAAAAUUUCGUUUAUGGCAGAACAGUACCAAAUCUAUAAUAUGCAUAUGAGGAUUUUCCGGAAUUGUUGUUGUUUGUUUCCGGCCUCAUUUAACUUGCUUAAAUAGUUAGUUUCCAUAUGCCUCACCUCUUGCCAUGUUAAUCAACAUUUAAUAUUGUUGGGUACAUAAACAAGAGCGAACUAAAUAACUGGAAUGUGGUGUUUCGUCAAUAUGCAACUCAUUGCAUAUUGAGCUCCACUUAAUUUGUAGUGUCGUUUGUUGCACUUUGCCAUACCAUGCAUCAGUAAACCGGACAUGCAUCAUACUUGAUUUUGCAUCAUGCCAUGUGAAUGUGAUGGUUGUUUACCAUGUUGUUUGUUUCUUUCCGAUGUUCCUUCUUCUUGAUAGUUCUGGUUAUGUUCCGGUUGUGAGGAUUCGUUCGACUACAUCCGUUUGUCUUCUUCAUGGACUCGUUCUUCUUCCUAGCGGGAUUUCAGGCAAGAUGACCACCCCUCGAAAUCACUUCUAUCUUUGCUUUGCUAGUUGCUCGUUCUAUUGCCAUGCUACGCUACCUACCACUUGCUAUAUCAUGCCUCCCAUACUACCAUGUCAGCCCCUAACCUUUUCACCCUUCCUAGCAAACCGUUGUUUGGCUAUGUUACCGCUUUGCUCAGCCCCUUCUUAUAGCGUUGCUAGUUGCAGGUGAAGAUGAAGAUUGCUCCAUGUUGGAUUAUGUUUAUGUUGGGAUAUCACAAUAUCUCUUAUCUUAAUUAAUGCAUCUAUAUACUUGGUAAAGGGUGGAAGGCUCGGCCUUAUGCCUGGUGUUUUGUUCCACUCUUGCCGCCCCUAGUUUCCGUCAUACCGGUGUUAUGUUCCUUGAUUUUGCGUUCCUUACGCGGUUGGGUGAUUUAUGGGACCCCCUUGAUAGUUCGCUUUGAAUAAAACUCCUCCAGCAAGGCCCAACCUUGGUUUUACCAUUUGCUACCACCUAUCCCCUUUUUCCUUAGGUUCUGCAGACUCAAGGGUCAUCUUUAUUUUAGACCCCCCCCGGGCCAGUGCUCCUUCGAGUGUUGGUCCGAACCGAGCAGCCUGCGGGGCCACCUCGGGGAAACUCGAGGUCUGGUUUUACUCGUAGCUUGACUUAUCCGAUGUGCCCUGAGAACGAGAUAUGUGCAGCUCCUAUCGGGAUUUGUCGGCACAGCGGGCGGCUUUGCUGGUCUUGUUUUACCAUUGUCGAAAUGUCUUGUAAACCGGGAUUCCGAGACUGUUCGGGUCUUCCUGGGAGAAGGUUUAUCCUUCGUUGACCGUGAGAGCUUAUAAUGGGCUAAGUUGGGACACCCCUGCAGGGUAUAAACUUUCGAAGGCCGUGCCCGCGGUUAUGUGGCAGAUGGGAAUUUGUUAAUAUCCGGUUGUAGAGAAUUUGACACUUGACCUUAAUUAAAACACAUCAACCGCGUGUGUAGCCGUGAUGGUCUCUUUUUGGCGGAGUCCGGGAAGUGAACACGGUUUCUGGGUUAUGUUUGACGUAAGUAGGAGUUCAGGAUCACUUCUUGAUCAUUGCUAGUUGACGAUCAUUCCGUUGCUUCUCUUCUCGCUCUUGCUUGCCUAUGUUAGCCACCAUACAUGCUAGUGCUUGCUGCAGCUCCACCUCAUUACUCCAUCCUUUCCUAUAAGCUUAAAUAGUCUUGAUCUCGCGGGUGUGAGAUUGCUGAGUCCUCGUGACUCACAGAUACUUCCAAACAGUUGCAGGUGCCGACGAUACCAGUGCAGGUGACGCCACUGAGUUCAAGUGGGAGCUCGAUGAAGAUCUUGUUCGUUGUGUUGUUUCUUUUCAUUUUGAUCAGUAGUGGUGCCCAGUUGGGACGAUCGGGGAUCUAGCAGUUGGGUUGUCUUCUUUUAUGUUGGUUCCGUAGUCGGACCUAUGUGUGUAUCUUGAAUGAUGUAUGAAUUUAUUAUGUAUUGUGUGAAGUGGCGAUUGUAAGCCAACUCUUUAUCCCAUUCUUGUUCAUCACAUGGGAUUGUGUGAAGAUGACCCUUCUUGCGACAAAACCACAAUGCGGUUAUGCCUCUAAGUCGUGCCUCAACACGUGGGAGAUAUAGCCGCAUCGUGGGCGUUACUGUGAACCACCAUCAGUCUUAAAGACCUAGGGACUCCAAACCUCGGAAAAAUAAUUUCUUUAAGCAUCUUAAUAGAGGUGUUAUGAUCAGCACUACUAGUUGGAAUAGCUUCUACCCAUUUAGUAACGUAAUCAACAGCAACUAAAAUAUGAGUAUACCCAUUAGAGGCAGGAAACGGUCCCAUAUAAUCAAAGCCCCAAACAUCAAAUGGUUCAAUAACAAGUGAAUAAUUCAUAGGCAUUUCCUGACGUCUACUAAUAUUACCAAUUCUUUGACAUUCAUCACAAGAUAAGACAAACUUACGGGCAUCCUUGAAGAUAGUAGGCCAAUAAAAACCGGAUUGCAAUACCUUAUGUGCAGUUCUAUCUCCUGCGUGGUGUCCUCCAUAAGCCUCGGAGUGACACUUGCGUAGGAUCUGUUCCUGUUCAUGCUCAGGUACACAACGCCUAAUAACACCAUCUACUCCUUCUUUAUAAAGAUGUGGGUCAACCCAAAAGUAAUGUCUCAAAUCAUAGAAAAACUUUUUCUUUUGCUGGUAUGUGAAACUAGGUGGUAUAAAUUUAGCAAUAAUGUAAUUAGCAUAAUCAACAUACCAUGGAGCAGUACGAGAAGCAUUUAUGACAUUUAAUUGUUCAUCAGGAAAGCUAUCAUCAAUAGGUAGUGGGUCAUCAAGAACAUUUUCUAACCUAGACAAGUUGUCUGCAAUGGGGUUCUCAGCUCCCUUUCUAUCAAUAAUAUGCUAAUCAAAUUCUUGUAGCAAGAGAACCCAUCUAAUAAGUCUUGGUUUAGCAUCUUUCUUUUCCAUAAGAUAUUUAGUAGCAGCAUGAUCCGUGUGAAUAGUUACUUUAGAAUCAACAAUAUAAGGUCUCAACUUAUCACAAGCAAAUACAACUGCUAAGAAUUCUUUUUCAGUAGUAGCAUAAUUUCUUUGAGCACUAUCUAGAGUCUUACUAGCAUAUUGAAUAACAUUUAAUUUCUUAUCAACUCUUUGCCCUAGAACAGCACCUACAGCAUAAUCACUAGCAUCACACAUAAUUUCAAAGGGUAAAUUCUAAUCAGAUGGCUGAACAAUAGGUGCAGAAAUCAAUGCUUUCUUAAGUAUUUCAAAUGCUUCUACACAAUCAUCAUCAAAGUCAAAUGGUAUAUCUUUUUGUAAUAGAUUGGUCGGAGGCCGAGAAAUUUUUGAGAAGUCCUUAAUGAACCUCCUAUAAAAAUCGGCAUGACCAAGGAAACUUCUUAUACCUUUGAUGUCCUUGGGACAUGGCAUCUUUUCAAUAGCAUCAACUUUAGCUUUAUCAACUUCAAUGCCUCUUUCAGAAAUUUUAUGCCACAAAACAAUGCCUUCAUUAACCAUAAAGUGGCACUUCUCCCAAUUCAAGACAAGGUUAGUGUCUUCACAUCUCUGCAAAACUCGAUCAAGGUUGCUCAAGCAAUCAUCAAAAGAGGAUCCAUAGACGGAGAAAUCAUCCAUGAAAACCUCAGAAAUCUUUUCACAAAAAUCAAAGAAUAUAGCUAUCAUGCAUCUUUGAAAGGUAGCAGGUGCAUCACAUAAACCAAAAGGCAUACGUCUAUAAGCAAAAGUACCGAAAGGACAAGUAAAAGUGGUCUUUCCUUGAUCAUCAGCUGACACAGGUAUUUGAGAGAAACCAGAAUAACCAUCUAGAAAGCAAAAAUGUGUAUGUUUGGAUAAUCUUUCUAGCAUUUGAUCAAUGAAUGGCAAGGGGUAAUGAUCUUUUUAGUAGCUUUAUUUAAUUUGCGGAAAUCAAUUACCAUCCUAUAACUUGUAAUAAUUCUUUGAGGAAUCAAUUCAUCUUUAUCAUUACGAACGACAGUAAUACCUCCCUUCUUAGGGACACAAUGGACAGGACUUACCCACUGACUAUCAGCAACGGGAUAAAUUAUACCUACCUCAAGGAGCUUUAAUAUUUCCUUUCUUACCACUUCUUUCAUCUUAGGAUUUAAUCGUCGUUGAUGAUCAAUAACUGGUUUGGCCUUUUUCUCCAAAUUUAUUUUAUGUUGGCAUAGAGUGGGACUAAUGCCCUUAAGAUCAUCAAGAGUAUAUCCAAUAGCAGCACGGUGCUUCUUCAGAGUUUUCAAUAAUUUUUCUUCCUCCUUCUCUGAAAGGUUAGCACUAAUAAUAAUAGGAUAUAUCUUCUUUUCAUCGAGAUAAGCAUAUUUAAGAGUAUCAGGCAAUGGUUUAAGCUCAAACACGGGAUCACCCUUGGGUGGAGGAGGAUCCCCUAAGAUUUCAACAGGCAAGUUGUGUUUUAGAAUAGGUCCCUGUUUAAAGAACACUUCAUCUAUUUCCCUUCUUUCAUUCAUAAACAUAUCAUUUUCAUGGUCUAGCAAAUAUUGUUCUAAAGGAUCACUAGGAGGCACGGCAAUAGAAGCAAGACCAAUAAUUUCAUCCUUACUAGGAAAUUCCUCUUCACGGUGUUGUCUACAAAACUUAGAAAAAUUAAACUCAUGAGACAUAUCACCUAGACCAAUAGUAACAACAUCCUUUUCGCAGUCUAUCUUAGCAUUAACAGUGUUCAAGAAGGGUCUACCAAAUAUAAUGGGACAAAAGCUAUCUUGUGGAGAACCAAGAACAAGAAAAUCAGUAGGAUAUUUAGUUUUCCCACACAAGACUUCAACAUCCCUAACAAUUCCAAUUGGUGAUAUAGUAUCUCUAUUGGCAAGCUUAAUUGUGACAUCAAUUUCUUCUAACUCAGCGGGUGCAAUAUCAUGUAUAAUUUCUUUAUAUAAAUCAAUAGGUAUUGUACUAGCACUAGCACCCAUAUCACACAAGCCAUGAUAACAAUGAUCUCUUAUUUUAACAGAAAUAACAGGCAUGCCUACCACAGGUAUAUGUUUAUCUUUAGCACAAGGUUUAGCAAUUCUAGCAGUCUCAUCACAGAAAUAAAUAACAUGCCCAUCAAUAUUAUCAGCCAAGAGAUCUUUAACAAUAGCAAUAUUAGGUUAAAAUUUAACUUGCUCAGGAGGUGUAUAAGUUCUAAUAAUGCUCUUGCGAACCACAGUUGAAGCUUUAGCAUGAUACUUUAUUCUAUCAGGGAAAGGUGGUUUCUCAACAUAAGCAGUAGGAACAAUAGGAUCAUUAUAAGUGAUAGUCUUUUCUUCAACUUUAAUAGGUGCAACUACUUUUACUUCUAUGGGAGGAUGAUAUUUAAACCACUUCUCCUUAGGGAGAUCGACGUGAGCAGCAAAAGAUUCACAAAAAGAAGCUACUAUCUCAGAGUCAAGUCCAUAUUUAGUGUUAAAUUUAUGGAAAACAUCGGUAUCCAUAAAAGAUUUAACACAAUCAAACUUAGGUGUUAUACCUUACUCCUUACCUUCGUCGAGGUCCCAAUCUUCAGAGUUGCAUUUAAUUCUUUCCAAUAAAUCCCAUUGAAUUCAAUAGUCUUCAUCAUAAAAGAACCAGUACAAGAAGUAUCGAGCAUGGUGCGAUUGUUGUCAGAAAGCCGAGCAUAAAUUUUUUGAAUAAUCAUUUCUCUUGAGAGCUCAUGAUUGGGGCAUAAAUAUAACAUUGACUUAAGCCUCCCCUAAGCUUGAGCGAUGCUUUCUCCUUCGCGAGGCCAAAAAUUAUAUAUAUAAUUACGAUCACGAUGAACAAGUGCAUAGGAUAAAACUUCUGAUGAAAUUCCAGUUUCAAUCGUUUGUAGUUCCAUGAUCCCAUAUCAUCACAUAGCCUAUACCAUGUCAAUGCAUCUCCCUUCAAAGAUAAAGGGAAGACCUUCUUCUUCAUAACAUCAUCGGGCAUACCUGCAAGCUUAAAUAAUCCACAAACUUCAUCCACAUAUAUUAGGUGCUCAUCAGGAUGUAAUGUUCCGUCUCCUGCAAAAGGAUUAGCUAGCAGUUUUUCUAUCAUACCCGAAGGAAUUUCAAAGUAGACAUUUGCAUUUUCAGUAGGUUCAGUAGGUUGAGGAGCAACUCUUUGCUCUACCGGUCGGGGUGAACUUACCCCGAACAAGCCCCUCAGAGGAUUACUUUCCAUAGUAACAAGUGACAGUAAAUUUCAGCACACUAUAUAAAUUUUUCCUUACCAAAUUCCACCUACCAAAGGCGCUUCACUCCCCGGCAAAGGCGCCAGAAAAGAGUCUUGAUGACCCACAAGUAUAGGGGAUCUAUUGUAGUCCUUUCGAUAAGUAAGAGUGUCGAACCCAACAAGGAGCAGAAGGAAAUGAUAAGCGGUUUCAGCAAGGUAUUCUCUGCAAGCACUGAAAUUAUAGGUAACAGAUAGUUUUGUGAUAAGAUAAUUUGUAACGAGCAACAAGUAACAAAAGUAAAUAAAGUGCAGCAAGGUGGCCCAAUCCUUUUUGUAGAAAAGGACAAGCCUGGACAUACUCUUAUAUAAAGAAAAGCGCUCCCGAGGACACAUGGGAAUUAUCAUCAAGCUAGUUUUCAUCACGCUCAUAUGAUUUGCGUUCGGCACUUUGAUAAUUUGAUAUGUGGGUGGACCGGUGCUUGGGUGCUGUCCUUACUUGGACAAGCAUCCCACUUAUGAUUAACUCCUAUUGCAAGCAUCCGCAACUACAAAAGAAGUAUUAAGGUGAACCUAACCAUAGCAUGAAACAUAUGGAUCCAAAUCAGCCCCUUACGAAGCAACGCAUAAACUAGGGUUUAAGCUUCUGUCACUCUAGCAACCCAUCAUCUACUUACUACUUCCCAAUGCCUUCCUCUAGGCCCAAAUAAUGGUGAAGUGUCAUGUAGUCGACGUUCACAUGACACCACUAGAGGAGAGACAACAUACAUCUCAUCAAAAUAUCGAACGAAUACCAAAUUCACAUGACUACUAAUAGCAAGACUUCUCCCAUGUCCUCAGGAACAAACGUAACUACUCACAAAGCAUAUUCAUGUUCAUAAUCAUAGGAGUAUUAAUAUGCAUAUAGGAUAUGAACAUAUGGCCUUCCACCAAAUAAACCAACUAGCAUCAACUGCAAGGAGUAAUCAACACUACUAGCAACCUACAGGUACCAAUCCCGGACUUAGAGACAAGAAUUGGAUACAAGAGAUGAACUAGGGUUUGAGAGGAGAUGGUGCUGGUGAAGAUGUUGAUGGACAUUGGCCCCCUCCCGAUGAGAGGAGCGUUGGUGAUGACGAUGGCGAUGAUUUCCCCUCCCGGAGGGAAGUGUCCCCGGCAGAACAGCUCCGCCAGAGCCCUAGAUUGGUUCCGCCAAGGUUCCGCCUCGUGGCGGCGGAGUCUCGUCCCGAAAGCUUGCCUAUGAUUUUUCCUCGGACGAAAGACUUCAUAUAGCAGAAGAUGGCCACCGGAGGGCCACCAGGGGGCCCACGAGGCAGGGGGUGCGCCCAGGGGGUAGGGCGCGCCCCCCACCCUCGUGCCCAGGGUGUGGGUCCCCUCUGGUAUUUCUUCCGCUCAAUAUUUUAUAUUAUUUCCAAAAAUAACUUCCGUGGAGUUUCAGGACUUUUGGAGUUGUGCAGAAUAGGUCUCUAAUAUUUGCUCCUUUUCCAGCCCAGAAUUCUAGCUGCCGGCAUUCUCCCUCCUUAUGUAAACCUUGUAAAAUAAGAGAGAAUAGGCAUAAGUAUUGUGACAUAAUGUGUAAUAACAGCCCAUAAUGUAAUAAAUAUCAAUAUAAAAGCAUGAUGCAAAAUGGACGUAUCAGUGCCCAGAUUGCUCAAAUCCCUAAUUCGCCGCCAACCCAAGCAAAGUUCGAAUCGCCCCUCGUCUCGUCUCUUUCCCCACCUCUGUGCCGGACGACGACGACGAAGAUGACGGUCGCGCUUCACCACCGCACCGGAGCUACCUCAUCUACGCCCUCGUCCACCGCACCGGGUGGUCCACUGACAACGUCGGCCGCCGCAACCGACGUGCCUCACAGACACCGACUUCCACCGCAUCAGGUGCGCUUCACCGACGCCGUCUCCCAGCUCACCGGGGCUACUUCACUGAGCACAUCGUCGCGCCUCCGCCCGCCGAGGCCGCUGGUGUUGGGGAAUGUAGUAAUUUCAAAAAAUUUCCUACGCACACGCAAGAUCAUGGUGAUGCAUAGCAACGAGAGGGGAGAGUGUUGUCCACGUACCCUCGUAGACCGAUAGCGGAAGCGUUAACACAAUGCGGUUGAUGUAGUCGUACGUCUUGAUGAUCCGACCGUUCAAGUACCGAACGUACGGCACCUCCGAGUUCAGCACACGUUCAGCUCGAUGACGUCCCUCGAACUCCGAUCCAGCCGAGUGUUGAGGGAGAGUUUCAUCAGCACGACGGCGUGGUGAUGAUGAUGAUGUUCUACCAACGCAGGGCUUCGCCUAAGCACCGCUACGAUAUUAUCGAGGUGUAAUAUGGUGGAGGGGGGCACCGCACACGGCUAAGAGAUCAAUUAGAUCAAUUGUUGUGUCUAUGGGGUGCCCCCCCAGCCCCCGUAUAUAAAGGAGCAAGGGGGAGGCCGGCCGGCCCUUGUUGGCACGCCAGCAGGAGUCCUCCUCCUAGUAGGAGUAGGACUCCCCUCUUUCCUACUCCUACUAGGAGGUGGAAAGGAAGGGGGAGAGGGAGAAGGAAAGGGGGGCGCCGCCGCCCCCCCCCCCCCCUCUCCUAGUCCAAUUCAGACCAGAGGGGAAGGGGGCGUGCGGCCCCUCCUGGCUGCCCCUCUCUCUCUCCAUUAAGGCCCAUAAGGCCCAUUACUUCUCCCGGGGGGGUUCCGGUAACCCUCCGGCACUCCGGUUUUCUCCGAAAUCACCCGGAACACUUCCGGUGUCCGAAUAUAGUCGUCCAAUAUAUCAAUCUUUAUGUCUCGACCAUUUCGAGACUCCUCGUCAUGUCCGUGAUCACAUCCGGGACUCUGAACAACCUUCGGUACAUCAAAACAUAUAAACUCAUAAUAUAACUGUCAUCGUAACGUUAAGCGUGCGGACCCUACGGGUUCGAGAACUAUGUAGACAUGACCGAGACACGUCUCCGGUCAAUAACCAAUAGCGGAACCUGGAUGCUAAUAUUGGUUCCCACAUAUUCUACAAAGAUCUUUAUCGGUCAGACCGCAUAACAACAUACGUUGUUCCCUUUGUCAUCGGUAUGUUACUUGCCCGAGAUUCGAUCGUCGGUAUCUCAAUACCUAGUUCAAUCUCGUUACCGGCAAGUCUCUUUACUCGUUCCGUAAUACAUCAUCCCGCAACUAACUCAUUAGUUACAAUGCUUGCAAGGCUUAUAGUGAUGUGUAUUACUGAGUGGGCUCAGAGAUACCUCUCCGACAAUCGGAGUGACAAAUCCUAAUCUCGAAAUACGCCAACCCAACAAGUACCUUCGGAGACACCUGUAGAGCACCUUUAUAAUCACCCAGUUACGUUGUGACGUUUGGUAGCACACAAAGUGUUCCUCCGGUAAAUGGGAGUUGCAUAAUCUCAUAGUCAUAGGAACAUGUAUAAGUCAUGAAGAAAGCAAUAGCAACAUACUAAACGAUCGAGUGCUAAGCUAACGGAAUGGGUCAGGUCAAUCACAUCAUUCUCGUAAUGAUAUGAUCCCGUUAAUCAAAUGACAACUCAUGUCUAUGGCUAGGAAACAUAACCAUAUUUGAUCAACGAGCUUGUCAAGUAGAGGCAUACUAGUGACACUCUGUUUGUCUAUGUAUUUACACAUGUAUCAUGUUUCCGUUUAAUACAAUUCUAGCAUGAAUAAUAAACAUUUAUCAUGAUAUAAGGAAAUAAAUAAUAACUUUAUUAUUGCCUCUAGGGAAUAUUUCCUUCAGCUGGGGCUUCACUAACGGUCUCGUCCACCGCAUCGUAGCGCUCCGCUGCCACUCAAGAUCUGCAUCCAUGCGCAGCCAGCCAACGCCAGUGCAUCACCCUCAACGGCUCUGAAGUGACCCGCACUCUAGCUAGGCAAGCAUUCCCAAACGCCGGCCCGAACUAGGUAUCCACACAUCACUCCCUUGUGCAUUGUUCCGACGAUGUUUGGAUAUCCUUUCACUGCGCUUACACGCCUAUCCAACUCUGACUUUAACCUUAUUUCUUCUAGAGAUAUCAUCUGAAACAAGCAAAUCCAUUUUUUAGCGAAGCAUGAUGGCGCUACGGGAUCUGGUACACAUCCUGCACACCUGUAUAACCUUGUAAGUAUUUUUCCUCCAGUACAACAGCAAGGUCGAUUCCUCUUAUUUGAUCAGCCAUUCGCCGUGUCAAAAAUGCAGAGCGGGAUGCAAGGAGCACAAGGCCUGCACAUCCAAGCAAGUGGUAACAUGGACUUGUACAUGGAACAUCCCAAGCGCAAGCAGAGCUGCAGUGAGCCUAUACAACGAGCUAGCGUAAGUCCCUGCAUUUCAUUUAAUUCGUACUGGCAUUCGUGUAUGAUUUGUGUGCGGUGGCGGAUCCACGAAUUCAAGUUACCAGGGGCAACAUUUAACUUAAAAAAUACGAAGGCACUUGCACUCUGGAAAUCAACAUAACUUGAGAAAUGUGAAGCUACAUGCACUUUGAAAACCAGCUAAUGAUCCAAAGUAGUUCAGAUUAUAAACACUAAAUGAUGCAAGCACCAAAAAACACAAAAUGCAACAUGGUGUACAAGGACUACAAACAUGGUCUGUACCUGCUUGAAUUAUUCGUUCUCUGGCUGAAAAUAUCGAAGUGUAAUUGCACCUAUAACCAGUGCGCAAACUGCAUAUCAAUAUAUCUAUCCUGCACAAGUAUGCCAAUAGUUUCAAACAACAGAUUAGAAAAGUAUUUAUGCUACGUUGUCAUGAUACGGGGACUUUGUGGUAGAUGGCCUCGACGUUUCCUCAAGCCAUGAAAAUGCACUAUAAUUUGCUUGUCAUCAAUGCCUACAAACCUCUACGUCUCUCUCAACAUAGCAGAUCAUCAUUAGACACUAAAUCCUUCAAUGGGAGCUUGCAAAAUGCUUGCAUUAGAUGCCUCAUUAGACACUAUAUGUUCAUCACCAGGAGCAUGUAAAAUGUUUGCAUCAAAUCCUUCAUUAGCAGUCUGUUCAUUAGACACUUCAGGCUCAAGAACAACAUGAGCUUGGAUGUUUGCACCGGAAACUUGAUUAGAUACAUCAGAUUCAGUCAGUUCAGUAUUGAUUGGGGGAGUUAUAAAAUAAGUAGAAGUAGAAACUGGUUUCAUUUUCUCAUAGAUUCCCUACAUACAAGCAGUUUUACAACACCGUCAGGUUUAACUAUUGGCCAGAAAUUGAAGAGUUGAAUUAGAUAUAAUCAGGGAUGUGAUGUACCUGCUCGUUGCGCAUGCUACUCUUGCAAGCUGUGACUGUCCGUUUGCGCAAGCUCGAUGCCAUGCUCGUGCUGCCGCCGCUGCCUCCCACGCAGGCUACACCCAGGGUUGGAUCUUCAUCUUCUUGUCCUUCCGUUCGCUUGAAGCCCGGUGACCGCCCUCCAACGAGGGCGCGAGGAAGUGCUGUGUCGGUCUGUCCAGCGACGGCUAGGUUAGGAGCAAACCAGACUGGAGGGUGGAGCGGAUGAAUUGGGAUUUUUCCUGCUGUCGAUCGAUAUGGGAGGCGCUCGUCUGGGCCGUGAGCCUGCUAUAGGGCCUGCCUUGCACUUAUGUUAUUGGCCUAUCCAAAUUGAAACAUUUUUCUUCAUUUUUUACAUUGCCUGCUCGUGCGUUGGGACGAACAAAACUAGCCUGGGUCAACCUGGACGACUCAAACUAGGUGCACACUUUCGAGCCACCCGAGGCGGCCGCCCAUACUAGCCCCUAUGAUGGCGUCGCCCCUUUUUGCAUGUAUGAUAGGGGUAGUGAAAGAUAUUCCAGUGGCGCUUUUGAUUUACCCACAGAAUGGUUGAAUUGCUUGUUUUUAUGAACUGAGUUCGCCAAUAAUGUGAAGGAUGCCAGUCUUUUCAUCCUAUUGUAGUGCCAUGGACUCCUUCGUACAACCUUGUAAGCGAAAAAGAAGUUGCAGUGUGCCUGUACAAAGAACUAGCGUAAGUUCAGUUACCUGCUUCUCGGAAUUUUAGUUAGCCACUUAUUGCAAAAAAAUUCAAUUACGUUGCUUGUCUUAAUUUAGUUUGCUACUGAUUACAUAAUGCCACAGCCUGUUAAUCCUAUUAUAGACUGCACCUAUCUAUGUGUUUGAUACUUACUGUUAAGAAUUACCUGUUUGCCUGAACUUAAAUAGCUACUUGUUUGUUUAACUGCUUUGCUGCUGCAACAGCGGGUUACAAUGAUGUUAAUAACUACUUUUCAGCAUCGAAUUGAAACUCUUUAAUUCCUUGUUUGUUUAACUGGUUUGCUGUUAUAACUCCCAGUUGAGAUGUUUUGCUAACUUCAACUUUUCUGAAUCCAAUCGGAACUUUAAUGGCAAAACAGGUUAGCCCAAGAUCAAAGAGCGAGGUCCCCAUGGACGUUGUAUCAUCCCACAACAAUGGCACCGGCCCAAUCGUGCAUUAUGAAUUGCCAACUGCUGAUGCUCUAGAGGCUAAACUAGUGGUAGAAAGAGAUUCUGCUUCUGCACUUAGAGAUGAAGUUGACAUGUUGAGGAAGCAAACAACACAAUAUUUGCUUCUGCUUCUGCAGUACUCAAGACAACCAUUAAAUAUUUGGUGGAUUUCAAAAUGAAGCAAGCUGAGACUGACCACAUUGUUAAGGUCCUGAAGGAAAAAAGGAAAUUAAAUUCCCACUUGGUAAAUCAUAGGUGAAAUGUUCUUUCCAUCAUUGAAUAACCUUUGUGUUGUUUGUUCAUGUAAUCAAUCAAACCAUUUGUUUUAGAGAUCAUGUAAUAAUUGUUUUUUGUUUUUUGUUUUUUGGUUUGUAAUUUUAUUUGAGGACAAGUCUGUAUUAAUUGAUAAGACUUGGAGACAUUUCAUUUUGAUUGUUGUGCCAGACCUACAAAUAUGCCAAUCGGGCUGAAUGUGCAUUCAGCAAUAAUAGUAGUAUAGAUGGACCAUAAGUGGCAUGCAUUGGAAAGGGCCAAGAUGCUGUAGUAGCUUGGCUAAAAAAGGAUGUUGUUGUAGCAAAGAAAAGUACAGCGGCCUGGCUUAUGUAUGUUAGUUGAUAUUAUUGAUCCAUAUACUCUAUAAGUGUUUAUAUGUCUGUUAGUUCUGUACAUUCUUGGUUGAUUCACUCGGUAUUUGAAUCUUGAUACAUCGCUUGUGUACAUAUCUAAAUGGGAGUACACAUUAUGCUGCAUGUGACAUUUGAGUUGGACAUGAAGUGUUCCAAAUAUUCGAAAUCACCUUAAACUGGAUUCUAGCUUCUGAAUUUGAGUAUCGGCAUUUGUAUACCAUAUUUAUAUAUGAUAGUGGAAUACAUCUUUGUCGUCCUUUUGAAGAUAUAUAAAAACACAUAGAAUGAUUUAUAAAGAUUCGUAUAGGAAUACAAAAUGGAUUCGAAUUUAGUUGCCAGCGUAAACGUGGAUGCUUAUUGUCCCAAAAUUCGAAAGAAGCGGCAAAAUGUCCACUCCCACGUCGGCUGCCCGAAACCAAGUAUUUGGGAGAUGGAAAUUACUGUCUACCCAUUAUACGGACAAUCCAUCGGCCCGAUUUCCACUGCUCUAAAUAGGGGUAGGAUAGUAACUUCAAUAAGACGUGACACGACCGCCUCUGAGCCCAUUCUGACACGGUGGGCGCCAAACAUGGGCGGCAAAACACAUUUGAUUCAAGCUCGUCCGAAAGACCUCUGUUUCUCCCUCCAUUUCCCCAUUCAUACACGGUGGGCGGCAAAACAAACUCGACUCGGCCGAAAUCGAUGUAGGAAAAUAUUUUCAAUAGGGGCAGGUUUGUAACUUCACUCAGACGUGACACAACUGCCCUACCUGUCAGCCCUGUUCAUACACCGUGGGCGCCAACUAUGGGUGCCAACCACCCUCUCCUCACCCGAAAUCGCUAUGGGCAAAUAUUGGCGAGAUGCGAGAUUACCGUCAUAUCCCCAACCGACGAGACGUCCAAAUUUUAAACGGGGGCUAAGUUCGUAACUUUCCCAUAUUUCAUACAGGUGCGUCCAAAAACAUGGUUCCCCGUACCUGUCCCUCCAUUUUCCCAUUCAUACACCAUCCGCGCUAGAACACCAUCCCCACACCAGCCUUCGUCCGCCACCCCAUCCAUCGCCGCCGUCCUCCACCACAUCCAUCGCCGCCGUCCUCCACUACAUCCAUCGCCACCAUCCUCCACCAUGCUGGAGCGCCUACCAAGACCGCGUCGUCCACUGCUAGAGAUGGACGUUUCUCAUCCACGGCGAUGGACCAAGAGCCUUGCAUCACGUCAUCUCGCUUCAUCAGCGCCAUCGUCCUCUUUGCCGGGGCCGCUCACACGACCUUCUCUUCCACCGCAACGAGACUUAUCCCCCGAUGCACCCGUCUACUGUCGUAGAUCUGCUUCAACGCCACCGACAGCCAUUGCACCCCCGAUGCCUACACGGCGCCGCAAGAGAGGUGGUACUUCAUAUCUCCUCAACUUUUUGAUCUCAACCAGAAAAUAGAUCUUAACUUGGUUACUCUACUUUCUUUUCAGCUCUUAGAAUUUAGUUCCUAGUUCGAAGCAAACAAUGGCUACUAAAUAUCAUUUCUCCGGUUUCCCCCUUUUAUUAUCACUAUACGAUCAGAAUACGUGCUUUGUGUCAUAAUAGCACUGCUCGACCAAUCAAGCUAAACAAGCUUAGUUGUUCAAAUACGAAUCUGAUAUUAUUAAAACAGAUUCAUUUAAUUGGUCAGCUAAAUGUUCCUAAAUUAGUUUUGAAAAUGCAUGUUCGCCGCUCGGGUGUGUAUCUCUACAGGGUGCCCACGGUGGACCAGCCCACCCUGGGAUUUUGGGUCGUCCCAGGCCCCGAUUCCCCUCUGUUCUGCUGCGCGCUUCCGAUCUCUACUCGCCCCCAACUGCCUGCCUCGCCGGAGACUUGCCGUCCCCGGACGGCAUGACUCUAGGAGGAGACGCCGGACUAACAGGAGGUCAGGAGCCGCUCGCCCAACAGCGUCACCGCUGCCCGGGCGCGCCGCCGUGCCUACCUUCCCAGUCCGUUCAGGGCUCAGGCGUGCAGCACCCACUAAGCCAACCCGAUUUAUCCUGACAUAAGUCCUCAACACUUAGCAGCCACUCCUCAUCACAUAUUUUCUAAUUGAUUCAUUACUCAUUAGGCAGGACUGUCAUUAGGGUUUGUUGUGUGCUCAGUGCUACCUACACUUAAUGGUUCAGAUGUAUUUCGGUAAUCUUUAGUACCUGUAAAGUUCAUAGGGUUUUCAAAAUUCCGGCCCUAGGAACAGACACUAGUCAUUUUGGAUUGUUGGUCGUAGUGACAUUGACCCAGAUUACUACUGCAAGCCAGGUUUGUUGAAAAUUUUACUUGUCUUUCUUACUCAUUCGAUAUAAUAUCCAAUUAUUCACGUCGAUUAGUUGCAAACAAUAAGUGCUAGACAAACUUCUUGAUUCAGAUUUUGGACGGUCUCUUACUGCAGUUACAAUUCUGCAUACUUGUCCUAGUGAGCUCACAAGUAAAUGAUUGAUUCACUACAUCUAUGCUUACCUUGUCAUAUUUGUUGUCAAUAUUCUUUUAUUGUGGACCACCCUGUUUCUAAAUACUGCAACCGUAGACAUGAGUGAAUAGUAUUUCUCUAUGUGAUUUCUUCCAUCAUGUGUGGGCAACGAACACUGCAUUGUAUAGAAAGAAAGUGUCAUUUCCAACUUUUACAUAGGCUUCGAUCUUUUACAUGGAAUACAAUCUGCCUACUUGCUUUGUGUCGCACUACCAACACUCCACCCUUGAAGCUAAACAUUAUGCCACUCAUAAUUCCUUAGUUUAUUUGUUCAAAUACGAAUUUCAUAUAAUUCUAAUGUUCCUACUUCAGUUUUGAAAUGUGUGUCUACCUGUUAUAGAGACAUAAGGGGUUUGUAUUUCUGUGUGUGGUCUAGUUAGCACGGUUGGGGUGAACUUUGCAUAUGCAGGGGUUUAUAGGGAGACACUCUUCGAGUUGAAUCCGCAAUGCAUUCCAUAGAUAAUCUGACUACUUUUUAUGUUUUCAUGAAUCUCAGAUUCUGAACAGCAUCAUAAUGAUUAUGAGCUUGCGCGCAUGAAAAGAAUAAAGCAGAACAAUGCUAUGGCUGUCAAACUUGGCAUUAAGGGACUGAAAUCAAGUCUGGAUGCAAUGCAAUGCAAACACUCUCCACCUACAGAUUCAUGCUCAGAAUAUGAUCCUAACAGUGAUUCUGAGCUAGAGGGAGACCUAAGUCAAUGUAGCUCCCUAGUGGAGGAGUCAGAGGAAGAUGCCCUAUCUUAUUCACCCAUCAAGGUGCUUGCUCUAACUUUCCAAGGUUAUAUUUGCCGCACAUAUCUUGCAACUGAUGCUUUGCAUUGCUUCUACUUUGUUGAACUGCCAUUAGCUUAGUUUACACAUCGUGUAUGUGAAUACGGCCUGCCUAUCCAUUUUCAGUACAUAUUCCAUCUGUCAUCAUACCAUAUUUAUCCAUUCAAAUGUUGUUCUUGUGUAUCAGACGUUCAAAAGGAAGAGGGCGAUUGCUGAUCGUGGAGGAGCACAAGCAAAGUAUUUGGAAAAGGUAGUGGCACCUGAUAAAUCAAAUAGCCGAUUAGGUGUAGUUGCAAUAUCACCUGACCCACAAAACACCCCAACUCUAGUAGACUCUAGCCCUACUACACUGGUCAUUUCUGAUGCCCCAACUAAGCAGACCCCAACUGCAGCAAACAUUAUGAUUAUGCCAGUUGACAUAGCACCAGCUCUACGACGCAAAACCCCCAUUCCAGCAAAGAGUACACCAAAUCCAGUUGCCAAAUCCCUUUUCAAACCAGAGAGAGCUCCAAUUGCAGCAAAUAGGACCCCUGUUCCAUUUCUUCCCAGUUUAGAAGACAAAGCUUAUAUUGUUGUCAGGAACUUUGUGCGCAUCUUUCCUUCAUGGAAAGAUUAUACCGCAGACACAGAACAAUUUCCAGUCUUCCUCCGCAACUUACGCGUAAGUAAUGUACUAAUGUUAUUCAUGGUCAUUACUGCAUAUGUUUCUGCUGACAGAAGACACAAGAUUUCAUUCUUUUAAAUAGGCGAGGACCAAACUGGAUUGUGAAGACGAGCAAGGGUUGGUUGCGCUUUUCAAGCACUCGCUGAUGAAGUAUCGUUCCUACCUGAGGAAAGCGCACUUCGAUGGCAAGCCUCUAAACGAAAUUUCUGUAAAGUCUUCGGUGCUACAUUUAUCCGACGGUGACUGGAAUAAUCUUGUUACACAUUGGCCUCGGCUGCAGCGUAAGGUACUAUCUAUGAUAUCACAUCACAAUUUGAACUACAUUUCUGCAUUUGCCUUAACGUCUCACUUGUACGAAAACUAUUAGCAGAAGAACAUUCGUUCUCAAGGGACCACAGAAUCUCGCAACUAUACUGCACACUGCAUUGCUCUUGUGAGUACCUCUUGCCCUGUAUGACCAUACUUACUUUCAUAGUUGUUUGAUUAUGUAGCAUCACUGCACAUGUUAGCCUCGUUAGCGUCCAUUUGGUGGACAUUAUAAGAUCCGUAUGGACUCUUACAUAAAUUUAGAAUCAACCCAAUGCUUUUGAAGAGGUUUAGCUCUGCAGUCCUCUUGUAAGGACUGAACGUCGUCUAUCAUUGUACUUACAUUAACAGCUACUCCCUCCGUCCCAUAAUAUAAGAACAUUUUGUACAGUACACCAGUGUUCAAAACACUCUUGUAUUAUGGGAAGAGGGAUUGGUUCAUUGUGUAGCAUUCUGCAUCUUAUCUCCCCCGCCCACCAUUUACUAAAAAAGAUCAGAUCUAUAUUUAAUGUUACUAAAAAGUAGAAUACACAGACAAUGCCAGUGCAGAAGUGUAGCCCAUUGCUCUUGUCAGUACAUUUUGUCCUGUAAUGCUUGUACUUCCAGGGAUUGUUAGUUGAUUAUGUAGCAUCAAUCUGCAUCUUAUCUUCAUUAUCCUCUAUCCCUUCCAGUAUUAUCAUAUCUAUAAUUACUCUCUACAAAAUGUAGAGUACAGGCAAUGCUUAUGAACAAGAUUAUGUGCUGAAAUUCUUGAGUUAUCCUUCCCUUGACAUGGAGAAGGGCAUUAUAAAGCCGGUGUUAACUGUUAAUGUAAGUCAGUCCUUCUAAAGCCUUUAUCCUCAACUGCUAUUUAAUUUGCUCAUACUCCCUAUCAUUUACUGCUGUUUAGUUUGCUGUUUCUACCAAAAUGCAUGUUCGCAAGAACCGUAAGUUCUAAGUUUUACUUGUAAAACCAAAUUCCUUAUUCAUACCAUGCACAUUACUCAAUACUCCCUAUAUGUAUGCUUGUUUUUGUGGAUCUAUAAUCCAGUGUGUGGUGAAGCAGCCCACGUUUGCACCUUGUCAUCUCCUGUUUUAUCUUACUGAUGUGGCUGAUGAUAUGAACAACAUGCCAUGCACAUUAACCAAAAUAGAUACAAUGAUUUUCUUUGCCCUUCAUCUAUGCUUGUUGUGUUGACAUGGUAAUCCAGUAGUGUGGUGAAGCUCCCCGCAUUAUGAACAAUGCCAAAUUAUGCUAUUGAUAUUUUGAACUUACUCUUUAUUUUCUAAUUUGAAAUUGGAUGGAAUUGACAGCACAGUUAUCAUCUUUGUUUAUACACAUGCAAAACCUAUCAUCUCUCUGCUUUGUUUCAGGGUGAUAUGCGUGAUGGCAUGCACAAGUCUGCUGAAGGCUGUGCGACAAACCCAACAUAUAUUGCAGCAAAGAAGGCAAAACAUCUUGAAGAUAGCGAGACAACCCCAAAGUCUUGUCUUGAUGCAGUGUUCAAGUUACUUGAGACUAGCAGUCAGACAAGCUCACAGAAUUCGUUGUCUGAAUCAGUUCGACUUCUUCAGUCCCAAGUUCUAGCAGAAAGGCAUUCUACAACUCAACUUCGACUUGAAGUCCUGUCUCUAAGAAAGAUUGCGGAGAACACCAAUGAGAACCUCAUCGCUAAAUAGCUACACCUGGAAGCUAUGACCGACAUGCUAGGCCGGUCUCACAGCCUUGCUCAGCAGCUUGUGCAGCAGUUCCCGCGCAAGGGUAACCUUUCUUGAACUGUCUUGGAAGUGGUCUCGGUUCAGUAUUAUUUUGUUACGCUGCAAUGGUGCCCAAUUUUUGUAAUCUGCUUCUUCAUUGCGCUUUAUGGUCACUGGUGGCGAACUUCGAUGCCCAGUGGAUGUAAUAUACCAUAAAUCCUUUAUUGUAUAGUGUAGGUUUAUUCUUAGUUACUAUGCCGUAAUUUCUUUAUUGUAUAGAGUAGGUUUGUUCUUAAUUCCUACUAGUUACUGCCAUCAUUCGCUAUUUGAAAAAAAAUCAGAUGUAGUCGACCGGGCCGAAACAUUCGCCUCUAAUGGGCCUGGUGUUUAGCGGGCCCCAAUUGGGUCGGCCUGCAUCUUUCUUGGGCCCGAAUGAUUGGGGCCUUCACACUUUGCGCGAGGCCCACAACUUACACCGGCCUAUAUUUUACUUGGGCCUUUUGUGGACCCAGCGCUUAGUUUGGCCCAAGUAGCGUUGGGCCAUUAACAGGCUGAAUAUUGUACUGGCCUGUUACGGCCCAGAUGAAACCAUGGGCCUUUAGCAGGCCGAAAUGCAUAUUGGGCCUCAAUUUUCACUAGUCGUCGACGGGCCUUCAGCAGGCUGAAAUGUAGACCGGGCCUUUUUGGGCCCAGUUAUAUCACGGGCAGUUAUCAGGCCGAAACAUAUCUCGGGCCUUAGUUGGCCCACUGAUAUCAUGGGCCUUUAAGAGGCCGAAAGCUUAGUACAGACAUCAACGAGCCGAAUUAUGCGACAAGCCUUUAACAGGCCCAAAGUCACGUUGGGCUUAACUGUUGCCACCUUUAUCACGGGCCGUUUGUGGGCCCGAUGUCUCGUCGGACCAUAUAUGGCCCAUGGGCAGCACGGGCCAUUCCCAGGCCGAAAGUCACACUAGGCUGAAAUGGGCCCAUGUCUACAUCAGGCCUCUAACAGGCUGAAAGUCACUGGGCUGUAAUUGGGCCCAAAUAUUCGGCGAACAAUUAACGGGCCAGAGCUGGCUUCGGGCCGUAAAUGGGCCCAAAUAUUCGGCGAACAAUUAACGGGCCAGAUCUGGCUUCGGGCCAUAAAUGGGCCUUUAUUAAGCAGGUCGUUAUUGGGCUGGCCCACUAGUACCUGAGUAAGUACUACGGGCCUUUGACUGGGCCGGCCUUUUUAACCUAUAUGUGCCUCUGUUGGGCCGUGCCACGUGUCGACGUAUCAUAGGCGCUUUGGGUCCAAUGAGUGGAUGACAUCUAUCCCAACGGUGAGCCAACACGUGUUUCCUCCAGCCAAUGAUGAUUUUACACAUGGAAAAUCCCCAUUGGUCGGGGCUGUUAACGGGUUAUCGGAUCCAAAACUGGACCCGAUAGCUUAACGGCGUUCCGUUACGGUGGAUGCCACGUGUCGGUCACCCUUGACGAAAGCACUUCUGUGACGCGCGAUUUAUCGUCAUGGAAGUGGACACUUCCGUGAUGAUAAUUUUGGUAAUGUCAUGGAACACUUCUACGACAGCACAGAUAUGACUAUCUUGAUUCUGUCAUAAAUUUGUCAUGGAUGUACAUGCAUGACAGAAAACGUGACCUACUAUGACAAACACGUAUCAUCACGGAAGUGUUUUUUUUUGUAGUGCAUGCCGCCACAAAGGGGGUGAGGGGUUGGCGCUGAGGGUGGCCGCCACGGCCAGAGUGGCCAGCGGCGCAGGGCGAGCUUGGGCAGGAGCUAGGUGAGAAGUACGUUUAAAUUUUUUAUGAAUCAGAUAUAUAUUCAGACAUGUUUUAGUGUAUUUGUUCACUCAUUUCAGUUUGUAUAUUGUCCGUAUUAAAAUAUUAAAAACAUCUUAUAAUUGUGAAUGGAAGAGUACAAAGGUACGCAUCACAUUAAACUAGUUUAUGGCCAUGAGUAGGGUGUAUCAAUAACGGAGUCUUUUCUACCAUACAAAAAAGAGAGAAAGACUAAACGACAACACAGGCCUAUCCAUGGAUGCGAGUAUACUGUAGCACGACACAGUGAAAAAUCCCCAAAAAACUACUACCUCCGUAACUUUUUCGACAAAGAAAAUAUACUAAGGGUUUUUUAUUUCUUUGCCUCUGGAUCCUUAGCUCUACUCAUUCAUCCCCACUCUGUUAAUUUUUGCUCACUUUUCCCCACUCCCUUGCCCGAAACCCUCAGAACAGGUUAUAACGGACGUUGCCGUCGGGUCAAUGCCUUUGACCGUUAGCUAAUGAGUGGGGCCACGUAUACGUGGGCGCAUGCAAGACCGCGGUCGUGGGGUAGCACGUGUCCAUGGACAUGCCUGAAACGUCCCAUCAUAUAAAGAGGGGCAACCACCUCCAUCGCCCCUACCAUUUUCCCCCAAAUCCCCUCCCUGCCGCAUCAUCUUCCUCUCCCCCACCGGCAUCGUCUCGCUCUCCUCAACUGCCUCACCGCACCAUCUCGCUCUCCCCCACCGCAUCCUCUUCCUCACCUUCAUCGCCUCCAUUUGUCAGAUGGCCGACGCUCGUGGCGACGCCGGCGCAGCGGCCGGAGAUGUGGUGGAGCUGCAGGGUCAGGGCGCGGUGACCGCGGAUGUCGGCGGCGUGCAUGGCGAUGCGGGGAAACUCGCAACUGCUGCGGAUGUGGCGGGCUCUGCCUCAUCGCUGCAGAAGUUGACGACGUCGAGUGGCACGGUCCAUCCCGAUACCCCCGAUGCGCCGCCUGCCGUGGAGGAGCAGGUAUUUGCACUUGCUUAGCUUGUAGAGUUAGUUGCUCCCUAGUUGCAUUGGUUAGAUUAUGAUUCAUACGGUAGUUCAGAUGGUUAGAGUAGUUGGUUUGACGGAUGGGCCAGGGUUUUUUGUAUGGGUUGAGGGGAUGGGGGUUUUUGGACUAGGGUUUGUUGGAUAAUUUCGUAGCAAAAAUGCUAGAUGUUGUGAACUAUGAUUUUAGGUGCUGCAAUGAUUGGGGUUUUUAGAUUUGGAUAAAUUCGUUGCAAAAAUGCUAGAUGUUGUGAACAGAUUGGGGUUUUUAAUGAUAUGAUGCUUAUUAGAUUUGUUUUUAGUGCUCAUAGAUUGGGGUUUUUAAUGCUACUUAGAUUUGUUGCCUUAGAUUGGGUCCCUAUUAGAUUUGUUUUUGAACGCUACUCAGAUUGGGGUUUUGAAUGUCAUAUGCCCAAAUGGAAUCCAUUGAUUAAGAAGUUAUUUGAUUCAUUAUUAUAUAAAUUUGUCCACAAUAUGUAGUUAUAUUAGCUCUGUUCUUCAAUGUGUGUGCAUGGCAAAUGAUUAAUGUAUUAUUUGAAUGUCAUAUUGGGGUUUUUUGAUCAAUGUGUGUACAAAUCUAAUACAUUGAUAUACUAGUGAUGGAUGUGGUUUUUGAAUGCAUAGAGCUAAGGGACAUAGAAAUAAUAAAAAACCCCACUUCUAAAACAUUUCUGAUGUUCGGAGUAUAUUAGCCCUAUGAUCAAUGUGUCAUGUGUGCAUAUCUAAAUUUUCAAUUGGCUACUAGUGAUGGAUGUAAUUGUAUAUUCAGGAGGAUGAUGGUUGGGGGGAGAAAGAGGAAGCUGGCCGACUAUGACCCGUACGAGGGGGCAUUUAGUGACGAUUCUGAAUAUGAGGUAAGCAUAUCCCUUGUUCAUUUAGUUCCUUUGACAUGGUGUAUAUGAAUCUAUGUAUUAAUGCAAUUCAUUCAUGUGUGCAGUAUGAUUCUGGAGAUGAUGUGUACAAGGGCAACGUCACGUCCUUCACAGCCAAGGAGGUGGAGAAGAUCAAGGCCAAGGGAGUUGCUUCCUUCUACAACCGCAAGUUCAAGAAGUGGCACUGCCCCUACUGCACCACCAAGCCAAAGCCAAGGGAUGGCUGCUCCGAUCACCUUCUGUCUCAUGCUGAGGAUGUAGCGAUUCGCGGGGAGGACUACAUGAUCAGGGGUCAGCAUGCCGCCCUCGCGAAGGCCCUGACUCCAGUGUGAUGUGAUCGAUGAUGUGAUGCUGUGAACUGAAUCUUUAAGUUUAUCUGUUGGGUUACUUUUGGUUUGUUGAACUGAAUCUCGUUGGUUAUGGUUUGUUGAACUGAAUCUCGUUGAUUAUGCUCGUAAUCUGGUUGCUAUCUAUAUUUGUCUGUCCUUAAAUUUGCCCGUGGUAUAUUUGUCUGUCCUGAAUCCAUGGUUAGUUAUGUUUAGAUGUAGUGAACUAUGAUUUUAGGUGAUGCAAUGAUCACACAUGUUGUGUAGGAAAUCAAAUGCAUGCUCCAAAUGAGAUCAUGUAAACCUUGGCAAACCUGGACAGUAUAAAUUCAAGAAAAUGCAAAAACAAGUAAAACCUUAGCAAACUAUCUAUGUUUGUGUAGAAGAUGAUGUGUGCAAAAUUUGAAGUGAUUUAGAGGAGGUCAAAUAAAUUUGAAUUUGAGAAAUGUGCUCCAAAUGGACUCCCGGGCUAGGGUAAACAACCCAUUUGUAAUCAAGUUAUUUUGGACCUACUCUAAAUGAGCCAAAUGCUUUUUUUAUUAACACAUAUUCACUUUCCAUAGUGUAGAUUCGAAGUCUCACUAUUUUCUGAAUUAAUCUUCAUAUUUUUUACAUUUUCUUUUGAAAACAUAUGCUUUCAUAUAAAAACUAUUAAAAACAAGUUUUGAAAUAUGAAAAUGGAAAACUAACUUCAGAUCCUUUUUAUUCACUUUAAAAUAAAGCUUUGGUGAUUUUUUUUUAAUUUUUCAAAAACAGAAGGUAACACUACCUCCUCUCCUUGAACUCUAUGAAAUCAUGUACAUGGUAGCUCAUAUGUGUGAAGGUUUUCUCAUGAAAAUGACCAUAGACCAAGUUUAUGAUUUUUGGUUGGUAACAUGUCACAUAAGACAACAUUGUGCACAUGUUUUAUAUUUUUUGAUUUUUUUUAAAUUAAUGGUGCUCAUUUGACCUCGAUCGUGCCAGCUAGGUUUUUUUUAUGAAAAUGACCAUAGACCAAGUUUAGUAUUUUUCCUUGUAAGUUUGUCGUAUAAAACGACGAACGGCGAAGGUUUCAUAUUUUUUCGAUUUUUUAAAAUUAGUUAUGCUCAGUCAAAGCCUUCGAAACCCCGUUGACCAACUCAAAACCCCUCUAAACCCCGUGGGUUUCGCCUAACCCUAGCUCCCGACGUCAGCCGUCCGAUCAUACCCUCGUGCCAAGCGACAGCCUCAGAUCUGGUCUUCUAGAAGGAAUUAGGUGGGCUGGCUGCGUGCAGGCUCCGCGCCCUUGGAUCACAAGGACAGCUCCGCAUCGUUGGAUCGUGGGGCGAUCUGCGAGAGGCGAUCCUAUUGGUUGUGCUCGGCUGCUCGCCCACCACUGACUCUGUGAAAAAAACAUUGUUAUUGGGCCCAAAAGGGAACCAAGCUCUGGUUGGGCCGUCGAAUUGCGUCGUUUUUUUGCAUCGUUUGCUCUGUUUUUUGUGAACGUGCUGGCUCUGUAUUUUUGCAUCGUUUGAAAUCAAUUGACAUUGCGUAGCAAAUGACCAAAUUUUUAAGGGCCAAAUUUAUUUUUAUCAUGCAAAAUGGCCACAAACUAUUCAAAAAUUGUCUCUUUUUGUUCAUAUAAUAUAUAUGACCACGGAUUCCCACGCGUGCAAUUAGCUUCUUUUUCUUCUUCUUUUUCAAACCACUGUUUCCCACGCGUGUACACUUCCGAUGUUGCGGUGGGUUUGAAAACGGGUUACUUCACAUUUGACCCCGUUAUUGCCACAGCCAAAUAACACGUAGCACUACAGCUAUUUAAACCAUCCUUUGCCUCUGCCAUCCCUCAUCCAUCUCCCAUCCUCUCUGCCAUCUGCCCUUCUUGCUCUUUGACCACUUCUCCUUCUUCUAGCACAUCCUCAGCCAUGCAGUACACCGGACCAACCUACCACUUCCCACCCACCGUGUCGGAGAGGCUCUACCCUCCUGGCGUGUACAUUGAGCGCACACUAUGUGUGUGGGCAAUAUCAAGGUGGAGGACCGCAAGGAAGUUCACCGAGUUCUUCCUCGCGUCCGGCUACCACCACCUCCCGCGGGGAUCUCCAAGGAUGUUCCGUGUCAAGGAGGUCAUCCAAAAUGGGGUGGUGGUUGCUCUCCUUGCCCACUUCACCAACACAUUCGAUGCCUUCUACCUCCUCGGCCGGGUGUUUUGGUGUGGCUGCGAGUUCAUCGCUUUCACCACCCACAACAUGUUCACGGAGUACACCAACAUCUUCCCCACCGCGUCCCGCAUGCACACUCUUCCGUACCCCAUCGACAACGCCCCAGAGGAGCAGUGAAGGGCGCCCGGAGGAGGAGCGAGGUGGAGAAGGCGGCGUCUAGGGUUCUAAACCCUCUAUCUAUUUUUCUUUUUUUGAGUCUAUGUUAUGUUAAGUUGUAAUUGAACUAUGUUGGAGAUGCUAUGGGCUUGUUGGCCCUUUUAUCAAGUUCUAUUAUUAAGUUUUCUAUCUAUUCUAUUAUGAAGUUCUUCCUAGUUUCAACUAUGUGAUUGUGCUAUGGGCUUGUUGGCCCUAUCUACAUGUUUGUUGAUUGUUUUUUUUAGAGAGCUCGCUUUGUUAGUAACCACCUAGUGCAUGCAGCCACAACGAACCCUUCUUUUUUACACAAGCCACAAAUAUGUAGCCACCUAGCUAGUGCAAGCAGCCACAACAUAUUUGUUCAAUUUAUUUGUCGUAGCAAAACGGGUGCAGAUGCGAGUGGAUCGAAAAGGCUGCAACUGAUCAUAAAAAGUGAUGCUCUAAAUCAAGGAGACAAGCGUGCGAGAAGAGAGGAACCAGCGGCAGCGACCGUCGCCGCGUCCAUGGCGGCUGGCGUGCACGAAAGCGGCUCGGUCAGUGCAUCCUGGCGGCACGCAUCAGCGCAUGCAGGCUCGAUCGGCGCAAGCAUGCUCGGUCAAUGCAUCGACGCAUGCAGGCAGGCUUGUUGGAUGCAUGCAUAGCAGGCUUCUGUCGUGGCGGCGCGCGCAGGCGUUUAAUGCAAGGGACGGCCCAACGAAACCACGGCCCAACGGUCGAACAACUACACCCCCAACGCGGCCCCACUCGUCAGAGUUAACGGUCAAAGCAUUGACCCGACGGCGACGUCCGUUGUGACCUCUUCUGAGGGUUUCGGGCAAGGGAGUGGGAAAAACUGAGCAAAAGUUAAGAGUGUCGGGAUGAAUGGGUAGAGCUAAGGAACCAGGGGCACAGAUGUAAAAAUCCCAUAUAUUAAUAUCACGAAGAUACCAAUUGCACCCGGCCUCUGUACCAACAAGAUGUCCAAAUACAUUAAGGAUACACACAGUCAGUAAAAGAAAAGAAAACAGAAGAAAGAAGAAAAAAAGGCCCUGCUACGCUAAACAAUCACUAGCAGCAGCACUCUAACCACCGCAAAAAAAAAGAUCCGAAAUACAAAAGAGGUUCUCCAAAAGCAACGCCUACAAGAAGAAAACAGUGUACAAGCAUUGACGUUGCCCGAUCGAAGAUCUUUGAUUUUCACCCUGAAGAAAGUCCGAGUUCACGCAAAACAAUGCCAUCAACAAGGCCAUUGCCAGGUACAAGCAAUAAAGGUCAGACCUUGGGUUUUCACCUUGGGGAUCAAGACUCGGUACUCGAGGAGCAUGACCAAAAAUGCAGUCCUCAGUGUUGACCGCAGUUACUAGCCACCAUACACCUAGAACAGAAUCUUCAUCACAUCCAAUACACCUUCCACGAGAGCUCAAGACAUCCAAACGCAGCCGCCAUGACUUUCCCCACCUUUGUCAAUGUCUUGGAAAUCUUGUCUUAGACAUGUCCCAUAAAACGGAUAAGAAAGCGAAGCUUCGCGUUGCUCCCUCUUAAGGCCAUGUUGGCGGAUAAUAUCAACGCGCGCGACCGGAGCCUUUCUGAUCUAGAUAUUCAGGGUUGUCAUACGUCAACAUUUAUAUCUUGGACAGGGAAGACCGGAACUCGUCGACGGCCAGAUCCAAGAGGUUAACAUCCGGGGAGAGAUGGCUUGGCGGAAGAAGAGUGUUAGGGCCAAGAUCUGCCAGAACCAGAUCGGGGCAAGCCACCACCAUGGACGGGAGCCCCACCUCGACCCAUCCCACAACAAGACGGGCCCUCGCCUGAGCACCAACCGGCCACCGAUGUCACAGGUCCAAGCACCUGGCACGUCACCACUGUUGGGAGGCAAGGCAGCCACCACCGGCUCCGGCGGUGGCAAAGGGGGUGGAGGCGAGGAGGUAGACUCUGGCGGCGCACGACAGGUCCCCCCCCCCCCUCGGCCUGCUCUCGGGAGCGGCUGGGCGAUAGUUACGGAUCGGACCACACAUAGAUAAGACCUAGUGUCAAAAUGUCUUAUAUUAAAUUACAAAGAAAGUACAAUACAACAGAGAGGAUAGAACAAGAGACCUCCCGUCGUGGAUGCGCGUUACUGAUUAAAAGGGAGUGCUAACCUUUAAUUAAGAACUAAGCACGUAUGUUUUUCAAAUUUGUAUUUUUUUCUAAAAAUAACUCAACUAUUUUUUGAAACUCUGAACAAAAUUUGGUAAAGCGAACAUUUAUUGAAUAUGUGAGUAUUUUUUCAAUAAUUUCUUAAAUUCAAAACAACAUUUGAAAAUGAGAGGAAUCUUUCAAAUUUAUGAAUAUAUUUAGAAAAUUUGAACACUUUUUAUGAAGUCACAAACUUGUUUAAAACCGUGAAGUGUUUUACAAAAAGAAAAAGGAAAGAAAAAAACAGAAAGAAAUGGAGAAAAGGGAAGAAAACCGAAAACAAUCAGAAAAGAAACAAACAGGAAAAGAUCGGUUAAAAAAUAGGACAAAUCUUUGUGAAUGUUCCCUUUUUUUAGUUAUCAUGAGCGUUCCUUUUUUUAGUGUCGUGGAUGUUCUUUUUUCAGAAUCACUUGUAAUUUUAUUUAUACUCAUAACAAUUACAGGUACACUGAAUUGAUUCUAAAAUUCAAGAAAAUACUAAGUAACUUCUAUAACUAAGAAUUACAAUGAAAUCUCUUGCAAAGACCUUCUUCAUGGUAUCGAACUCUGCUAGAAGAAAUACUCCAAAGACUUCGGUAAAGAGCCUGCAAUUAGACUGGAGCAACGAUAUUGUCUCUCUUUCACCCACACGAACAUUACAAAUAAUGAUUUUUGAAAGCGCCUUGAGUCGCCGAUCCAAAAUGAUGGGAAGGCUUGAUCAAUGAACGUACUUAAACCCCCUAGAAGUGCAGGUCGUCGGAUCACAAUAUCUUCAUCAUGAUUUAGAUGAAAGAUUUCAACUCCACAAAGAAUCAAACAAACAAAAAAAAGUUUGACACCCUAACAUAAACUCAUCAGAUCCGAAUAAUCGGCUCUGCAAGGACAGAAAACUCUCUAACCUCAUGGCGCCGGCAAAAGAAUGAGAGUAACUUUAUUCUCACAAAAAAAUGAUCACUAGACGAUGAGUAAGAAAAAAGAACUCUUGAAGAUGUGAGAUCCCCUACCUUUCAGCGCCAAGAUAAAAGCUGAAGACGAGGGGACCAAAAUUCUCCGUCGGCUGUGGCGAUUGCAGCCCUAAACGAAAUCCUAAACUUUCCCUUUUUUUUUUUUAAGGAUCCCCUAAACGCUCCUAAGCCAGAAGCCUCUGCUAGCGUUAAGUUGGCCGGCCCACUCUGCUGGCGCCUGUGCGAAACGCCAAUGUUAGACGGAGAUUCUACAAAAAAAUUACAUUAGAGGAAAAAUUCCUACGCAAAUGCAAUGUAUCCCUCGUACUUCAGUUUUAUUUUUAUUUUAUUUUGAGAAUUACUUCAAUUUUAAUAAGACUUGCCUACAGAUAAUACAGUACCGGGCGGCCCAUUUCUCCACAUUCGAGCGUUNNNNNNNNNNNNNNNNNNNNNNNNNNNNNNNNNNNNNNNNNNNNNNNNNNNNNNNNNNNNNNNNNNNNNNNNNNNNNNNNNNNNNNNNNNNNNNNNNNNNNNNNNNNNNNNNNNNNNNNNNNNNNNNNNNNNNNNNNNNNNNNNNNNNNNNNNNNNNNNNNNNNNNNNNNNNNNNNNNNNNNNNNNNNNNNNNNNNNNNNNNNNNNNNNNNNNNNNNNNNNNNNNNNNNNNNNNNNNNNNNNNNNNNNNNNNNNNNNNNNNNNNNNNNNNNNNNNNNNNNNNNNNNNNNNNNNNNNNNNNNNNNNNNNNNNNNNNNNNNNNNNNNNNNNNNNNNNNNNNNNNNNNNNNNNNNNNNNNNNNNNNNNNNNNNNNNNNNNNNNNNNNNNNNNNNNNNNNNNUCUUUUUUCUAUUUCCCUUUUGGUUUCCUAUGUUUCAUUCAUCAGAUUUCAUAUAUUUUCUUUAUUUUUUUUCGUUUUUCUGUUUUCAAAUACAGGUCUACAUUUUUCAUAUGCACUAUGCAUUUUGUAUACAUUAGAAACAUCUUUUUACACACAUUCAACAUUUUCCAAAUAUAUGAUUAGAAUUUUUUCUAAUAUAUUUUUUCAUGUCUAAUCUUUUUAUACAUGUUGCAUAUUUUUCGUAUAAUUAUAAAUAUGUUUCAUAAAUGUUUCCAAUUUUAUAAACACAUCAUUAACAAUUCAUACAAAAACCUGUUUUGUAAAGUUUUUUGAAUAACAUGUUAAAAUUAUUUUAAAUACACGCCAAAACAUUUUUUCCUAAUGCUAAAAACAUUUUUUCAGAACUCUGUAAACUUUUUUACGUUGUACAAACAUUUUGUGAACAUGUCCCGAAAUCAUUUUUGAAACUUGUGUACAUGUUUUUAAUGCAUGAAUCAUAUUUUUUUUGAAUUACAGGAACAUAUGUCUUACAGUGCAUAAACAUUUUUUUUCAUAUGCAUGAUUAGCAUUUUCGUUUUUUAGAUCACAAUGUAUAUUUUUUGUAUACUGCAAAAAUAUUUUUGUACACUUUAGUCAUUUUCAACUGCAAGAUUAACCUCAUCAAUUUAUAUAAAGUAUUUUUUUAUGUAUAUACAUAUAUGUAUAUAUUAUUUUGAAAUAUAAACGAAAGAAAAAAUGUGAUCAAAAAAGGGGGAAACGGAAGAAAAAACAGACGAGCCGUGGCUACUAGGUCGGCUGAAUACCUGCUCCCUACACGCGAGCCCUAGUAGGACUUGCAGCGGCCGGAACAUAGCUGCGCCCCAAUUCCUAGCACUGGUUCAUUUGUUAAUCUCUAUUUUUAAUGGAGUAGUUGGUAGUCUCGCUAUUACCUUCCAUGGUUUUAUUAGUACCUUCUCUCACCUUCGCUGUUUUUUUUGUAGAUUUUUUUCGUCCCCUCCCCCACUUCAUCGGUUUAUUUUCGCGUCAUCCUCUCACACAACGAAAGAAAUCUGAACAGAUCAUAAUUUUUCAUACUGGCGCAAGUUAUUUAGUAAUGUAGAAUCAAUCACGAACAAUCUCUAAAGAUCAAAUCUAAAUUAAUUAACCUUACCUUAAAUCACUCAAUCACAUUAAUUAGAAAACAAGUAAUUGAUUUUCAGAAAAAUCGCUCAAUCACAUUAACCUUACCUUAACUCACGGAUGGUAAUCAAUCUCCAAACAAAGGAAACAAUACAUCGAGAGAGCAGUAAAUAAACUCCCUUUCUUAUGACAGGUAUAUGAUUUUCCCUUCCCUCUCCGUUGUCGAGCGUUCUUGAUUCUCGAGGCUGAUGCUUGGGCUGCUUCACUGGUUCGCGACAGUGCCGGAGGACGAGGACAGCAAGGCCGGGUGCCGCGGCACCGCGUUGGCCGCGACCAGUGAAGGGGCGAAGAAGGGCGGCUUCCCUGGCCCUAGCCGUGGCCGUGGCCCUGGGAGUUGGCGCGGUGGAAGCGGCACUUGAAGGACUCGGCGUGGGUGGCCGGCGCACAUACGCACUUGGAAGCGGGCCCGUGGCCCGCGCCGGAUAGCGCCGACGCCGACCCGGGCCACCUCCUCCACGUAUUCUUGGAGCUGUGGCUGGCCGAUUUACAUGAAAUUAAUUCCCUCAGUUGUGUUGGCAAAUAUAAUACACAUAAUCCAUAUUGUUAUGCACUAGCGUGUGUGUGUGAAAUAGAUGGAUUAAGGUCCCGUACCCAAUAAGAUGGAUAUGUGUGUGUGUUAGAGAAAGAGGGGGAGAGGGGGAGAGAGAGUGAGGAAGAGGGAGGGAGGGAGUGUGUUUGUGAGGAUUUGAUUGUAAAAAAGGUCGCCAAUGUCGUAAUAUUGAACUCAUAAGUUAAUGUGGUCCCGUUGCAACGCAUGGGCGUUCUUCUAGUGGUAGAUGGUGCUCACAUCGCUCAUAGUAUACUACCUUAUGAGUAGGCCCAUGUGGGUUUUUCUCCCAUCAGUUUUGGGAACAUUCUAGAAGGUUACCAUCGGUUUUUCACUGGUUUUAUCAGGAUGGGUUUAGGUCUUUUUUUGUUUUUCCUUUUCUUUUUAUUUUUUCAUUUCUAUGUUUUCCAUUUUCCUUUCUCUUACCUAUUUUUCUUCAAAUGCGUGAAUUUUAAAAUUGGAAUUGUUUUCUCAAAAUUUUGAAAUAAAAUCAGAGUUUUGAAAUUCCUCCAAAUUUUUAUACUUCCUCUCAAAUUUGUAAAUUUUGUGAACUUUAAAAAGUUCAUAGACUUUUUUAAAAUUUUGUGAACUUUCUCCAAAUUCAUAAACUUUUUUUCAAAUUUUUUAACUUUUUACCGAAGAAAUUAGCUUUCCUCAAAAUUUUGAAUAUUUUCAAAUUUUAUAAAGAUCUUUCUAAUUCCAUAUUUGUAAAUAAAUAUAUGAAUUGUGCACAUUUUUCAAAUUGAAAACAAAUCAUAUUCAUAAAUUAGUAACACUUUCUAUCAAAUUUACGUUGUAUUUUUCAUAUUCAUGAUUUUUAAAAUGUCAACCGGCCAACGGUCAAUCGUUGAAUGAUCGAGCGAGGGGGAAAUAGCUGAGCGAGGGAGAGGUCAGCUUUUCCUGGGCCGGCCCAGGCGAGAGAGGCCAGUGAGCGGCAGAUAUCUAUCCCGCGCCGUCAGCGCUGACUAGGACCUCUUCACUACUAGUGCAUAAGCAAUAGACCGGAAGUGGUACUUUUAUAUAGCGGCCAUGCGCGAGCGGGGCUUUUUGGCUCUCGGCUCUAUGGAGCAUGAAAUUUUCAAAAAAAAAAACCUUUUUUUAUGUUUCAGAAAAUAGCCGGAAAUAAAUACACAAGUACUUGUAGAUGUGUACUAAAUGUUUGUAAAAAAUCCUUCCGAAAUAAGUUUUGAUAUGAGUUCUACAAAAUAACAAAAUCAUGUAAUUCUAUAGUGAAUGGUGCAUGCACUAGAAAUACAUGAUUUCUUUUUUAGCUCGCAAGCAAAUGUAUUCGCUAUGAAACUUUACAGACAAGUAGUAUACAUCCAUAGGUAUGUGUGUAUUUUUCAUAAUUAUUCGAAAUCUAAUAAUUUGAUUUUUUGAAAAUUUCAGAUGUUGGGUUCCAUGGUGCUUCUUAUUUAGCUAUUCUAAAAUAGGGGAAAAUGUUGGAGAUUGUUGUUUUCUUUUUCUUUGGAGUCAACUUAUAACGAUUGUUAAAUAUAGAUCAAAUACAAUACCAAAUUAGGACCUAUUUUAUGGUAUGUUAAAUGCAUGCUAAUCUGGUAGCAAUUGAUUUUGUAUCAAUAUAUGUAUUAUAUGCGCUAUGAAGUGCACCACUUCGUCCGGUAUGCCGCAUAUGUGUAUCAUGAACAAUGCACACAAUCACGUAAUUGCCUACCAGAGCGGACAGUCAAACACCAAUGUGCUAUGAAGUGCAUCACUUCGUCCGGUAUGCCGCAUAUGUGUACUGCAACUAUUUUGCUUCCUCCUGUCCAAUUUUUUCUUUCCUAUGGUACCUUUUUAUUGUGGUGUAAUAUGACAGGUUGACAACUCAAUAAAAAAUCAUCGGUCCACCAUUAUUUUCUCAAAGUGGUAAAUGCUUAUGGUGGGGUCAAAAUUUGUUGGGGCUUCUUAUGGUGCGGUCAGGAGGAAGGUAAUGGUGGCCGGUGUUCUGUGUCCUGGGAGGACAUGUGCACGCCACGGGUGGGCGGGUGGCCUCGGCAUACCGAACCUCAACUAGUUGAAUGUGGCAUUGCAGGCGAGAAGGCCUUGGUUGAAGCGGGCAGAUCCCUCUAGGCCAUGGCCGGAGUUUGAGAUCACUGUACCAAAAGCAUCAAUGCAACUUUUCAAGGCUGCUACGUGGACCACGACUGGAAACGGAAACACCGCACUCUUUUCUGAGGAUAGAUGGAUGGAGGGCCACCGUCUGGAGGAGAUGGCCCCGGCCUUGUAUGCCCGAGUCAAGAAAUCGAUAAGGGAAACACACACAUGGUGCGACAAGGUUUGAUAGAUGGAGCUUGGGCUCUCGACAUUGGACCAGAGGUCACCAAUCAAAUGUUGGACGAAUACUUGAGACUUUGGGUUCAGCUUGCCGAGGUCGAACUUGACCCAGAUGAGGUGGACUCCUAUCGAUGGGCUUGGGACAAGAGUGGAUGGUUCACCACACGAUCAGCAUACGUGGCGCAGUUCUGGGCCAGAGAGAUGGCACCGGCCGCCGAGUUCACAUGGCAAUCCAAAGCUCCCCUAAGAUGCAGGUUCUUCACUUGGCUGGCCCUCCGGAACAGGUGUUGGACCUCGGAAAGACUUGCGAGAAUGGGCUUGGAUAACUACGGGAAAUGCCCUUUCUAUGACUAAGAGGAUGAGACGAUUGAUCACAUUCUACUAUAGUGUGUCUUUGCGUGUGAGGUGUGGACUCGUGUGUGCCUCACUUUGGACAAGCAAUCUUGGAUACCCACUAGUGGAUCAACACUAAGGGAAUGGUGCAUCGAUAAGGACGGGACAAACCUAGGUAAGAAGGUCACUCGAGUGGUUGUGGUUCUUGUAUUGUGGGAGCUAUGGAAACACCGAAACGGAAUUGUCUUUGACGGUGCUACCCCCUCGACCCGAUAUGUAAUUAAUCGUUUAGAGGUUGAAGGGAGAGUGUGGAAGGAUGCGGGCCUCCUUAAGGGAAAUGUGGACGCCUUUCUAGGGAGAUUAUCGUUGGGCAUGAGGGGGAGUAGUUAGCAUUGUGGCUUAGCGGUGGAGCUGGGGUUGUGUUCUUGUUAUGUAACCGCCAAUGUGGAGGGGUUCUUCACCCCACUUCUUCUUCAAUAUAUAGUAUGCACACUUGUGCGUAUUCGAGAAAACAGAAGUGGUAAAUUCUAUGUGGUGAUGAUGGAAAGGAAAUCCCAUCCCAUGAAAGUUUGUCCCUAGUCUCACCAAUACAUAUCCUAGCAAGUGACAUGUUUGACCAAUCUCUAAGCAUCCUUUCUUCUGCAAUCCAUUCCCUUUGUAGGUCCCCGAUUGUCCAUCUCCUACGUCUCUCAAUGCAUUGGAGGUGUCCGGGUAUUCCUUGUAUACUUUGUCAUUUCAAUGUAUUACGAAGAGAUCGAGAAUACAGAAAUAGAAGGAAAGUCUUGUCCCCAGCCUCUCUCAACCCUAACUGUUGCCGCCAAGUUUCUCCUUGAUGCUGCCACACCGGUCCCCCUCCUCUUCCCCAUCUGAUGGUUUCAUCGGCGACAAGAGGAGCGGGAACCCAUCCGUCCGUUCCUUUUUUAUAGGUUUUGUUUCCCCAACAACAUUGAGUUUCCUUCUCUUUCUUUAUUCAAAUUGUUUGACAAGAACGUAUAUAAUCUAAGAGAUCAAGAAUAGAGAUGGAAAAUUCAUUCAAAUUGCUUCAAGAAAAGCAAAGGUAUUCAUUUGGUUGUCAAAAUAAUGUUCUUUUGGUUUACAAGGAAUGAUAUUCAUAGUGUUCGACAUGAACGUAUAUAAUCCAAGAGCAGGAGGUAUCAAAACCAAAAUUGUUACAACUUUUCCUCAUAAAUGUUACAGUAUAUUACCUUUGUUGUUGAUAGUUUUUAUAUAGCUAUAAUCGCUCAGGCCGAGCGAUCUAUUACCUUUGUUUUUGUUCAGAGAAGGAGGUGUGACCCUCCGGCGACUGCGUGGAGCAAUGAAUAUUGUCAUAAAAUUAUUAUUGUUGGACCUUACAAGUAUUUUUAUUUUCUUUGUCCCAUCAUGUGCCUUUUAGAUAAGCUUGAGAAGUGAAUUUCACAAUAUGAGUGAAUUAUGUGCAUCACAAUGCGCAAUUUCUAUUGUCUUUUAUUCUUAAAUAGUUACAACCUACUAUCUAUUUUUUUCUAAUCAUGCAACCAUGUCACAUAAAUAUGUGAUAAAUGCAAGCCAUAAAUUACAUUUAUUUUUGCAUUACUCUAUGCAUGCAAAUGUUGCCACAUCUUCAUGCAAAUUAGUCAUCAGUUAUUCUUUAUAUUAGAGUUCAUUCAUAUUUUGCUAGAAAUGACAAUUUUCUCUCUUUUUAUGCACUUCUCAUUUUUUUUUAUCUUUUAAGCUUACAUUUGCAUUCUAUUAGUUUUUAGAUGUUUUCAUAGCAACUAUUUAUACAUUUUUAGCAAGGUUUCCGCAGCAGCGCGUGGGGCAUCAUCUAGUUUAUCUAAUUCCGCUCACAUACCUCGAGUGAUCUAACAAAUUCUUUGGCCAAGUUAAUAUGAAAAGGCAAAAUGCAGGUAUAUUUUUCUGUCCUUUUGCAUAUAAAAAAAGCAAAAUACUUUGAUUUAUAAAUCAAUACAUUCUGCAGUGACAACUAAUGUUGUGACUCAACGCUGGCUGCCCCUAAGGCCCUGAUUACAACUUGUCUAAAACGAGACCUUAUUUCACCACUAACCACAGGAAAACGAACGCGUGCUUUUUUUUUUUUGAAAAACAAAUGGACUUCAUUCAACGGAAAUAAUAGAUACAUCGUUUGUGAGGAAAGGUACAAUCUCAAACAUAGGCUCCUCAAACCAAUCAAUGAUAGAAGAAAAUUUAGCCAACCUAGCAAGCUCGUGCGCAACCUUAUUGGCUUCCCUAUUACAAUGUUCAAACCUAGAGGUAGGAAAAUCACACGCCAAAAAAUAGCAAUCAUCAAAGAUUGCCGCCGCCGCUCCUGCUGACCGUCCACCGUUAUUCAUCGUUUCAAUAACCUCCAAAUUAUCAGAAUUAAUAACUAGGCGAUUGCAACCCGCACGUUGCGCUAGUGAAAGACCGAAUCUGAGAGCCCAAGCUUCCGCUGUUAGAGCAUCGAUGCAAUGAUCAAUUUUCCAAGUACCCCCUGCAAUAAACUUCCCUUUGUCGUUCCUCAGGACAGCCCCCGCCGUACCUUUAAGAAGAUCAUGAUCAAAAGAAGCGUCAACAUUAAGUUUCACAAAACCCACCGGGGGACGAAUCCAACCCCCUCUUUUCAUAGAAGCCCUUGGACUGGAAGCAACAACAUAAUUAGUCGUAAGAGCUUGUAUCCCCAUUGAAAUCUGUUUUGCAUCUUGAAUUCUCUCCUUGUGCACUAAUUUACGUCUUUCCCACCAUAAAUACCAAGACGUAAUGGCAAUCAUCUCCCGAGUAUUCUGGAACCCCAUAAUAGAUAAAUCUUGGUCAGGCAUGAGCAACAAAAACUCAAGGACCGCCUCUCCAGCACGAUCAACUUCACAAGCUUGAGCAAUGAUCUCGUCUAAUCCAAGCCUUCUCCAGACCUCUUUUGCCUUCUGGCACUGAAACAACAUAUGCUUUGUGUCUUCUAAACCAGCAGCACAACAAGGGCAUAAAGGUGAAACUUUCAUGUGUCUAUUAGCAAGCGUAACACGACAUGGAAGAGUACCAUGCAGCGUCCGCCAAAUAAAAUUUUUCACCUUCGCUGGACAAGAUAACUUCCAAAUCUUACACCAAAUUGGAUUAAAGUUUGUUCGACCCAUUCCAUUAGUACGACGAAGUUUCCUUCCAUGUUGAUAAUCCCACUCAACAAAAUAUGCAGAUCGAACAGAAAAAAUCCCACUCUUUGUAUGACUCCAGGCAACAAAAUCUAACAUAUCAAACUGAGGCAGAGGGAUAGCAAGGACCCGCUGUAAAUCAACAGGCCACAAGGUCUGUCUGAUGAGAUCCUCAUCCCACCUAUUCGAAGAGGGGUCAAUGAGAUCAGACACUUUUGAUAACAAAAGUUGUCCCUUUGGAGUGAUGACUUUCCUGUUAGCACAGUUAGGGAUCCAAGCAUCUUCCCAAAUGUCAAUUUUCUGACCAUUUCCAACACGCCAAAUAUAGCCAUGUUUUAAGGUAUUAACCCCCGCCAUAAUACUUUGCCAUGUGAAGGAUGAUCCCUUUUUAAACUUUGCGUUCAAUAAAUCUCCAUCAGGAAAAUACUUAGCUCGCAAAAUGGUGGCACACAAGGAAUCUGGGUUCUCAAGGAGACGCCAAGCUUGUUUAGCCAACAUCGCCAAAUUAAAACAAUGAAUGUCACGAAAACCCAUUCCACCUUGGCUUUUUGGGACACACAUUUUCCACCACGCCAUCCAAUGCAUCCUUCUCUAGUUGUCGUCAUCACCCCACCAAAAAUGCGACAUCUCGUCAGUUAUUCCUUUACAAUUUUUUUUAGAAAUUUUAAAGACCGACAUAGCAUAAGUUGGGAUAGCUUGAACAACAGACUUGAGAAGAACUUCCUUGCCUCCAGUGGAUAAGAGUUUUUCUUUCCAUCCGCUAAUUCUCAUAACAAUGCGAUCAAUCAGAUAUUGGAAACAAUCAGUCAUCUAACCCCACAUGCGCAGGCAGGCCCAGAUACUUAUCAUUGAGAGCUUCGAUCAUGAUAUUUAAAAUUGAGCAAAUUUGUUCUCUAAUGUCCCCACUCGUAUUUGGGCUAAAAAAUAUGCUAGAUUUUUCAACGCUCACCAUUUGUGCAGACGCAGCACAAUAUAAGUCCAAAAUUGAUUUUAGUGUCUCCGCAUUUUGUUGAUUAGCUUUCAUGAGGAUUAAUGAGUCAUCCGCAAAAAGGAGAUUUGUGAUAGUAGGGGCCUCUCUACAAACCUUGACUCCUGAAAUAUUCCCAAUCUCCUCCGCAUGCGCCAAGAGGGCAGUAAGGCCCUCCGUGCAUAAUAAGAAAAGGUAGGGAGAUAAUGGAUCACCUUGUCUUAAGCCCCUAGUAGGCUUGAAACUUUCAGUUUCUUCAUCAUUAAUCCGAAUCCUAUACUCAACAGUAGAGACACAUUUCAUAAUAAGAUUUACCCAUCUCUCCUGGAAACCGAGUUUCAGCAUAAUUCCCUUCAAAAAAGGCCAUUCGACUCGAUCGUAAGCUUUGUGCAUAUCAAGCUUGAUAGCGCAUAAACCCUCUUUUCCCACCCUCUUAUUUUUAAUAGUAUGAAAGCUCUCAUAAGCCACUAAAACAUUGUCUGUAAUCAAUCUACCAGGCACAAAAGCACUUUGGGUUGGGCUGAUAAUAUCAGGUAGUAAAACCUUCAAACGCGCCGACAACAUUUUGGAGAUAAUUUUGUAUACCACAUUGCAAAGACUGAUAGGUCUAAACUGGGUUACCUUCUCGGGUGAGUUGACCUUGGGAAUCAACACAAUCGCAGUAUCAUUCCAACCCGGUGGAAUUGUACAAGUAUUCACUGCUUUCAAGACCUCAUCCACCAAAUCAUCCCCUAGCAUGGGCCAAAAUCUUCUAUAAAAAAUAGCAUGAAGACCAUCUGGCCCCGGAGCCUUUAAAUCGCCAAUAUCAAAAAGAGCCUUACGAACAUCAUCAGCAGUAUAAGGGGCGAGCAGAGCACUAUUCAUCUCAGUAGUCACUCUACUCCGGACAAGAGACAAAACUUCCUGAUUUGGGUAUAAAACCUCCGAUGUAAAAAGAUUGGAGAAAUAACCCAUAAUAUGUUCCUUCAUAUAAUUUCCUUGUUUCCAAACCCCAGUAUCAUCCAGAAGUCUUCUAAUAUUUUCCUUUUUUUCCUGGCCGUUGCAGCGUUAUGAAAAAAAGAAGUAUUACGGUCCCCAUGUAGCAACCAGUUCGCUCGACCUCUCUGUAACCAAAAAAUUUCCUCUUGGUCCAAAAGAUUUUCAAUGAGUACUAGAAUUUCCUUUUGCCUUGAGCGGGACUCACCACUAAUAGGACCACGUUUCAGCCUCUCUAGUUCUUUUUUUAACUUAUUUAUUCUUCUCUGUGGUCCUUUCAAAGUAAUUCGGUCCCAAGAAUGUAAAUCAUCAUGCACCGCUCUAGUCCGUGCUGCGAGAGAGGGACCAAUACCCGCCAACUUUGCUUUUUCCCAAGCAGUCUUUACAAUCUCCUCAACAGUAUCUUCUUUCAGCCAUUUUGCUUCAAAUUGUCUCACACGACCAUUCCGACGAUUAAACAAGUUACUAUCAAAAUAAUAUGUGUCAAGAAUUAACGGACAAUGGUCUGAGUGUACAUGCUCCCCAUUAAUAAUCGCCGCACGCGGAAAUUUGUUUGCCCAUUCUAUAUUACAUACAGCUCGAUCAAGCCUUUCACGGAUGUCCCCCCUUCUCCAAGUGAAUGGAUCACCAACAGAGCCCAUAUCCUCCAGGUUACAAUCACUCAAACACUUACGGAAUUCCUGCAUCAUUUCAUUUGGUCUAGCAUUGCCACCUUCUUUUUCGCUAGAGUAGAUAAUUUCAUUAAAAUCUCCAAUGACUACCCAAGGAUAAUCAGCAAGGGAAUGCAGUUGGCGAAGAUCUGCCCAAGAUAAAUAUUUUUCAUUCCAUGCCGGAUAACCAUAGAAACUCGUAAAGCGCCAAUUUACAGAAUUAUCAUUCAUAAAUACAACAUCAAUAAAAUGGGAAGACAAAUAGUUCAACUCGACUUUAUUCUCUUUUUGAUAAAAAAGGACAAGACCACCAGACUUGCCAUCACUCUCAUCUAAAAACAUGGAACUAAAACCUAAGAUACAACGUAGCUCGUCAGCUUUAAUUUUAUUCAAAUGCGACUCGGAAAGAAAAAUCAACUCCGCACAAUUACGACCUUGGAGCUCCCGGAGCUCUCGAACUGCCGUGGAAGACAACAUUCCACGGCAGUUCCAACUAAUUGCUCUCAUUUCUCCUGGCGGUCCUCCGGAGCGGAGGCCGCCAAAUCCGUGCCCACAACAUCGUCCUCUCCAAUUGACUCCUUCCUUUGCUGAGUAUAAACCUCCUCCUCCUCUUUUUCCUUCACUACAUGCGUAAUAAUCCCAUCCACAUCCCUCCUAGUUUCAACUCUACCCAUACAAACUCUCUUUGAGGAAAUACUCGUCUCACCAUACAACAGACGUUCAUAGCUAUCCAUCUCUCUCUCAAAAGAAAAAUUUAAAUCACUACCCGUUUGUGGGGCAUCAAAAGGGUUACUCCUCUUUUUCCCUAUGAUUUGAGUUCUAUCACUCUCUGACUUCUCCUUUCCUCCCUUCUUUCUAUCCUUUCUCCCUUUCUUCUUUUUCUGACCCUGCAUGGUAAUUUUAUCAGCAGCAAAAGUAAAUACUCCCGUAUCAUUGGCCGUGUUCUGGUCAGCCAGCCUUGCCGCAACUGCCCCUGAGAGUGCCUCCAGUACGCCUGGUUUGAACAACAACAAGUCCUGCAGAUUUUUUGCGCCAGCCGCAUCAUCAGAAUUAGAAGCAGCAACCGGCAGGAUGAGCCCCUGGUUCCCUCGGAUUGCCGCGUCGAACAUGCUGACGUUAGCAUGCACCAGAGCCGGCGAUGGAGUAGACGUCCCCACUCGGUGCUCGAGCACAUGGCCCACCUGGCCGUGCUUAGCACCAAUGGAAGAGCCGCCCCCCGCCUCCUUUCCCUGGCCCGCCUGGCCAGAGAGAGCAGAGGGCCUCGGAAGAGUUUGCUGGUCCUCCUGACCAGAACCAGCGCCUGGGUGGAGCGGCGUUGGAGCCCCAUACACCCGGCCCUCCUGGCCGAGCGUGACGCCCUCCUGGGUUGGCCCACCAAACGCGUGCUUAAUCAUGUGGUAUGCAGACAGUGCACUUACACCCCUGGGGAACGCACGUUGCAGUGACCUUGCCGAUGUAAAUGAACCUUUUGCAUAGCUCCUUACAUGAGACGCCAUUGCCAUCACAACUUGGCGAAACUAUCGAGUCACUGCAGAGCUCCGCUGAAGCCUGCAUCAACAUGCCUGCAGAUCUCAGAAAGAAACGAACGAGGAUUAAGAAAAAUCAACAGAAAAGAACGUCGGAUUACAUGCAUAAUACUCAACUGUUGACUACCUGAGGAUAGCACCAAAAGAGCAAGACCCACGAACACCAUGUUGACAGUCUUCAUCCUUGUGAAUGAAAGAAAAAAAAAAAGGAAACUUGUCAGGUGAGGUGUCUGCUACUGGUGUUGCAAGCCUACCACUCUCAACCUUGGUUGGAAGGAUAUUUAUAGUGCACAUGCAUCGAUGGUCGGUAACGCUGAUAUGGAAUCAAAUAGCUGAAAUCGGGGGCAAUUAAAAAGAUCACGAGCCAGGCCGCGCGCUAAAUGCCAUGGAUCGAAGCAAUUAAGCAUGAGCUCCGAAAAUGGUGCGCGCUGAUCAACUACAUGCCCAUAGUGGGGCUUCUGUGGUACUACCUCCGUCCUGUUUAUUAGUCACCCUUUUAGUUUGGGUCAAACUUUCACAUUUGAUUUAACUAUCAAAAAAUAAGUUAUAUAACCUAAAAAUAGUAUAAUUGAAAACCUAAUAUGAAUCAAUAUUAUAAGUUUUGUGACAUACCACACAGAAUUUGUUAGUCAAAUCUACUAUGAAAGUUGGGACAAAAUACGAAGGGGGCCAACAAACCCGGACGAAGGUAGUAGUGAUUAAUUGCCAGACAGGGAAGCGUGGUUGACGCAUGCCUCGUUUGUAAUGUCAAUUAGUACUAGAGGCUGCCGCACGCUUUGCUGCGUCGUUUUUCGCCCGUAGGAUUAACUUUUUUCUUCUUUAGCAUGUUAUUGCAGUCGGUUAUUUUGUUCUGGUUUAUCUGUGUUGGUUUGGGUUUUAGUUAUGUUCUGGCGUUGUUUUAUCAUCUAGAUAUUGUGUUGGGCUGCUGGUUUUUCUUACGAAUUUUGUUGGCUUGCCAUCGAAGGUGGUAUUUGUUUUAAGAGGAGAGUUGGUGUUGUUCGUGCGUGGAUGGGUGCCCUUACAUGUUUUGAACUUGGUGUCAUCCAGUGUUAGUAGCGUGAGCCUCUUGGAAGCUACUAUUCCACGGUAAAACGAUGAAAUUGACGAUAUAACAGUCACUUAUAGGCCAGUCCAUCAAACUCUCGCUCAUUUUUUCCAUUUACUCCAAUGCUAGCUCAGUAAAACCUAUUAUCACUUAUUUAAUUGAAAAAAUGAUUAAAUCAAAAGAUGUUCACAAAUUUAUUUUUCCAACAUUUUGCAAAUUUAAAAACAACAGAUUUUUAAAUAAAAUGUUCAUGAAUUUUAAAAUAUUUUGGAUCUCAAACAAUGUUCUCAAAUUUGAAAAAAGUUCAAAAACUAAAAAAAUCUAUAGACUUUAAUAACGUUCAUAAAAUUUAAAUAUAGGUUUUUUAUCGUUUAUGCCACUGGUCACACUACUCAGUUUUGCCACGAGGAAUUUUAACUGCUCAAAAAUUACAUCGCUUCGUCAGACGCAUGCUCAAAAAUGCCUCUAAACACCAUUACUGUCAGCUCAAAUCUCGUUUGCCAUGUUAUAAUGACCAAAAUAGUUAUGGACCAACAUGUCAGCCCUCCCACUAUCUCACUACAAUAAAGUGUGGGCCGCACUUGAUCCCACCAACAUUAUUAUUUUCCUCUAAAAAUAUUAACUUACUUACUCCUGACAAGUGGGCGCACACUUAUCAUUGUGAGAUAGAGAGAAUUGACAUGUGGGUCUAGGGUAUUUUUAUCAUAUAACAUGGUCAAUGGGUUUGACCUGACAAUAACGAUGUCUAAUGGCAUUUUUGAGCAAACAUCGAUCUAAUGGAACAAUGGUGUUUUCGAGAUACCUAAUGAAAAUUUGGAGCAAGCAUUUCACGAAACGAUGACAUUUUUUAGCAGUUGUAACUUGUAAUGACAAAAUUGAGUAGUGAGACAUGACUAGUGACAUAAGUGACAAAAUGUUGGCAUGCAAGAUCGUUCAUGAAUAAAAAUGUGAAAAGAGAACAAAACAGGAACAAGGAAAAUGAAAAACAUGAAUAAAAUUAUUAAAACAAGUAGAGAAACACAUAGAAAAGAAUGAAAAUACUCAAGAAAUACAUCCUAGAACCUUCUCGAAACCGGAAAAACCGUGUGACACUUUACGAUUAUAUACAUAUGUGUUACUCCCAACAAGCGACACACCCCCUUACAAGUGGGGCCUAUAGAGACCAGACCCAGGACGCACCAGGAGGCUCCAAAUCAUUGAGCUUAGUAUUUGAAUAAAAAUGUUCAAUAUGUGUUCACAAAAUGUUCAUAGUGUAUUUAAAAAAAAUCCAAUGUAUAUUCAUCAAAUUGUAAACAAGUAUUUAAAAAAAUGUUUAACGUGUAUCUUAAAAAUGUAGAACUUGUAUAAACAAAAAGUUAAAUGUAUAUUUAAAUGAAGUGGACAUGUAUUUAUAAAAAAUGUGAAUAAAAAAUCUCAAAAGAAAAAAAAUGAGAAAACACACGAAAACCAAAAAAUAAAAAUAAAUCAAAGAACCGAUAAAGAAAAACACAAAAGAAGAAAAAAAAUACGGAAUCGAUAUGUGGUUGUUAUUGGCGGCGCACCGCCACACCCGAUCGCAGGCUAACAACCUGGUCCAUCGGCGCUCCAUCGAGAAGGAGAGCGCCGAGAGAGCAGACACACACUAACGCAUCCAAGAAAAAAAGCUGCAUGAAUCGCCACGACUCAACAUUGAGUAGGCCCAUGUACACGCAACAACUAAAACUCAUCCUAAUAAAUAGGCCCACAACCGACCCCAAAAACCACGAUGCACCAUGAGCGUGGAAAUCUUGGGAGCUUAGUAACUGUACGGAUAUAGAUGUCAUGAUUCUUCGUAGGAAAACGAUCAAUCGGGCGACCGAUCGUGGGCGAUGCUAGGAGUCGGUUGACCGGCAAGUAGCCUAAAUCAGUGGCCUCCCACACCAUCUGAUCACGUCAGCCCUAGCCGUUUGAUCGACCUCCCACCCCGCACAAUGUUUCCCUCUCUCUCUUGUCAUCCCCUUCUGGCGCUGCUUCGCCGCACACGCUUCUCUCUCCACGCUUGUAGAAGCCAUCGGCCUCCUACACAGACCGGCAAAAAAUCCCUUCGAGGUCACCACGUCGUCGUUGUCCUGUGGCCAAAUUAAAAUUAGGGAUUGACGAUUUCACGGCAGACUCUCCUAGAAGCUGUAGUGGUCGCUAUAGCGGGCAAUCACGGCAAUAGUGACAAUUUUUCAGAUUGGAGGGAUGAUUCUAGAGGUUUUUGUUGAUUUUGGAGCCAUUUAGAGGGAUUUGUGAAGGAUUUCAAGGCGGCGGCUGUGGCGUAGCGGCAAGGCUCCUGGCCAGCAAUAGUGCGGCUAUUUUGCGGGUGAUUUAAUUUCGUGUCUGUGACACCCCAUUGAAGUGUCGGUGUGUCAUCGUAGGACACAUCGGUCGUGGUCGCAACAGCCCGGUGACGUUGUCCCAACACCAGACCACUGGGGUUUCAACAGAAGAGCAAGUAUAAUAAGGUGCAGUUAGCAUACUGUAAGGACUAAACUAUUAUAUUUUUACUAGUUGGAUGAGAGAAAAAAAUGAGAGAGAAGGGAAGCAGACUGUAGAUUAACAACCAGCUACAACACAGACUCCAAAAAUCAUUGUGAGAGUGUAAGGUGAAUCAUGUAUAAAUAAAACAGUACUACUUAGUAACUACGCCGUAGCUACUAUACAUGUUAACUAUUAGUUUGGCAAUAGCUCACAUGACAACUUCAUAUAGCCAGUUCUUGGCAAUACUGUUAACCAUGCUCUAACGCGGUCAGUCACAAAAACCAAUGGCCGUCGGUUCCAUUACCAGGCGCAGCAGGUAUCUCUGUCUAUCGCCAUUCACAGCAUCGACGUCGCUCCUAUCUACGGCGGACCGUACCAGCACCAACUGUUGUUGAUCGCAACAGCCAGGCUCGCCAGUCCCAACAGUCACCACAAAGGCGCCCCUAUGUCUCGAUUUAAGCGAGCAUAGUGGAAGCCUCGCGUCUUGGGGGAGCCAGAUGGGCCGGUCCAGCCGCACGGGAGGCCAUGGCUGUCUUUUUGUUUUUUCUCAUUUUUGCUUUAUUUUUAUACUUAUACUUUAAAAUACUAUACAAAAAACACUCUUAAAAAACAUAUGAAAAAUGUUGAACAAGUAUUUGAAAAACAUUAAAUAAGUAUUAAAAAUGUUCAAGUAUUUUAAAAAUGUUGAACAAGUAUUUAAUUUUGGUGAAUAAGUAUUAAAAAUGUUGAACAAGUAUUUGACAAAUGUUGAAUAAGUAUUAAAAAUUGUUGAAUGAGUAUUUAAAAAAUGUUGAACAAGUUUUUGAGAAUGUUGAAUAAGUAUUAAAAAUGUUGAACAAGUAUUUGACAAAUAUUGAAUAAGUACUAAAAAAUAUUGAACGAGUAACUGAGAAAUAUUGAACAGGUAUUUGAAAAUGUUGAAUAAGUGUUAAAAAUGUUGUAGAAGUAUUUGAAAAUGUUGAAUAAGUAUUAAAAAGUGUUGAAUGAGUGUUUGAAAAAUAUUGAACAUAUAUUUGAAAAAUGUUGAAUAAGUAUUAAAAUAUUGAACAUUUAUACAAAAAAAUAUUGAUCACUUAUUAACGAAAUGUUUUUGACAUAUAUGGAAAUGUAGAGUGAAAACAAAACAAACAUAAGAAAAAAAUGGAGAAGAGAAAGGAAACCAAACAAAAAUGACGAGGAAAAAAGAAAAUCAAAUAAAAAUAGAAUAAUGCAAAAAGAUCAUAAUAACCAAAUAAAAACAAAAUGCAGAAAUGAAUGAAAGAAAAAGAAGAAGAAAAAAGAAAAGAAACAAAAUAAAACAGAAAAGAAAAAAAUCCUGAAGAAAAUGAAAAGAAAAAACGGAGAAGAAAAAGAAAUGAAUCAAAAGAAAAUAAAAAACCCCAUUGAAAAUCCAGGAAAACCAUCUCUUUUCCCUUAAGGGCGUGUUUGGUUGCCGUGCGCUACAGUACCCGCAUUGCAUACACUUGUCCACUCAACCUGGGCUAUGCAAAUGCAGCCUCAAAUGCACCAUCUGCAUGUUGUUUGGUUGCCUGCAUGCCCUCUUGCCUGCAUGGGCAGAACCACACUGCCUGGUGUUUGGUUGCCUGCAUGUUAGUGGACAAACCCAAAGCAUGGUGUUUGGUUGUAUGCAACGCCUGGUGCGUGGUAACCUCUUUGGCUAGUUGGUGAGGUUACCAGCACACUUCGGCACAACCAUGUAGCACACAUCAUAAGCAGAGUAGAGUAUAAACAGAGGAUCAACUACUUAAGAGCAUAUUUUCAGAUAAGCAGUGCCACACUUCAUAAUAGUUGUACGCACAAAUCAUAAACAUAAUCAGUUCAAAGCAGACUCGAUAGUACUUAGGGAGGCCCCGACCCUACUCCUUGGCGGUGAAGGCUUCGUCUUGCUUCCCGCACUUGUUGACGACCUCAAUGCCAUCGUCGUCGAAGAUGAUGACCAUGAGGGUGUCGGGAGUGAGGAGCUUGAACGUCACCAUGUAGCCGAUCUUGAUCUGAUGAACCACUGCGUAGGUGGCCCAACCCUGAUCCAGGGUCACCCUGCCGUUCAUCAGCUUCACCGUCACCUUCCAGGAGCAGCCGGUGUUGUUCCUGAGCUUGAACUUCGUCGGCACCGCGACAAAGUGCUUGGUGAAGUCCAGGGGCAUGGGGAUGCACUCAAGCUUCGGUGCAAGGAUGACCUUGCAGGAGUGAGUUGGGCCAUCCUCCUGAUGGUAGUGGCCGUAGUUGCGGCGCUUGUUGCUGGGGGGCUCCUCCAUGCCCUUGUCGUCGCCACCCUCAGGCGUCUUCAGGUCUUCCUCGGCGGUGGGUGGCAGCACAACCUCGUCGGGCAUUGGGUGAAGGGGUUGCUUGCCCUUGUUGUCAACGGCCGGGAGCACCUCCGUGCCCAUCUCAUUGCUCUCCUCGAUCUGCACACAAUUCAUGGAGUCAAGCACGACACAGAGUUCAUUGCUUAUUGAAGAGCAUGUGGUUAAAAUGGCAUGACUGUCACUCUUCUCCUCCUCUCCACCCCCCUAUAUUUACUCACCCUGCCCACCACUACUUACCCACCCCCUCUCUUCUCUCACUGUCAACCUUCCUCCUCCUCAUCGCCAUGAGCUCUAGCUCCAGCUCCAACGCCAACCCCUUCCCUUGGGGUAUUGGCUGGAGGGCCUUCUUACUCGGGUGGUCGGCUGGUGACCGCACCAAGUUCGAGAACACCAUGGAGGUGUGCUCGAACUUCGGCUCCAUGCCUGACAUGCAGAACGAAUCAAAUGCAGUGCUCAUGAAGGCCACUACAGAAGAGCUGAAGACGCUGAUUCCUGACCCAGCGAAGGGCGCGAUGGUAGUUGACAUCAUUCACUGGGCCAUGAAUCAGGCCGUCUCCGAUGACGCUAAAUAGAGGAAGAAGUGGUGCAAGUACAAGAACUACUGGGCUCCUAAUGACUGUCGUGCCGCAGUGUACUGGGAGACGGCUAUCGCGCCGCCGGCGGUCAUCGGUGGGGAGCCUAAGGAGGAGGAAGAAGCGAUGCAGAUGCCAGCGAGGGCGCCGGAGCCAGGCCGUCGUACCUGGCAGAUCGACCUCGACUCCGCCGAGGAGGAGGACGACGAACCGCUGAUGACCCACAAGUGUAGGGGAUCUAUCGUAGUCCUUUCGAUAAGUAAGAGUGUCGAACCCAACGAGGAGCAGAAGGAAAUGAUAAGCGGUUUUCAGCAAGGUAUUCUCUGCAAGCACUGAAAAUAUCGGUAACAGAUAGUUUUGUGAUAAGGUAAUUGGCAACAAGUAACAAGUAAUGAAAGUAAAUAAGGUGCAGCAAGAUGGCGCAAUCCUUUUUGUAGCAAAGGACAAGCCUGGACAAACUCUUAUAUAGAGAAAAGCGCUCCCGAGGACACAUGGGAAUUAUCGUCAAGCUAGUUUUCAUCAUGCUCAUAUGAUUCGCGUUCGUUAUUUUGAUAAUUUGGUAUGUGGAUGGACCGGUGCUUUGGUGUUGUCCUUUCUUGGACAAGCAUCCCACUUAUGAUUAACCCCUAUUGCAAGCAUCCGCAACUACAAACAAAGUAUUAAGGUAAACCUAACCAUAGCAUGAAACAUAUGGAAUCAAAUCAACCCCUUACGAAGCAACUCAUAAACUAGGGUUUAAGCUUCUGUCACUCUAGCAACCCAUCAUCUACUUAUUACUUCCCAAUGCCUUCCUCUAGGCCCAAACAAUGGUGAAGUGUCAUGUAGUCGACGUUCACAUAACACCACUAGAGGAAAGACAACAUACAUCUCAUCAAAAUAUCAAACGAAUACCAAAUUCACAUGUUAGCAAGACUUCUCCCAUGUCCUCAGGAACAAACGUAACUACUCAUAAAGCAUAUUCAUGUUCAUAAUCAGAGGGAUAUUAAUAUGCCUAAUGGAUCUGAACAUAUGAGCUUCCACCAAAUAAACCAACUAGCAUCAACUACAAGGAGUAAUCAACACUACUAGCAACCCAUAGGUACCAAUCUGAGGCUUUGGGACAAAGAUUGGAUACAAGAGAUGAACUAGGGUUUGAGAGGAGAUGGUGCUGGUGAAGAUGUUGAUGGAGAUUGGCCCCCUCCCGAUGAGAGGAUCGUUGGUGAUGACGAUGGUGAUGAUUUCCC